GGCACUCCAGGUUCUUUCAUACACGGAAGCGAUCGAAAGAAAACAAAAAAUUCCAACUAACAUGAAACUGGAAUUUCUUUUUCUUUAUUUCAAAGGAAAAAAAGUUGCAACCACCCAUAUGCACACAAUAAAAAAGAUCUCUCACGUCACGACGCGUCGCCUGCCCUUAUCGGGUCUCACAGCUUUGCUGCUCCCCACACCCGCGAAGCCAUCACGACACGACUCCUCCCAUCGCAUCGGGCCGAACGCCUCUCGUCGCCGGCGGCCAGAGCACCGCCGCCGUCAGGUGUCGGCGUGAGAUGGCGACGCGCCACCUAAUCACUGGCCAGAACAACUGCGCCCCGGAUGGCGCGUCUUCGUCCAACCCCUUCGGCGCCCUCGCCAACGCCCUCCUCGGCCAGUCCAGCAAAGCGCAGGUGAAGCCCUAACCCCUAGCUCGGCUUGGGUUAGUCUCUCUAGCUUUAGGGUAACAGUCGCUGCUGCUGUGCUGACCGUUGGACUUGGAUCAAUCGGCGUCGUUUAGGUCGGUCUUCUGUGUGGUGGACUAGGUUUUUCCUGCCGGUAUGCUGCUUUGUACGACAACUGCGAUAACUGUGCCAAUUUAGUGGAAUCGCGAGUUCACUGAAUUCGUGAGGGGCAAGUGGAUCUAUGCUGAGAGAAAUUCCGAGUCUAGAUGUUCCCAAUUAUUGGCCAAAUAUCGUUGAUCCAUGUGUUGUGCUGUCGCCUGCCUCUAAUUGUGCGGGGCGUUGGUCUAGACUGUGACGCAUGGAUCGAAGGUUAUAUAUAUAGUUGUUUCCCUUUAACAUACUUUCAAACCAUGUUCCUGAAGUUCUGGAUACAUGUAACAGUCACUAGCAUGCUCAUUUCACCAAUUAAGUGCUUGGCGAAUUAUGUUCACGGAGGAUUUCUUAUUGACCUAAUUAGUUUUGUGCUACUAAUCAAUUGUGAAGAAACUGUUUUUGUCUCUCACCAGUUCCAAUGUUUCCUUAUUAAGAAUAUGUGCGGAUGGAAUUGGAAAAGCGGGAUGGUUAACGUUGAAAUAUAGUAACAAAUAGUAGCUUCAAACCAAGAGAACAUUGUCGAUAACCUUUUCUUCGUGCAGUCAAUAAAGGAACUUCCUGGAGCUUCAGUUAAUGUUCCAACUACUUCUGAUUAUAGUACAUCUGCUCCCUUGUCUACCAUCCCGGGUUCAGAGAACGAGUUCAGGCAAGAUCAACGACCACCUGGAUGGGUAAUGGUGAUUCUCAACUCUGUUUGUGUUUGCCUUUUGGGCAUUCCUAACUGUAAUUGAACACCUGCAGGGUACCGAAUUCAUUCAUGGUGGUUCUGCGAAUGAUUGGGUCGAAUCUUUUCGGCCUCCAGGCCAUCCUGUAGUUGGAGGGCCAGCACCAAACUUUGCAGAAUUUGAUCAAAUUUACAGCAAUGCAGGCACUACCUCUGGACCAGCCUUGGAUGGUAGAUUUCUAUAUCUUAGCUUUUCUGUGUACUGGAUGGUUUUCUAUUCACUCCGUGAUACCCAAAUACAGCACAUCGCAAUGACUCCAACAUAUGUUUCAGGUCCACCUCAAAGGGUUUUAUCUGGUGUCCUGCAUUCUUUUCUUUCAAGUGGCCGAGCUGGUGUGCCAUUUCAACCUGUUCCAAUACCAGCUCUUGGUUUGUCCGAAGGUGACAAACAAUGUAUACGUGAUCGUAGCUGCAUAAUGGCACGCCAUAUUUUGGCUGAUCAGCCCGAAGAAUAUAUACAAGCACAGGUUAACUUGUAACUUAUUACCUUUGAAAAUCACCUUGGACCAAGUUGGUCUGAACACUUAUUUCUGUCCCCUUUUCCAUUAGAUCAGCACAGUACCUUACUUUUUAACUUGGUUCUCGUCCCCCUGUGCUGCUUAUGUUUUGUUCAUAAAUGAUGUGACAUUCUUUUCUCCCAUAUCAGGUCAAUACGUUGCUGCAUUCUCUUGAUAUUGACAAUAAUCAUCGAAUGAGAAACCCCCUUCAAGGACCGUAUCCAGAGAUGGAGGAGUACUGGAAUCAAUCCCAAAAUGCUUUGAGAUCUGCUCCAAUGCACAAUGCUGCAGAUCAAUGGAUUACUGAGUUUGGCAAGCAAAAUAAUAACCCUGAUGAUUGGGCACACUCUUUUGAGCAGCACCAUGGUCCCAAUGGUUGGGCCUCUGAGUUUGAGCAGGUCAGAGCCUUCAACACCUGUUUGAUAUUUUUACAAGCAUCACUCAUGAAGCAUGCCUUUAUAUUGGUCUAGUUAAUCAUUGCAUCCUACAAGCAAGUUUAACUAUACCGAAGAUAUUGGCUGACUUUGUACCCUGUCACCUAUGUUGCAUCGAUACAGUUUUCUUUGAAUAAUUAGCUAUUUUAAAUCAGGUAGGAUUAUGUUUCCACAGAUUUUUUUCUUCUUAAAUUUCCAUAUCCUAAUCAAAGUCCUUAUAUUCAGUUGAAUCUGGCUCAAUAAAUAAUGUAUCCACGUAUCCAAAUACAGUUCUUAAGUUUAUUUGUAUCUGCACCAUAUCCCUAAAUCUGCAGUGUUCUUUGAGUAUUUUCCAUUCCUAAUCAAGAUUUUUAUGUGAACAAUGGAGAACUCUGUGCAAGUUGGAUUAAUUCUGAUUCCUGUUGGUUCAAAAUUGUGAAUUUUUGCGUUUGUGAAAUCCACAGGUAACACAAUUCAAGAAAAUAAUAAUGAAACACUCAUACUGGGUCCAAGUUUGUAUGAAAAUGUAUGGCUUUGGUAUAUGACCAUCACCCAGUUAUUAUCUGAUCUUUCCUUGACUGUACCCACUAAUAAAUAUAUGGAAUGCUUGUUCAUUGCUACGGAAGAUUUUUAUUCAUAGGUUUUAAACGCUUGUGUUAUCAUAGUCCCUAACUUGUGCAAAUAAAUAUACAUCAAUGGAUGAUAGCGGUGGCAAUUUCUUCACAACUUCCAAGUUAAUCUCAGUGUUGGUGAAUGGACCGCCACUUUCGAGAUAUCUAUGUGUUGUAUUUAAAAUAAAUUUUAAGAUAAUCUUGUGUAAAUAUAGUAUUAUACUUUUUGCUUUAUGUGCGUAUUCUAGAACAUGAAGCAACAGAAAGUGCAAUUUCUUUUAACACAUCUGUGUUGAAUGUUGACUUUUUUGGCUUACCUAAAAGGGAAUAAGACAAAGCCAUGCAAUUUUUCCUAUGACAAUCUGCAUAAUUAUCCUAUUUCAAUAUCGUUAAUUAAUAUGUUCAGUUCUUGGAUAUGUGGUUUAAGUUAUGUUAUGUGCUUUUUUGUUGUCUCAGCAUCAAUCUCAGAUGGGCAUGGGUCAGAUGGGAGGAGCAAAUAUGGCAAAUCUUGCAGCUAUGCAGCAAUCCCGUAUGCUUGCACAAACAUUAUCAAGUAAUAAUGACCCAAAGUUUCAGGUAUAUAUGACAACCUGACUUGUUCAUGUAGCUGUAUUUUGUUUGCACAUUCUGUUUACCUUAGUGAAAAAAUGCUUGACCGUAACUCGUGCUAAUUUAUUGAAGCCAGAAGUCUCCCUUUAUUUACCAUUGUACAUUUAUUUAUUUUAUGAGGAAACAUCCUGCUCAUAUUAUCUAUGCAAUUGAUGUAAUUGCAUAUCGGCAUGUUUAGGCUAUAUUUACCUGAUUUGCUAUUGGUUUCGCGGUUCGCAAUUCGCUAUCCCGUACAUAUUGGGUUCUUUAAGGGGGUAUACAUCUACGAUUCGUGAAUCAGAGAUUCGGUUUGCGAAUCCACAGUUUCCGAUCCAAGAGACGAUAGUAGGUAUAAUAUGUGUAUGUAGUAUAGCAAACAACCGUAGAAUAUCCUAGUAAGUCUUGUACUAGUUGAGCUGGACUAACAUUAAUAAGCUGUCGGUUCCCAAAUAUGUUUGGAGAUUAAAUGUCACCCCAUUUAGUAAAGUGCAUUGACAUUGCCAGCCACAGGACCCGUCUUCAUCCUAAAAAACAAGUCUCCUCGUCUUCUUCAGUUCUUCACAGGAAAAAUCCCAACUCCCGAGCACUCUCUCCCCCUCUUCCUCCCUCCCUCUCUCCUUGCUGCUGCUGCUGCGUAUCCUUAGCCACAGCGAACUACGUAUCAGGACUGGAUGGUGUCCUCUGGACAUCUGUGGCUGAGAUGCACCACGAUGCAGGCUGCUGUUGUGCUUCUCCUGGAAAACCAUAAAAGGAGGAAAGGAAGCUGCCAUUGAGCAUCCACGACUGCGACGCGCUGGCUGCUGUCACUUCUUCACAUCACUCUUUUCGGCAGAACCAGGGUAACCGCCAGUAAUUUCGUUUUUGAUGUCAACCGUUGACUUCGAUUUGGUUUGUUGGUUCUCCUGGAUUCGCAGAUUGGAGACCGAAACUGAACCGAUCGCAGCGAUCUUGAACCCCAUCUGGUUCGGUCAGGAUCGCUGUUCGAAGCCAGUUCCAUCAAAUUCAGUAAAUAUGGUUUGGGCUAAACCAAAAUGUUUCUAGAAUGAGCCUAGCAUGCCUUAAUUACCUGAAUGAGUUCCUCAAAAAAUCAGAUCAGACCUCCUAAACAGGAUCUAGUUUCAAAAGUGAUAAGGGUUCCAUUGCAUGUUGCUCAUAACUGCUGUUUUGUUUCCUUGUACUGCCGUACAACACCAUUACUUUCAAUAUAUCGUGUCAUAUAUGCACAUUUGUUGUUUGGAAUUACUAUUAAUGCCAAAAAUGAUGACUUUCUUUAUAGAAAUUAGAAAUAGAAUGAUAUUAAAUUAUAUUUACUUACUAUCUAUGUUUUUUUGAGAAAACGCAAAAAACUUUGCGUCUCGAUGCAUUGAUUAAGAGAGAAAGGCUUGCCCAAUGGGGCAACACCCCAAUAUUACAACGCUACAUGACCAGCUGCUAAUAGUCCGUCGGGAGCAAAGCUCCGAGCCCAACUGCCCCAGCACUAGCCCAAAGCUUAGCGCCUGUCUUGAUCAGCUCGGUGAGUAGGGCGAUAUUGAAAGUCGCAAUGUCGAAGAUGGCCACGUUGCGAUGCUUCCAGAUCCACCAAGCUGUGAGCAUGAUGAGAGAAGCAGUGCCCUUCCUGAGCUGUGGAAGGGUGGAGCUGACGGUCGCCUGCCACCAAUCUGCGAAGAGGACAUCCGCGGUCGGCGGGACACAAGUGGAUUGGAUCCAAGAAAGUACCUUAUGCCACAACGAGCGGGAGAAGGGGCAACUGACCAGGAGGUGGUUUGGCAGGCCAGCCAAAACUUAUUAUCUAUGUUUUGCUAGAUAUUAAAUACACAAUAUUUCAUGUUCCAAAAACACAAAUUUGUUUAUAUUGAAUCAUGGGAACUCUUUCUUAUCUCUGUAUCUUUUACCAGUGAUAUGAUUGUUUCUAGACUUCAACUCAACCAACCUUUUGCUUGCAACCUUAUGAUACUUCCUUGUCCCUUUUUGUAAGAAUUUUAAAUUCUUCCAGUUUGUAUCAUCUGACUUCAGCACCUGAUGGUACUUCCUUUUCCCUUUUUGUAAGAAUUCUAAAUUCUUCCAGUUUGUGUCAAAGAUGAGCCGUGGUGAACUUAUUAUAGAAGAUAAUCAAGUAAAACAAGGUUCAGCAUCCCAAUCCAGUGGCUGGGCUGAUGAAUUUCAAACACAGUACAAUGCUAAUGCAAACUCUUGGGCAGAUCAGUUUGUGCAUGAAGAGGUAAUACCAGAGAGCUGGAUAUACAUAAAUAUUUGUGUGUCAUGCAAAACAAGGAUCUAGUUUUCACCAGAGAGCUGGAUGUAUGUAAAUCAAUUUAUGUCAUGCUUAAUGGGGAUUUAGAUCCGGGCAAUGUAGAAAAAAAUGGAACAUAUAUGAUGAUAUUGCCAUUUAGCAUAAACCUAUCUGUGCUGUAGCAUACUUGGUGGUGGCAACACUGAUGCCUCAUCUUCCACGCAUAUCUUCCGUGUGCUGAUUAUUUUCUCACUAAUAUUUCUUCUCCAGCUUUCACAAGGGGCAGACAAGUGGGUUAGUGAGUUUUCUAGUGAACGUAAUCAGGGUGGUCUCAAUGAGAAGUGGGCUGAUGAGUUCUCCAAAUUGCAUGUGGAUGAUGAAUGGGCAGAGGAGUUCAGUGGAGGAGCUUUUGGUGAAAGCUCUGCUGAUCCAUGGGCAGAUGAGUGAGUACAAAUCAUUUGUUCCUCUGUGUCUUUGCUUUGUCAUGCCAAUUUGCUAAUGUUAUUAAGGUUUAGUCGACCUCUGUUGCUUCUUUCUCGAAAUGUUGCCCGACCUAUCUUUGUCAGAUUUCUAUAAAAACACUAGGUUUGGUCAAUAUGGACAACUGUUUGGGUUCAUUUAUUUCUACCGUUUUUGUGUUAUGCUGUUUUACAGGAGCUCCUUUGGUAUACUUACAUCUUACCAUCAACUAUUUAUCAUGUUUUGCUUGUAGGUUUCAGAACCAAUUGUCCGCUUCCAAACAGAAUUCUGGUGCUUCUCGAGGGGUUUAUGUUUUUUCCGAGAUGAACCCAUAUGUUGGUCACCCUAAUCCAAUGCAGGAAGGACAGGAGCUCUUUCGCAAGGGCCUCUUAAGUGAAGCUGCUCUUGCUUUAGAGGCUGAAGUUUUGAAAAAUCCUGAUAACGCUGAAGGUUGGAGGUUACUUGGAGUAACACAUGCUGAAAAUGAUGAUGAUCAGCAGGUGAUUGUGUCUCACUAGCAUUGUUAUGUUCACAUGCCAAGUAUUAACAUACAUUUUUGGCACUCCUGUUGUACUGAUUAUUCUCGCUAUGGUUUUUCAACAUGGAUGCGUUGCAUGUUUCUGUGCAAUUGUGCAUCACUUCUGUUCACCAUUGAUUUUUAAUCAGAUCAUUUUUUACGAAGUAUUGUUUUACCUAAUCUGAGAGGCCAAAGCCUGAAUUUAUUCAGGGUAGCUGAAUUUGUUGUUGUUAUGUAGCUCCUUUGAUGUAGUAUGCUUAUGCUCUAGUUUAGUUUUGUAUACCUUGCAAGACUUGUGCAUAAAGUAAAAAUGACUAUUUAUGGUAAGUUUUAGAACCUUAAGAUCAGUGGGCUGAACUCCAUGCUUUUUCUUUGCUUAAGGAGACUGCUAUUUCUAAUUUAUUGCUUUGCUUUCAGGCCAUAGCAGCAAUGUUGCGUGCACAGGAAGCUAAUCCAACAAAUCUGGAAGUCCUUCUCGCUCUUGGUGUCAGUCACACAAACGGUGAGUUCUUAUUAUGAGGGCAAUUCAGUGCCAUGCUCAAUCUGCUGAGGUGCUCUUCAAUGAAAUGAAGUUAAAUUGUCAUUGGAAGUAAACAGGUUUCUGCAUUAUGCAAGCUAUUUUUUUUUGCCAGGAAUUGUAAACAACUAAACUCAAUUAGUCCUUGUUCCAGGGAAAUUUUUGUUUUCUUUUAUAGUUAAAAAUAGUUCUCCCAUGGUCCAAGCUUCCUCCCUGAGUGUCAAUAAUAGUUAUGCCCACAACAUCUUUUUAUUCAAUAUUCUGAAGUUUUAUUGGAGCAUGGAUAUUUAGGUGUAUUAUUACCCUGAGAGGAUUUAUUUAUUCUUGCAGAAUUGGAACAGGGAGAGGCAUUAAGAUAUCUUUCGAGGUGGCUUCAGAAUCAUCCAAAAUAUGGGGGUCUCGCCCCUCCACAGCCAACAGAUUCAUUUUAUGGUCCAGAUGUCAGUGACUAUAUAUUUUCAUAAUACAUAUAUUUCAACUUACUCGUUGUUAAAUCCUGGCAUCUCCAGCUUCCAAAUAUAUCAUGCAUCUGUUUUAAUUUUAUUGUAGCUGUGGUCAUGUGCAAUAUGUUUUCUGAAAACUUAUCUCUCAACAGGUUAUUAGAUUGUUUAAUGAAGCUGCCAAGAUGUCACCUGAGGAUGCCGAUGUCCAUAUAGUUCUGGGUGUCUUAUACAACCUAUCAAGAGAAUAUGAUAAAGCUAUAGCUUCAUUUAAGACGGCACUACAGUUGAAGCCCCAUGACUAUUCUCUCUGGAACAAGCUUGGUGCGACCCAAGCAAACAGCAUCCAGAGUGCUGAUGCGGUACUGGCAUAUCAACAGGUAACUCGGCAACAUCCUUCAACUUGCAACUUUGGUGAAAGUUUUGUGCAUAAGUAUAUUUAUAUGUUGGUUCAAAUAAGUGCAGCACAUUGUCGCUAUAACAGUUGAUGGUUAGAAUAGUCACUUGAUCACUUUUUGUCGAGCUCUAGUAGUUGCUACUUGGGUGGAAACUGAUUCUUGUCUGACAGAAAAUCUAUUUAAUAAUAUAAUGUCCCCUAUGAUGUUUCUACAUGUUAAACUUGUUUGAAAAUCUAUUUAAUAAUAUAAGGUUGCAUCUUGCAUGUCACAAAACUUUGGGGCAUCGCUCUUUGAUGUGGAUUAAGUUUCUGUAUAAUUCCCUGAUUGGCAGCAAGAUUGUGUUUGCGUGAAGAGUUCAAAUAACAUGCUAAUGUGCUGCAUUCCAUUACAUGUCAUCAAAUUAUUCCAAUACAAUGAAUUGCCAUUGAUUUGACAUCAAAUCAUACUACGGAGUAACACUCUUUUUCCAAUAUAUAAACUUGUUUUAUUCUGGAAGUAUAUGUCUGAUCAAAACCAUCUUAGCGUACAGUACAGAAAAUGCUGUAGACCAUGGAUAUCAGGUCUUUUAGGGCAUCUCCAAGGGUGAGCCCCCAUUUGUCCUUCCCAUUUGUCCAUUUGGAGGGUGUUUGGACAAAUGAGGGUGGAAAAAAUAUCAAGUUGUCCAAUGGGAACCCCCAUUUGUCCUUCUCAUGAGUGUUUGACAUGUGGGCCAAGUGGACAAGUUUUGAACAAAUCGGGACUCCCUAUUCUCUCCCCAAAUUUGGGGAAGAAAUGAGGGGUUCCCAUUGGUUUGUAUAUUUGUCCAAGAACCCCAAAUGGACAAAUGGGGAGAGUUUGGGGGGUGCCCUUGGAGAGGCCUUUAGCUUAUUAUCAUCAUUGUUGAUUGUCCCAUUCAGAUGUCCUAGCACUUGAGGAAUGCAAGCAUGGAACUAAUCCCAUUUUGUUGCGUUUUAUUUCAGGCUCUAGACUUGAAGCCCAACUAUGUCCGUGCAUGGGCUAACAUGGGAAUUAGCUAUGCCAACCAGGUAAUUCUUUUCGUGCAGCCCGCUAUCUUAUUGGACAUGCAAUUUCAUUUUUCAUAAAUACCUUCUGAUGUGAAAUAAGAAACCAUAUAUUGAUGUCUGCCAUCAUUACAUAAGCGACUCUGAACAUUACCCCACUAGUACACUAACUGACUGACAUGCUUGCCAUCAUUAUAUAAGUGAGUCUGUGUUUUGACUUCUAGUGUUGAAAUGGUUGUGUUCUGCUAUCUAGCUUUAUCCUCAGUAUCAUGAAAACUCUGGGUAUUUUUCAUGCAAUGAAUGUCAUCUAGUGACUACCUACCUUAUGAAUGGCUGAACACUGAAAUUUAUUUUUUAUCCGUGAUAACUGACCACAAAUUUUCAUUAUAAUAACAGAUUGUAAUUGUCCACAUAUAACCUGUCUUGUGAUGAUGUUUUCUGCGCCUGCUUAUGCAGGGUCUGUACGAAGAUUCUAUUCGAUACUAUGUGAGGGCGGUUUCCAUGAACCCAAAAGCUGACAAUGCCUGGCAGUACUUGAGAAUUUCUCUUGGGUAUGUCUUGGUCAUUUGCUUUAUCUAAGUGUGAACCUUGACGACAAAAGAUGAUGGUUUUAAUUUACUAACACAUGUUUUCUCUCUCUUUCCAUAUCAGUAAUGCUUCGCGAAGUGAUAUGACUGCCGCAUGCGAUUCCCGCAACCUUGAUGUCCUGCAGAAAGAGUUUCCUCUCUGAGUCCCAGCAUUAGAUAUUAGCGCUUGCUCAUCAGAUCCUUAUCGUGAAGGGGAAGCAGAGGGCUAGCAACAUGGGAUGGCUUUUUGGCUGCAUAUUCUGGAAUGGGAAGGAAAAACUAGUGCAAAUUGUUGGUCAUUGCUUUACCAAGAUGUUGAGUGUAUAGAAAGUCAGAUUAGCACCCAUUUUUUAGAUGUGAAAUUCCAUGGAGGAAAAAUGUUGCAACCGGGAGACAACAUAUGUAAUUCUGUAAUCUCUAUACAGGAGGCACAGAAGAAUAAAAGAGGGGUCUCAUAAAAUGUAAAAUUUUCGUGUACUGUACAACAAGAUUUCUAUACUGCUAAUGCAAUAAUAAGUACAUCCUAAAUUCUUGAUUCAAAUUUGCUCAAAUAUGAAUGAUGUAUCUAUUCUUAAAAAACGUCUAGAUACGUGUAAUAUUUCGACAACAAUUUAGGAUCGGAGGGAGUACAAAAUAGCUUUCUGCCUAAUAAUAGGGCGUGCCGAGCAAACCAGUGUACAAGGUUUACUCACCAAAUUAGAUGAUUUUAUUAUCUAUUAAUCGGUUUUAUAUGUAUAAGCGCAAGUCAUAGGCACGUUGCUUAAUGAAAAAUAUAUUAAUAAAACUAACUAUUUUGCUUUUUUUAGACUAACUAACUAUUUUGCUAAGCACAUCUUCUGAGUAUUUGCAGUGCAUUUCCCCCAGGCUCCAGCUAUUUGUCUUUGGCCCACUUGCAUGCCUCUCUCAACUGGGCUGCCAGGCUCUAAACGACUGAAAUGCCUUCCACACACAACAGUAAUAAAGAUAGCCAAUUUAUCCUGUACAGUAAUAAAAUGAUGAUAAUAUAUUGGCAUAAAUUACUUGAUUAAAAAAUGAUGAUCAUGUAUUGUACAUAAAAUAUUAAACUUUCUUCAGGUAAAAUACAUCAUACAAACAUAGUGUAAACAAAACAUGAUACUGACUGCCUGAGUUGCAGUGCCAGGGACUUCACCGCCUGAACGCAUUGCGCUCAUGCGUAUCACGGCCACCUUGGGAAUAAUAUGCGCGGCGCCGGAUGCUCUCCUCGAUGGUGGCACUGCCACCUUUCUCGGCACCAAAUAUGCUCUUCUUUUCAUCCUCUAAGAAGUUCUUCCCUCUGAACUGGUUUGCAUUUACAGUGGCCGCCUCUUUGGCGUCGUCAUCUGCAGCCUUCUUGAGUCUCUUCCACCUCUGCUCUUCGUGGACCUCGGCAUCAGCCUGCAUUUGGCGCAGACGUGCUUCCCUCUCCUCUUCAGACAUAUGGUGCACGCCUCCUCGACGACGGUUGAGCGUAGGGCCGUUGCUCUUGCCCUGUUGGCUUUCUUGUCUUUGCCGGUCUGCUGAACCAAGUUCUCUUCCAUGCUGGCUUUCUUGUCUUUGUUGCUCUUCUGAACCACCUUCAGAGCAGGGGCGGUGAUCAGAAGUGGAUUUGAUAUUCUUCCGGACAUCUCCAAUACUUCUUUGCUUUGAGUCUGAGUUGUCAUGCUUUGGAUAAGUACGGUGGCGGUCUGAUGCUGAAUAAUGUCUCCUCCUAUCAUCAGCAUCAGAACGAUCGCGUCGUGAACGCUCAUCAUGCUUGGAUAUCUCCUGCCGCCUUUUCCUUGGCUCAUCAUCUUCUGCUAUCUCCUGAUAUCUUCUCCUUGGCUCAUCAUCCAGUGCCAUUUCCUGCUCUCGUCUCCUGGGCUCGCCAUCUUCUGGUGUGUUCUGCUGUCUUCUCCUUGGCGCGUCAUCUUCUGGUCUGUCUUGCUGUCUUCUCCUCGGCGCAUCAUCUUCUGGUGUGUCCUGCCGUCGUUUCCUCGGAGCAUCAUCUUCUGGUGUGCCUUGUCGUCUUCGCAGUGCAUCAUCUUCUGGAGUGUCUUGCCUUCUUCUCCUCGGUGCAUCAUCUUCUGGAGUGUCUUGCCUUCUUCUCCGUGGUGCAUCAUCUUCUGGAGUGUCUUGCCUUCUUCUCCUCGGUGCAUCAUCUUCUGGCCUCUCCUGCCUUCUCUUCCUUGGUUCAUUGUCAUCUGUAUCUGAGGAAUCUUCCCUGCUGUCUUUCUUCACCUGCCUUGACCUUUUCACUUCCCUCUUAUGCUCUACAGCAGAGUGAACUCUCUUUCUCCCUUCGUCCUUGUCAUCACUUUCAUCUGAAUCGGAAUUUUCAGUUGUGUGACGCCUUUUACUCUUUGAUUUAUGAUGGCGAUGCCUUUUGUGCUUCCUCUUCUCUUUCUUUUCUUCCUUCUGCAUUUUCUCUGCUUCCACCUACACAAUAGACAGAUUUGUCAGGGGUGUGUUCAGAUGAAAAUCGACUACAAACCAUCAGUGUGCUGCUAUGUGUAGAUGCGUUUAUAAUUAAACUACACAGAAGCCAUGAUUCCAUAUCAAAGAAAGAAAAAUGACUUACUGAUUUCUUUAUCUCGGCCAUCUUGACUGGAUUGUUCUUAAUCCUUGCAAUGGCAUCCUGUUCACGCUGCCUUAUUAGCAGCAGAGGAUCAGAGUGAAGUUUUCUCCAUGUGUCAUUUGCAGACUGGGGCUUCUCCUCAAAUAAAGCUCCCAGUGAAGCUUCCUGAAUCAUCCAAACACACAAAUAAGCAUUGUAACUACAAAAUCACUUCAAUAUUAAUAGUGAUGUGUUAAAUAGGUAUCUUUCUAAAUCCUCAACUCAAGUUUUCCAUCUCUAUAUAGCCUAGACAUAUAGCUGGUAUAAUUUAGUGCAACUGUUAAGGGCCCUGAAGUAUUUUGGCUACAGAACUACUAAAGCACAUGAAACAAGUGAACCGCUUCCUUGAGUAAUUCAAUACAACUACUAAAGAAGAAUAUCGAUUUGAAAUGUCAAAUGUUGGGCUCUUGCAGUGUAUAUCACCAAAAGAAAUCCUGCAACAGAUUUGGAAACAAGAACCUUAAAACCAACUGUUGUGCCCAGUGCUUUUGUGGGACUUGUGGUCUUUGUGAAAUAAUGUUAAUGAAAAUGAGGAACACGCAGAUAUAAAAGCUGUUGUUGUAGUGUGAGGCAGAACUUUUGGAUGUGUUUGGCAAGCCACCAGCGUGGAGCAGAGCUGGGACGGAAAUCAAAUUCCGGCCUCAUGCCCAUGAACUCAAACUGAACUUUGAUGGGUCGAUACGGGAGCAAUCACCUCAGGGAGGCUGGGGGAGCAAUUCUCGGAGAUUUUACAGGUGCAGCGAUCAUGGCAUGGGCUGGGAGGCUAAACAACAUGCAAGAUGCUUGGAUGAGUUGUUACUUGUUAUAGACACUGAUGGCAUCAACCUGCGUUACGCUCUGUUGUCCAAGGAGUUAGAUGAGGGUCCUAAUUAUGCCUUAAUUGGUGAGUUCCAAAGUUCUUUCUCCUUUGAUUUUGAAGGGUUGAUCUGUCGUAUUGCCAAGAGGCAGUGAUGUAAUUGCUCAUAAACUUGCCAAGUUCAGAACAUAACUAGACUUGUGGCUUCCUGCAGUGACUUGAUGAGCUAUCGAUGCUUGUUACUGAUCUGGCAACUAGCGAUCUGGCUGGUUCACUAAGUUGGAAUGAUCCUAAUGAACUGUAUAAUGUUUUGUAAGUAAAUAACAAACACAAGAUUUACAGAAGUAAUAUAGCUAUUUUCUUUCUCUUUGACACUUGUUUAGGCCAAAAAAGGUGCAAAUCCACAAAGAUCACUGGACUAGAAUCACCAGAGAUAAGAAACAACUGCAGUACCUUGGAAGAACCAGCACUCGCUUGAGCAGAAGAGGAAGCUGCUGCUGCUGCUGGGCCAGGUUGCUGCAGUGCUUGGAAUCCAUCGGAGCUACCCUUGCCGACGCCCAACCCUGACUCGUAGAGGAAUUCCAAUCUCUCUUGCCUCCUGCAAAAAACUGACAUCACAUAAGCAAGCGGCAGCCCAAUUUCCCACAAGCGGAUAUGGGGAUUUCCUGACAGUUCGUGCGAACAAAUCAAAAUGAACAGAUCCAACCAAAUGCUUAGCCCGUGAAACAAAAUAUAUCGGAUCACCUAAAUUUUACAAACAAUCGAACAUGACUUCAAAAUCCCGCAAAUUUUCGCCCAAAUCACACACGAAUCAUCACAGGCAAAUCGAAGCAGCCCCAAAAAUCACCAAUCCAAACCCUACACCGGAGCCGCCCGGGAACUCAUCGAUCCGGCGGAAAAUCUCUACCGAAACUCGACUCCCCCACACCGGAGCCGCACGCACGAAACCCUAGCAAAAAAAAACGAACACAGAUGGAUGGUACGAGUUGCUUACGGCUUGAAUCCGGCCUUCUCCUGGAUGGCGCGGAACUCGGCCUUCUCCCUCUCCUCCUUGAGCUGCUUCUUGUACUCCUCGAUCUUGCGCUGCUCGUCCUUCUCCUUCUGCUCGGCCACCCACACCUUCUCCACGUUGCGGAGGCUCCCCGUGUGCCACCCCUUCUUGUUCAGAAAUUUCAUCCCCAUGGUGGGCAACCCUCUCCUCUUCCUCCGCCCCCUGCUGCCGCGAGCGCGCCUCUUCCCCCUUCUCUCGGCCUCUCGCUCCUCUUCGCUGCUUCGCCCCCUCCGCGUCUGCUUCGAAACGAGAGAGAGAUCAGGAAGGAGGUAGCCGCCGCUUCAGCGCCAGCGACUAAUUAAACGCUAAGCAAAUUUCUCCGCUUCCAAUUGAGGAAGGCGUAUUCCAGUUGGAAAAAGAGUUGGUUUGUGGAGGCCCAUCGAGAUGUAUUGGACCCAACAGGCCCACAAGAUGUGCAGUCUGGCUUAUUUGGGCUGAGUCUGGGCGGAAGCACAUGACUCUACAUGAUGGGCCUGAGACUGGGCCCGAUGGGCACCGUUUCCCUACGCCGUGGCAAUUGUUUUGCUAAUCAUCAGUUGCUUGAAAAUCGCUCAAAAAAAAAUCAGUUCCUUGAUAGUUUUAUAUAUCCCCGCCACUAAAUUUGCACGUCAUUUGGCCUAAAAUUUCUUUAUUUAAGGUGUGCCAUUUUAGCAAAGGGUUAAGGUACACAUGUCAUUACUCAGAUUUGAAAGAAACUUCAAACAGUUUAGAAAUAGACGAUUCCUAUAGCAUUUGAUUUUUUUAGGUCUCUUGCCAAACCUGCCUCAUCCACUUGUCGUAUAUUGUCUGGCACAUAAGAAAAUAUAGUAUUCAAUAAUUAUCAAUUAUUGUACUUCCUCCGCCUCAUAUUAAAUGACUCAAAUUUGCCCAAAUAAGAAUGUAUCUAUGUCUAAAAAACGUUUAGAUACAUGUAAUAAAAAGUCACUUAAUAUAAGACAGAAGUAGUACCAAACAUAGGGAAGAAUUAAUUGUGCAGCUCAUAUCUUUGUGUUAAUCCUUAUCCAAUGCACGACAUUAAUAAUCAUCCAUAGAAAUCUUGUACACUGCUAAUUAUAUUCAAUACCUUUCUAUUUCGAGUUUCAUCGUUAUGUAAAGGCGACUUGUCCCUAAAACUCUGGUAUUACUCGGCCAAUGGUGUUCCGCAUGGAUAACUUUAAUCUUUCUAUUGUGGUUUUGUGUAGUCUUCUUCUGACCGGUGGUGACAUAGUUGGAGGUAGAAUUUAUGCUGCAAAUCAGGUGCGUAUGAAAUCUGCAAUCUGCGGUACCAUGUUAAUUUGUUCUAUCUUGACUUGGUGUGCAUGUGGUCUAUAAUAUAAACUUGUUUCUCCACUUACAAAUGUUUCUCUUCUUUUUUAUUGUAGGAGAAACUCGGCAGCUCAAAUGCAGGAGAAGCACCAUUGGGCAAGUUAAAUCCAAGCAACCUAACGACCGAUGGUUUGGCAUCUUCUUCUGCAGGUCUACUAUUCAACAUGAUCAUGAAUGGUUUAGGCACAGUUCAAGAGCCAGACAAUCAAACUUUGGUAACACUGAAUGCUGCCCCUGCCGCCUCCUCUUAUGUAAGUAGUAUGUUGUUUAUAUACCAAAUAAGGCAUAGUUCAAGAGUCAAAAAAUCUAAAGGUUCUGUUGGCACCAAGUUGAGGACUUGAAGUGGAUAUAUAUCACAAGAAUUGAGAAAGAAAUCAAUCACCAAAAUUUAGGCAUAUAUGAAUAGUGGCAAGUUGACUAAUUAAUUAUGCCUAAGGUGGGGACUACGAUGGUGGCUUAGGGCAUGUACAAUGGAGUGACGUCAGCCUUCUCUUAGCGAUGCCACAUAAGAUAAAAUCUGACGUAGAAGAGAGAGAAAUGAAGAAAAGACAUAAGCCUUUUCUUAAUUAAGAGAUGAUCUCUUCACAAGAAUGAUAAGGCAAAAAUAAGGCAAAUUUACCAUUGUACUAUAUUUCACGUUUUCUUAGCAUUUAUUUAGUUAUAUUUAUUCAUCUAAACAUUAAUUUUAAGAUAGAACACUAAGAGAUAACCCAUUGUACAACAUGUUUUUUUGUCUUUUCAAAUUGACGUGGAAUGACUAAGAUAAGACAGUCUUAUCAACCAUUGUACAUGUUCUUAGGGGCUUAAACCUUUUUCUCUGUGCUAGCAAGCUAGGGGUUUGAACCUCGAAGAGACUGAUAUCAUGCAUAUUUCUCAAAAUAGAUGGAAAUGACCAUUUGAUCAAAUAUGUUGGUUUUGUAAUGUUGUUUUUAAAGGAUUUUUUUAAACCUACUGCCAUACAAGUAGAACCAUAACUAGUGGUGUAUACCAACUUAAAAAUACUUGCACAUUUUAUUUGACAGGUUGUGUUAUAUGGAACAGAUCAGGAGCAGGAAUACUACGGGAUCGAAAUCUACGAUAGAAGUAGAUGGUUUUACAUUAGAUGUAACAGAAAAUAGUGGAGCUGCGUUGAUUUUGAAGAAUAGACAAGGUUUCAAUUAUUUUUCUGUUGGAUGGCAUGUAAGUUUUAAUUAAAUUUUAGUUUCCUACGAAAAUCAUAUUCUGUAGUGUUGUCAGCUCUUUAGUUAAUAACAUGUUGUUCCCUAACUUUAUAUACAGGCUCCUCCAGGGUUGUACAACGGUGAUUUGGGGACACAUUUUUUCGUUUUUUGGACAGUAAGUACACUAUAUCAGUUUUCUACAUGUUACCAAAGUCUUGUGUUUUAUACUUUUGUAAUUACACUACAGUGGGAUCGAUAUGGAAAGACGGGCUGCUUCAAUUUAGACUGUCCAGGUUUUGUGGUUGACAAAGGCGCGACUAUACUUCCGGGAAGUAGACUGCAAUUAGUUUCUCACCCUUACGGAGUCAAGCGUACCAUUACCUUGAGAGUUCUUAAGGUUAUUUUCUAUUCUAAUACUAAUCAUUCUCAUCCAUAUUACUACUAUCUAGUAUUGAUUUUGUUCCAUACUCAUUUCUUUUUGUCUUUUAUAUAUAGGAUAAGGGCAUGUAUAAUGGUUGAUAAGACUGUCUUAUCUUAGUCAUUCCACGUUAAUUAGAAAAGAUAAUAAACAUGUUGUACAAUGGGUUAUCUCUUAGUGUUCUAUCUUAGAAUUAAUGUUUAGAUGAAUAAAAUUAACUAAAUAAAUGCUAAGAAAAGGUGAAAUCUAGUACAAUGGUAAAUUUGACUUAUUUUUACCUUAUCAUUCUUGUGAAGAGAUCAUCUCUUAAUUAAGAGAAGGUUUGUGCGUUUUCUUCAUUUCUCUCUCUUCCACAUCAGAUUUUAUCCUAUGUGGCAUCACUGAGAGAAGGCUGACAUCAUCUCAUUGUACACGCCGUGAAGCAACCGGAGAUUGGCUAAUCCAUGGUGGAUUGGAUUAUGCAAAGCCACAUUUGAUUGGAAGCUUUCCAAAGUCCUUGCUUGAGAAAGCAACCGAGAUACAGUUAAGUGGAUUUGUGUCUAGUUUGAAAAGUCGUCGUCUGGUGCCAAUGGGAAGCGGGGUUCGUCCUGGCAAUCCGCAAGCUGCGUCAUUCAGAAGCUGCUACCUUCUGGAUCAAAAUGGACAGAGGAUAAGAUCUUCGCAGCAUUUUGUUCCAUACAUGACAGACGAGAAGAUAUACUCCUUGUCCCCGAUGAGUCCCGUGGGUGCGUUCUCGUAUGGCGGGCCGGAUAUGAAUGGCAUGUUAUCUGUAUCACAUGACUAGAUUGCACAACAAAAAUAUUUUUGCCUUUGGUUAAAUGUCUCCAAAAACAAAGUUUAAACAUGUGAUUUUACAGCAAUUAUGAAGAAUUAUUAAUAAUUAUUUUACAUUUAACACGCGCCUUCGUAUCGCGUUAUGUAAGUUCCCCAAGCAUGGAACACCUCCUGACAAAGAGCACAAGAAAGAACAAACAAUCUUCUUGAAUGUACAAGCGUUUAUAUGCAAGCAUGUGAAAAUAAAGUACUCCCUUUCCUUGGGAUUGUGUCGCAUCCUUCAAACAUUGCACAAUUACAGCACAAGGUAAAUUGCUUCGUUCAGGAGCAGCCACCUUCUAGAUCAAAAUGGAGAGAGGUUAAAGGCUCCGCAACAACAUUUCGUUCGUCACAUUACAGACAGGAAGAUGUACUCCGUGUCCCGAAUAAUGCUCCGGAGGGUGCGUUCUCUUACGGCGGGCCGUCGUUUUGAACGACAUGUUUAUCCAUAUCAUAUGACUAGAUUUGUACACAAAAAUAAAUAAUCUGUGUCUUUGUUUACAUGUUUUGAGUUCCAAAAACAAGAAGGUUAAGCAUCUGAAUUUGCACUUAUUAUGAAGAAAUAUCAGUAUGAUUUUACAUUCAACACGCCAAGUUCCUGCCUUCGUAUCACGGUGCGCAGGUUCCUGUCAAGUUAAGGAAUUAUGGACAUUGAAAAUGAUAAUCUUGUGAAGAAUCGGUAGGAAUAAAAGCAGCUUUUACAGACUUUCGAGGAGAAUAUCCAUAUGACAUACAUACUACACAUGUAGGGUUGAAUCCUUGUUCUGGUACAACAACGGUAAGCGAACAUCAACCCAUCUACCGUUACAAAGGGAGACCUUAGAUGAUUUACAGAAAAAAGCUUCUCACAGAACAAAAACUUUGUUAUACACAAACAAGUAAAGAAGCCCAAGCAUGGAACACCUCCUGACAAAGAGCACAAGAAUGAAUAAACAAUCUUCUUGAAUGUACAAGCCCUGCCAGUCCGGAACAAUCUGGGGAAGGGGCCUAAAAUUGGCUAGAACAAGUCCCCAGACCGAAGAAUUUUGCACUCGGCUGAAAAUGCUUGUAUCGGCUGAGAUGCGCCUAUGUGAGUACCCUGAACGACUUUCACCGGAGCAGAUGGUUUUUUUCUUGGUGUUCAUUCAACGCCGUUUCCUCCAGCUGGUCGAUCUCUUGUCACCUGACAGUUUUCUAGGGAGGUUCAAGAGGGAAUUUACCCGUGUCACGCCUUCAAGCGCAGACCAUUCCUCCUCCUCGUUAGUGGAUAUGCAGUCAGCCAGGCUACGUGCAGAGGCGCACCUUUCAGGUUCCUUCAAGACAGGAGGUUCGUCCACUGGCAUAAUCUCAUCAACGUUUCUAAGCGUGGAUGAGUGUUCCAAUGUGGGCUCGGGGAUUUGCUCUUGACUGGAGGAAUGUACAUUUACGUCUGCAGUGUUUUCAUAAACACUAGCAUCUGGGAUCGAAGCCUCCACGGCAGGUUCUUCUCCAUUCUUGGCUUCAUUCUCUUCAACCGAGUCAGGUGAGUUUCCAUGGUCCAGGAAUAAGCAAACAGCAGCGCAGUCAUCACUCUUGGAUGUUGGGAACUUCAAUCUCCAUGAUCUGACAGCACAAUCAACAAGAGCCCUGGCGGCCGUUGCUCGAGAUGGGGCUGCAGCUACAACAUCAACAGCCUCCUUGUUUGAGAGAACGUCCCAAACCUACAGUCAUUGAAUUUUUCCGAAUAUAACAGGGUUCAAGCAGGUGAAGGAUGUAACGCGUUUAUAUGCAAGCAUAUGAAAAAUAAAGUACUCCCUAUCCUAAGGAUUGAUUCGCAUCCGCCAAUCAUUGCAGAAUUACAGUACAAGGUAAAUUGCUAGAUUUUGUGUGCACCUGGAACAACAAAUGGACAGGAGACCAUAUCACCUUUUAUCACAUUAACGGAUUAUUUGGAAGGAAGGGGAUAGGCAGGGAAAAUCAACUAAUACCAGCAUCCACCCAAAGGGAUCGGUCUAGUCCCUGCUUACAAAAUAAGCCCCCAGUUUGUCACAAUGACAAUGUGAACAUGCUGUACAGACUCAAAGCUCGAUUAUCUAAACCAGAGGAUUAAAGUCAGUGUCCAUCAUUUUCUGGUUUUAGUUAUUUUUGAGUUAACUUCUUGUUUCUGAUAUCCUCAAGGGCGACGUAUCAAGUGAAACCUCAGUUCGGUGAAAACUUCUGAUCCUAACGACUGGAUCUCAUAAACGGAUCGGAUGAAAGGUGGAACCUCUAAUCACUUAAACGUAUUUUAUAUGAAGAAAAAAACUCAUCACUAGAUGUCCAGGGUUUUUUUUCUUCAUAAAAUACGUUUAAUGAUGAGUUUUUUCUUCAUAUAAAAUACGUUUAAGUGAUUAGAGGUUCCACCUUUCAUCCGAUCCGUUUAUUUGAGAUCUAAUGGCUAGGAUUGGAAGUUUUCAGAUUUUCACUGAAUAAAGGUUUUCACCUGAUACGCCCUCAUUCUCAAGACUGAAGCCAUGUAACUAUACCAAUAACUUGUUCCAUGUUGCUUCCUCAAAGCACAAAUUAUGUAGAUCUAUGCCUGGUCCUCAGAGUGAUGCUACCAAGGUUCAGACUUCAGAGCAAAAUAUGUCAGUUUAACUGAAAAGUAUAACAGGAAGCCUAGAAGCAAAAGCCCUAAUCCUAGGAUGUGAAAGCUAGAAGUGUAUGCUGAAUUUCCAAGCAUAUUUGCUAUCCGUGAGAACUCUCAUACGUACAUAGAAUGAAGUUACAAUUUAUUUAUCCCUCGUAAAUUAGCUGGUUGGAGAACUCAGAUGCAUGCAGUUGACAAGUAAAAAUAAUAAUUUGGAGGAUCAUUUAAAGAUGAUAAGAAGCAUACCCCAUCAGUGGCUAAUAUUAUAAACUCAUCCUUUUCAGUCAGACGGCGAUAUGAUAUCUCCGGAACAGAUAUUAAACCAUAAUCUUUAAGGCAGAAGUCUCCAAAAGCUCUUGCCAUUGCCAAUCCAGGAGAAUCAUUAUUUGGCAACCAUACCCUGGAAACUUCUGGUUCAUCCUGAAGAGCAAAAACUCUUCCUCUACAUUGCUGGAUCCUCGCAGCUUCCUCUGAAGAAAAAGAAACAAACAUUAAAGUCUAAAUUAACCAAAAGAAAAUGAUCCAGUAUAGUAAAUGAUACUUUGAACAAGGCAUAUUGAGGGACGAAAUGGAAGAAAAAACUCAUAAAUGCAAAAAUCAACAACUCCCAAAACCCAAGAAACCAAAUGAAAUUAUCAGAGAGAAAUGAACAUACUGGGAAGGUUAGGCUUCAAAUCAACAGUGAGUUGAACAGCAGUUAGAUGGUUAGAAGCAUCCCGUGUCGCCAUUAUUGCUCUCGAGUCCCCAAGAUUUCCAACUACAAGAUCCCAUCCCUGGAGAAUAAACCAUGUCCAGUUUAUCCAUCAAUUUAAAUUCUAUUGCGACAACUUUUUUUCAAGAGCUUCAUUCAGUAAUUUAUCUACAAACACCAAGGGCUUGUUUAGAAGUAUCGAUCACCUGUUUGACCAACGUGACUGCCGUACUGCCACUGCAAAAGCAAUCAAUUGUAGGAUGCAGCUUGAGCUCCUUGUCCAUUAAUUUGAAUGCCUUCAAAUAAGACUGCUUAAGUGGAACGAACAUCUCAGGAAGCAUAUCACUCCCAUCAACAUCAACAGACUCACCCCAUUCAUCAUCAAUAGCAGAUGCCGUUUCUUCAGAGUUCAAACUUGCGGAAAUGCUUCCGUUUAGUUGAGGACUAGUACCCCCAUUACCACUGGUUUUCCAUUGUGUGAGUAACUUGACAGGGAGAGAAUCUCUAACUUUCUUGGCCACAAAAUGACCAUAUGGCCCAUGACCAUCAAAGACGCCACAGAAGACACUAUCACUUGAAUUGAAAUUCUGCAGUAAAAGCAAGGGGACAUCACAUAGUUGUUAGUUAGAGUUUAAUGGAAUACAAGUGUCUUCUUUUCCAUCACUAAGUCAGUAUCCAGUGAUCCGAUCAGCUAGAAGUGACUAUUGUUAAUUAAUUUCUUAAAAGCAAAUGCAGCAAUGCACUUACUAUUUCCACAAAAUAUACUGAAGAGAUGGAACGAGUUACGGUAAACUGCACAAUGCUCAUCUUUUCACCAUAGAGUUAAGAAUAUACUCCCUCCGUCCCAUAUUAAGUGACUCAAAUUUGUCCAAAUAUGAAUGUAUCUAUCCCUAAAAAGCAUCUAGAUACAUGUAAUAGAAAGACACUUAAUAUGGGACGGAGGGAGUAGUAUUUGUGAGCGGGCAAGUGAGGGGAAGUGCAUAAAGGAUUUUGAAUGGAUAAAUGUAUGAAAUGUUCCUACGAUGGAAUCAGAUAAAAUCAGAUAAUAGGACUUCAAAUAGUGCCAAGAAACCAUGGAGAAACUCAACACCUAGUCACAAUAAACUCACAUAUGAGAAUAUUCCUACAUCAAAGAAGUUUCUAAUACUCAAAGACAAUGUGGAAAGACGAGUAGGAAGACUUCCUGUAUAACUUAACAUCUCAAAGGAAGAGGAACAUGACACAAAAUAAUCAAGGAGACGAAAUAAAAACUGGAAGAUAGAGCUAAAGGCUGAUUCAACUUGAUUCCAACAUAAACGAAAAAAAUAUGUGUCAAGGGAGUAUCUCCCACUCCAAUAAAGGAAGUACCUUUUUGCUUUGAAUAUUAUCGAUCCACAGCACUAUCCUGAGAAUCUACAGGUAUAAACUCUCUUCAUUGUCAUCUUAAGUACAUGAUCCUUCAUGCAUCUUAGAAGUGAAUGGCUUUACUUCAUGUGGACUUGCUAAAAUGACGCACAAAAUACAUUUUCAAACCUACAUACAUUUUGGCUGGCCCUAGGUCUUUAAAAAAGAGAAAAAAUAAACAUAUUGCACUUCACCCAUCUCUUUAGUUAACCUCCUGUUAUUAUCAAAACCUACUGUUUAAGGAACCAACAUAGCACUUAUUCGUCAAACCUAAGCUGCACUGGUAAUUGAUUAGGAUGGAGCCUAGAUGGAGCAAGCCAGCUAUCAGUUGCCCCCGCUUCACUUGACCUCUCAAUCACAUCAAUGUCAAGAAAGGGACAAGAAUAUAUCAUUCUUUAAAUAAAAGAGAACAAAACAAAGAAAGGUAUAAACAUUUGCUAAGGAUCUUGCUUGCAACAUAGACAAUGUCUUGAACCAAUGCAAAGACAGCCGUAGUCCUUCAAUAUCACAACUAAUUCAUGUCCCAUCUAUCAUACAGCACUUCUAAAAAAUUAUCAAAAACUUUGAAGAGCACACAGCAACACACCGAAAAUUGGUGUUCUGCUCGUUUUCUUACCGAAGCUCAAACUAUCCAGCACAGCAAAAAGGUGCAUCCUUUGGAACCAGAUCAAGAAAUGCCCCGACUCCAACCCAACUACAAAUCCAGACCUAUCUGAACUUAAUCGAUAGCAACCGGACGUUAAUCACCAUGCUGGAGCAAAAUCCCUCGCAUUUCGAAUAAAACAAUCCGUUACAUAAAGUAGUUUCUCCCCUUGAACCAUACAACAUCGAAAUCCAAAUCGAUAAUCACAGGCACGAACCAAGACAUUAACACGAAGAAGACUUCGAAGAGUAAACGCAAGGAGUUGACUUAGUGAGGCGGCUCUGUUGGUGCUCAGAAUCGCUAAUGGAACGAGCGCCGCCGCUGAUCGGUGCUCCGAAUCCACCGGGAAACGAGAGAAAAUAACGAAUAGCGGUUUGUAGUAGCUCACCUCCCACACGACCAUGGCGUCCUGGUUGGUGCCCUUCCGCCCCUGCUGCGUGUGGAGGCACGCCACCGCGCUCGCGCCGUUCGCGCACGUCCUCCCGGCGACCCGCGCGAGCUCCUCCUCCGUCAUCUCCCCGCCGCCAGGGAGCUUCUUGCCGCCUCCACCGCCACCGCCGCUGGAGAAGAAGCCGAAGCCGCCGCCGCCGGCAGCCGCGGCGCCCUCCCGCUCGUCGCCGCGCCUCUUGCGCCACCGCUGCGGCCACGCCGCCCCGUCGCCGGGCUGGGUGGAGAGGCAGGAGCCCAUGGGCGGCCAAUGGGAGCGCGGCAACACGGCGGAGCACAGAGUUGGAGGGGGCAGCACAGUAACUGCUGCGGCAGCGCUAUGCCUAUGGUGGUUGUAGGUUUUUGAGAUGCUUGAUGUUUCCUCAUCUUGUAGCCUUUGAGCUUUAUUACCCUUUCUGUGUCAUUUGGUUUGCAUGGUCUUCUUACAUGGAGAUUUGGGCUCAAAAAAUAAAUUAAAAAACUGUCAUGAUUUUUAAGUGGGGUUAGGUUGGGGGUUGUGCAAUUGAUUAUGUUUAUCAUGAAGUAGCCAUGGUGUUUCACCUUUUGGGUGGAGGAAUGAAGGUAUCCUAGGAUGAGGAAAUUGCUACUCCAAGAUAAAAUCUUCUCCAACUCUUGCCAAUUAUUUUCAUAUUUUGUCCAGUGACUAGUCUGAUCAUGCCAACACAAAUGGUUCUAGCUACACUCCUUAAAAUAUAAGCUGAAUUUUAUGUGUGUGUUUUUUGCAUGGCACAUUUAAUCAUUUUUUUCACAUGCCAUAUUUUUUAUAACAAUAAAUUUAUUUGAGAAUUGCUAGGCAGUAGCACUUGCAAUACUUCUAAUUUAAGCUAUUGUUUUGAUGAUUUAUAAAUUCAGACAGAUGGUACAUAGAAUUAUAAUGACAGUAGAAAAUCAGGAACAUCGAAGCCAUGUACCGCUAGCAUUGGCGCAGUAGUAAGGAAAAUCAAAUCCAAGUACCGGUGGUAUUGACAUGAACAGUAAACAAAAGCAAAUCCAAGUACAUACAGUAGCAUGGAUCCAAGGUCCAAGGGAGGGCACAGCAAGCAUGUGGCUCUGUCUUCUUAGCACAUUGAUGGGCGCAAGCAGUACAAAAUUUUAGUAGUAUUAUAUUUUGCAUUUGCAGAGGUCGACUAAUCUUAGAAACUGAUAUGUAAUUAUAAAUUUUUUAAUAACCAGAUCCAGCACUUCCCAACAUGCCACAUGAUAUACAUACAUAUUCCUUUUUGUAGCAUCACUGGUGUCUUUUUGGUGGAUCAGAAUAAGCAAUAGUAUGCAGACAGAGCUUAGAGAAAAAUGUACUAGCUUGAAUAACUAUCCAAUAAUAAUCGACACCUCUUAAUCAAUUUUGGAGGUGAAUCAGAUUUCUCUUAAGCAACUGCAUGAAGAUAGCAACAGCAUCGUUGCAGACCGGUCUUCCUUUCAAACUUCUUUUGAGCACCCUUUCAACAGAAAUGAACUCCUUUUUCAGCAAGGAGCGACCUUUUGGCAUGCCUUUUCUUGGUUUCCAGAUUGUGUUUUCUUCUCCCACUAUAGACAUGAAGAUUUCUCUUUUGGCAUAGUCUUUUUGUGUGCAUAGGAAAAAGGCGACUAUCUUGUAGGUUGUUCUUUGUCCUCAUUAGCACAAGUACUGACAAUGGGACUACUAAUUAAUACAUAGUGUCCCUGUCAUAAGAUUUUAAUAUUAAGCCACUAUUUUUUGCCUAAUGUACAGUGAUGCAAAGAUAGCAAACAGUUGUAUUGACAGUGACACAGUUGUGUAUAUCCAUGCGCAUAUAUUUCCUCUCUUUUAUUUUUUGAGAGUGAGAAAGAUGUACUACAGUAUUAUCUUUAUUAUACCUUUUGCUAACGGAAAUGCAAGUCAAUGCUGGGUGCUGCUUUAGCCGGUGUUGAACCUGUGGGCGUGUUCAACGGUCAGAUAAGUUUUUUUCAGACUUGGACUGUUACACAGAGGAUCGAAAUAAGUCGUUUGUAGAUUGAGUUGACUAAUUAGCCAUUUGUUGUGGUACAAUGAACAACAUUUUAUGACAGUGAUUUUGUAAUUAAGAUUCUAACAAAGUACAUAUCUUAUGGUUGGACCAGAAGAUACUGUUGCCCUUGGAGCUUAGCGCUAGUAAUAAACAAGUCCGAUCAGUCUGAUCCUGCAGGACUUCGACUGCAAGCUCGCAAUCUCUUCUAAGGGAGUGCUGUCAACAACUUAGAAUUAUUUGGUUAGGUUGAACGCAAUAUAUGUACUAUAAACUCAUUUAAAAUGGCAACAUAUUGCACCAGAUCAUUGACCGGCCUCUAUUUUGUUUAGCUCAAACAAGGAAACACUUAAUUUAGCAGAGCGUGGACGGCCGAUCAACCAGAGCACCAUGGCUGGCCAAACUACAUAUGGUUGAUCCUUAUGGAAGAACCGUUCGGAAACGAUGGUACACGGUUCGAAUUUAGAACAUGAUCAAGGAUUGGUUGGGGAUCAAAAUGUUUAACCCGAAAGAUUGGAUUAAUGCAGACAUUAGCAGGCCUGGAUGGAUAGUUGUGGUUUAUUGGAGGGAAGGGCGCCGAAAAGCUAACGAACCGUCGUAUCCUCGCCUUGUUCAAUUAUCGAGAGAGCAGUCUAAUACCAAAAUAAAAUAAAAUUUGACAGUAUAUGUAUCUUUUUUUCUAGCAGAUCGGUUUUUUAGAAUAGAUGAUUAUCUUAACAUGAUAUCAGAGGUUGGUUGCUACUUAUCUUAACGCGAUGCACGCAGACAUGCAAGGGAUAGCUACGCUGGCAAAGACCGGGAAAAGGGAAAACACGAAGCCUGAUCUCCAACAGUGACCCGUUGCUGUAAGUCCCGUUUGGCCAGGGCCAGACAGAACCGAUGGAUGAUCCACCGUCCGCAGCAGCCAAAGCUUGGUCGAUCUCACUCAUCUGUUGCAUGCAUUGUUAUAGGCACAUGGACGAAUGUUUGGUCCCACUCCGGACCCAGGGUGGUGGAGUUGAUGGCAGUGUUGUAUGCAUUAUCAUCGACGGAUGGGCCAACAAAGCCAUUCAGGGGGGGCACCAACAGUUCAGUUGCCGGCCGCUCGAUCACUCGCCUCCGGACAUCACCGCCAGCAGUAAUAUAUCUCUUGUGACCAGCGAUCCUUAGAGAUGUCUUUCUUUUCUCAGUAUGUAGAAAAACAGUAUUGCUGACCGGCACAAUUUACACAGCUUCAGUUGGCAGUGAUGAAAAGGAUCCCGCUUAUGUCCCGAUUCUAGCCACCAGAGAUUUGCUAGUUUAAUGUAAGGGUAGUAAAGGUUCGUCACAGUUCCGAAAGCACUUUUGACGGAAUCAUACCCACACAAUUACCUUUACUUUAGAUUAUUUUUUUGCCUCAUUGAACAUAAUUGCUCUAGAUUUAAAACCCCUCUUUUUUAUUGUCUUUGUUGAGAAAAAGGUUGGCUCGCGCUGACCAGUAGAUGUGGACACGCCGGAGAGAGCCAAGAAACAAGCUGCCGGCUCCGUCCCUCAGGUCGGUACGGGGAAUGCUGCAUUCCGAAGGAAAAUUAAACAAAAAGCGGUGAAAAGUUCUUGUCACGGAUAUUGAAUGGCAAGCGACCAAACCCAACAGCACCGCCUAUCCCAAUCCCAGCAGUUAAUGCGGCCGGCGACGAUCGCCGCCGAGAUCGGUCGCCGGAUUUAAGAAGCCGAUGGUGACAGGAAUUACUCGAUGACCACCCGUAAAAAUGCAGCAAUCCAAAGCAGCCCCCUGAUGAGUGUAGUACUAUACCUGAGACCGUAUGGUGGACAAACAAAGCCGACAGCGGUGCCUGAGUGUGCGAAGACGGCAAAGGAUCUGCGCAAGAUCUCAUGCUUCCGUACUGCGUCUAUCUUUCUACUGUAGCCAAGAUCCGUUUUGUGCUAUCGAAAAGGGAGGGAGGGAGGGGGGGUUGCAGCAGGCUGGGCCUGGGUUUAAAAUGAGGAUGCAUGGAAUUCUUGCCGAUUUUCUUUCUCACACACGGAGCUGGAUCGGCCGGAGCACGCCAACUGAAAGAAAUCAGAUGAGAAGCGGCGAAAAUAUUCGAAAAGGCGCAGGCCUCAUCUGACGCGGCAACACGACGGUCCAGAUGCAGGCAUGCAGCAAUCUGCUGCUCAAAUAUCAUACUACUCUGCUGACUUGCAACUUGUUGGGCUUUGCCUGUAUUACUAGCAGCUAACGAACGAGUCUGAAAGAGACACAACGCAGGGAGACUUGGUGGAUUGAUCUGAUCCCUUACCCUAUGUUGGGGUGGACUGGACUUGUGGCUCCUCUAAUAGUCACACUUGCAUUGCCAUAAAAUUCAACAGAGCAUCUUCCUUGACAAGGACUCUGAGUCUUACUGAACAUUCAACUACACGUUUCUGGCGCGGGGCCACUCUCUUCCGCGUUUCAAUAGCACGAGGAGAGAAUAUCAUACCGCCGCUCACUCCAAAAAUAAAAGAAGUAGAAGAAGCGACGCUGAUCAUUCGCAUUUCAAUACCACGGCAAGGUUUGCAAGCUCAUCGACGUAGCGAAUGAAGAUCUGACUCCCUUGACCAUUCUGUUCAGAUUGUGCGCUAGGUCCCCGUGAUGAACAUUCUUCGACAGAGGUCACAGAGCCGGUGAAUUGGAAAAAGCAUGUUGCUCCUUUGAUUAUGACUUCGUCAUGUUGGACUCGUCGUCGUCAACAAUGGACAGCCUAGAUUACAAAUCAAUUAACAACUGAUUUUGGUCGUGUAUAACCAGCUGCUAAUUGCCUCCACAGUUAAGGAUUCAUCCCUCAGGUAAUCGUAUUUCUUAGUGAUUGGGGUGGUACCGGGACGGAGGCAGGAAAAUUAUUAUAAUGGGGGCCACAUUAUAAAUUAUUACGGAGGGCCAAACACGAAAAUAAACACCUUGCAAAAGUAGGGAUCUAAGCGUAAUUUUCAGACCUUAUUAGUUUAAUGAAGGACAAUGGACGGUCCUCGCCAUUCUUAGGGUAAUGGAAAAGAGCUCUGUUUUAAGCUAAGUCUGUUUAGCCUUGAUGCCUGACAUAUUACCGCAUGCCAAAUGUGGUUAGCAAUUAAAAAUAUGACUGUCUGAAUCUGUGGAUGAGGAAUUUUCCUCGAAAAAGAAAUUUGUCUUAUCCAUUUUUCUUUGAAGAAACAACAUAAGUUUUGCUAUUUAUUGCCUUUAAUUUUUGGAAGCUCAAAAACAUGCCCAUUUCUCAGUUUUUAGGAGCAUGUAUCAUUUAUGACAAGCCAUUGUCUAAUUAACGAGUAGCUACAUAUUUCUAUCUUUGUGACUAUAAUUCACAAGAGCAGAUAGAAAACUACUCCCUUCGUUUCGUAUUAAGUGAUGAAAUAUUACAUGUAUCUAGACGUUUUUUAGGUAUAGGUACAUACAUAUUUGAGAAAAUUGAGUCACUUGAUAUGGGACGGGGAAUAUAACAUUACUCCAAUGCUCAUUGGUUGUUAUUUCCUUUACCUUUUCACUAUUAUACCUGUCCAUUUCUUCUCUUUCCACAGUUAUGUGAUUCCCAAGUUUGCAAAACAAUAAGUUCUCGACUCGUAUACCGAUACGAUAAGGCCGGGUCUGUUUGUCGGUGCUGGUUCCAUAUCAUCAUCAUUCAACGAUGUUGUCAAGUUCGAACUUACCUCACAACGGACUGGACCAGGCUACAGAAAGUGGAGAAAAAUGUUAUAAACGUUCGUAUGGAUACGUCUGGUCUCUAACAUCUCGUUUGGCAUCCAUCUUUUCAUUUCAUUUGAAAGGAAUGAAAUGAAAUCUAAUUUUUAAUAGGAUUUCAUUUGAUUGAAUUUGAAUUCCGGUUUCAAAAAUUAUGUUUGUCUAUCACAUGGAUUUGUAGAGCGAGAGUCAAUUCAAGGAAAAUGAUUACUUCUAGAGGGGAAUUGAUUUUAAUUAUAGUGUGAUUCCAUGAAAUUCGAGAUUGAAUUCUUGUGGUCAAUUCCGUGCCAACCAAACAAGACUGUUUUUGAAAUUUAAAAUGAAUUCCAAAAGGCCAAAUGAUGGGUGCCAAACGAGCUAAGAGAAAACCACAUACUUCCUCCGUCCAACAAAGGAUGUCUCAACUUUGACUAAAUUUGAAUGCAUCUAUACACUAAGCCAUGUCUAGAAACGUCCAAAUUUUGACAAACUUGAGACAUCUUUUGUUGUACGGAGGGAGUAGAUUUAAUACCAAGAUACUCCCGCCGUCCAACAAAAGAUGUCUCAGCUUUGAAAUUUGAAUGCAUCUAUACACUCAGUCAUAUCUAGACACAUCCAAAUUUUGGCAAAUUUGAGAUAUCUUUUGUUGGACGGAGGAAUAGUUUACAUGACAGCUCGUUUGCCAACCCUUCUUUUGACAGGAUUUCAUUUGGUUGAAUUUGAAUUCCGGGUUCAAAAAUCAUGUUUGUCUAUCACAUGAAUUUGUAGAGUGAGAGACAAUUCCAAAGAAAUGAUCACUUGUAAAGAGGAAUUAGGGUUAAUUAUAGUGUGAUUCCAUUAAAUUUGAUACUAAAUUCCUGCGGUCAAUUUCGAGCCAACCAAACAAACUUAUUUCUGAAAUUCAAAAUGAAUUUCAAAAUUCUAAAAUUCAAAAUGAAUUCCAAAAUUCUAGACCAAACUACGAGUGACAAACAAGCUAAGAGGAAAUCAAUACUAAGAUAAGUUUACAAUGAGAGUUUUCAAGCUGAAAGUCUUGUUUAGGCCUUGUUUGGUUAAGUUUAAUUUUGUGCUUCUGGGCUUAUAAACAACAACAAAAAAUCUGACAAAACGAAAUUGAGUGGAUCCGGGUCGGAAAGGAAUGAAAAGGAACGGAAAACCAGGGAGGGUCAGCAGGUGAGCAAAGCAAGGUCAGCAGCAGUGAUCACUCCGACGCACAAAAAUGGGCAAAGCAGUGCAUGCGGCGGAAACACUACUGCGGCACCGCACAGCACAGCAGUAUCCCCAUUCCCCUCUCCUGCUCCUCCUCCUCACCUUUCCCCUCCCCUCCCUUCCUUCCCCUGCCUCGGCGCCGCGCUGCCCUGGAUCCCCGGCCCCCUCCACACGGUGAGUAGUUCCCUUCCGGCCUUCGAUUCCGCGCCCCGCAACGCCCGAUCCUUGCCCCGAUUAGGUGGGUAUAUAUACAUACGUACAGCUCGCUCGGAUUUGUGGGGAUAACUGGCGGCUUGUUUGCUUCGGUGAUCGUAGAUGGGUGCGUGCUUGCGAUUCGGUGAUAUCCGCGUGACGGCGUGAGUGAGUGAUGUGAGGCGCUUUGUGGGAUUUUGCUUGGCUGUGUGUGGUUGGCCUCCGGUGCGGUUGUUCCCUUUGUAGUGCCAGUUCGUCGAAUGCGCGAUCCGAUUCUAGGAAGGUGCGAAUUUAGGUCUACCCUUCGUGUGGGUAUUGGUCUAGGUGAUUCUAGAAUUGUUCUAGGUUGACUGUUGCCCGACAAAAUGGGUCAUGAUGAAGUUGUGAUAUGUUUUUAUCUGUUUCGGUUCGUUCCUUAGAGAGGGUUAGAUGGAUUUACUUGUCCAAUGCAUGAAUUUUCAUGGACUCAGUACUGUAGUUCGAUUAGUGGAUGCAAUGUCGCUAUGGCAUAGAUAGUGCUGUUACCAUACAGUCAGUGUAGGCUGUUAUUUCCAGUUCGUGGAAUGUGUGAUCUGAUUCUAGCAAGUUGCGAAUGUAGGUCGGUUUUUGUGAGGUUGUUCGAUUGGUCUAGGUGAUUGUACAAGCGUUCUCGGCCACUGUGCAAUUUAGCUGAAUGGAAUGGUAGAGUAGUCAUGAUAUGUUUAUCUGGUUUUAGAGAAGGCCUUGAUGGAUUUGUCAGUUCAAUGCAUGAUUUCUUUUUAUGGAACACAUAAUUAGUUCGAUUACCAGAGGCAAUGUUGCUUAUGAGUUAUGACAUAGUUCUACAAUGAAAACUAAUGUAUGUGGUUGUUUUCAGUGGUUUUGGUUCUGGUAUACAUUGUUUGUUGGUGUGCCUGUUCAUGAAGUGUGCUCCCCUAGCUGAAGCAUUUUUGGGUGCUAAUAUGUGAAUUGUUUUCCUAACUUCUCUCUCCACAGGGAUCUUCCAAGAAAUAGUGUGGCAUACUGCUGUAGUAACUUUUGCUUCUCCUCUUCUAUGAUUAUCUCCGAUACUGAUAGGUGUAUUGGACUCCUCCUUCUCCAAUGGGCAUCGUGAAGGUGGCAGAUAGUAUGCUGGUAACGAAGAGCGUUUACAGCUGUGGAAAUGAGGACCUUACGCCAGAGGAGAGAUCGCUGCUUCAGACCUUUCCUGGUCAUGAAUCUGAUGACCGUGAACAUACAGAGGUCGGUUGCGAGCUUGCGAUGUCUGGAGGUCUAAUGUGCAAUGUUCCUUAUGAGCUGUAUGAUCUGCCUGAAUUGAAGGACAUACUUUCUCUGGAGACAUGGAACUUAUGUCUAACAGAAGAUGAUAGAUUCCGUCUAGCAGCCUACCUCCCGGACAUGAACCAACAUGACUUCUUUACAACAAUGAAUGAGCUGUUCAGUGGUAGUGAUAUGUUCUUUGGGAGUCCACUUAGAGGGUUUUUUGACAGACUAAAUGGUGGGUUUUAUUCCCCAGAAGUUUCUCAGGCAAGAGAAUUGCUGAUGAUGUUUCAAAGACGAAAGCAUUAUCAUUUUCUGAAAAUGUAUCAUGAUGGCAUGAUCUGGAAGUUUGCUUACAUGGACAAGCUGUGGAGAAAAAGUGGUACGAGUACCAGUCUCGAGGAGAAAGUUCACAUUUGGCACAGCUGGAUACAUCAGAAGCUUCUCACAUUUGCAGAUCCAAACAGUUCUCCUGUCAAUGCAAAUCUGUCAAUCGUUGGCAAGGCUGAAGCUGCCGGUUCUUCACUAUUGAAGCGAGCUAAACUUAUGGAUGUGACAGUGACUACUAAUUAUUCAGCCAAACACAAGGAAAUAGUCCAUAGAGCAGAAUCAAUGGAAAUGAGCUCAUCAAAAAGUCACAUGUUUCACCUUCCGAACGAGCCCAGUGAAAAAUGUAGUAAACUGCCAAAAGGUGUGCUGAAAAUAAGGACUGAAUGUGAGUCCCUUGCUUAUGGCAAUGCAAGAAUUCAUCAUGCAGCAGGAUUGAUACCACUCGAUCAGCUGCAAAUGCAGGUCUCUAGCUUUUCUCCUUAUGCUUCUGCACAGGAUGUACAUAGUUUUGCUGGGAAUUCAUCUUAUCCUUGUCACAUAAACACAAGCAGCAGUACUUGGGGCAAUUCAGGCUCAAAUCCAUUGCAGUGGCAGGAUGCAUCAGAAACUUAUCCUGUCUUGGUCAAAACUCCACUUGGAAUCCAAGCUACUGUUCUACAGGAGCUUGGAAGAGGCAGCCGCUCUGGGUAUCAUACGGCAGCUAAACAUACCUUAAGUUAUUCCAAUGAAGAAAAUGACACAAGAGAAUCCCCCCAUGAGAAGAACCUCUUGAAGAACUUUGGUCCACAGAAUGCCAUAAUUCCUGGAAGCUCUUUUGGCAUGUUCCCAACAACCAUUGUUGAUCAUCAAACGAGAUACUUAGACAGUCCAACAAAUGCUGAAAUUAUUUCUGAGAUGUUGACCCUUGGUACAAGCACAAACCCAUCUUACACCAACUUCUCAGAGCAGACUGAAUAUCAAGAUGGACCGAAGAUGAAGGCUCCUCCUGCCAUGGACUCUGUUACAAAAGUUGAAGACCACCAGUUCCCUUAUACAUACACAAGGAGGAAGCUGCACAGGGGGCUUGACCUUGUGGACCCUGUCAACAAACCAAGCAUGGUUGGUUCGGGGUCACCGAGUGUGCUUGCUAGCAUGGAAAAUGUAAAGGUGAAGGCAAUCAGGCUUUGAAGCUUGCAAUCAACAAACAAGGAGAUCUGAACAUAGAAAUGGGGAGCUGGGGACAGGAACGUUUUAGCAUCUAGCUGACAUAGUAAAUAAGUGUAAUCGUCGCUUUCUCUGCAACGCCAGAGGAUGAAGCCUGGAUAUGUAAGCAACAUUUCUGUAGGUGAAGUGUGUAAAGCAGACAGGUCUCACUUCCUAGUAGUUUCCAAGGGAACUUUUAUGCCAUUAUACACGUUCUGGAAGACAUUUUCUUGUUGUGAGCUUGUUCACAGAGAAUAGUCAGUAGAAUGUCUGGACUUAAUUCCAUUUUCCAACCACUGAGUUUUUUUUCUAUGUUUCCAAUUCAGUAUCAUCUCCAUUUCAACUUCUCAUUUAGUACUCCCUUCGUCACGAAAUAAGUGACGUGGGUUUAUAUAGCUUCUUAUACAAAUCCACGUCACUUAUUUCGGGAUGGAGGGAGUAUUUUCAUUUUUCCGCAACUUGUAGAAUUCGAACAAUACAGAUCAUCUUUAACUAUUACUAUUGUUCUAGUGAUGAUGAGGAUAGAAAUGGGGUUGCACAGCAGCCCUAAAACAAAGGCUGCGCAAUAUACGCGCAACGACCUAUUAAGUACUUUGUACUUAUACUAGAUAAAAGGAAAUAUAUGAGCUAAUUCACUACUUGGUUCCUCGAGAAAUCCACCCUUCUUUUUUCUUCUUUUGCGUAUUGUUGAAUUUCUGAUGCGUAGUAAGUGUGGAAAAGUUGCUUCUCUUUGAUUUCUUAAUAGUAGUUAGGUGUGUAGAAAUAUGUGCUGACGAACCUUCCAAUUUCCCUUCCACAGGUACAAGUACAUGAAUAACAAUGUUUCGAAGUCGAGUGCUACAGACCACUUAUUAUUGUGAUAGUUGCUAGCAAAGUGUAUAUAUCAUUCCAUAGUAUCACGGGUGAAAUGCAGAACCAUUCGGCAGCUUUUAGGUCAAUGCACAUCAUUAUGCUAUGCCGAUCUUUCCUUUUUUCUAAUCUUACAUCUGGUCCGAUUUGCCCAUGGGUACGUUCUUUUGUAAAGAAUAACUGUUAAGGGAGAGAUAUUCCAAUGGCAGGCUCACAAGGGAAUACUAGGUAAUGAAUAUGCCUACGUUGUACCAAGCAUCAUCUUAGAAAAGCUUACGUUUCCAUGUAUUCGAAACAUAGGCUUGCUAAAUGAAGAUGGUCCAGCCCAUAAAGUUUAUUUAACUUAUAAAUACCUUUUGACCAAUUAUUGUGGUUGGGUUUUUGACCAAUUGCUUGAGAGAAUUUCUCCCCACAAACUAUAAAAGGAUUGUGUAGUGAGCUAGUGUGAAAAGCAUUAUUCUUGUCUUACUUGAUGUUCACAUUUUGCAUAUUGAAAUGAAGUUUUGUUGUUUUAAUUCAGUUCCAUUGUCUUAAUGCAGUACCAAGUAUGGAGGGAAGGAGGAGGAGGAAGGGUUGGACAUGGAAGGUGGAGGAAGGGUUGGCGGAGAACGAGGCUAUUUCUUUAGCGGGCGCCAUGGACACGACAAAGCGUCUCUGGUGAGUCGGCGGUGCCAUGAUCUCGAGGUAAAGCCGCUUUCUCUUUAGUUGAACAGAUGUCUGAAAUUGUUAAUUAGGAUCUCUUUUCGCUCCAGAAAAUGGUUGAUGAAACUCCACUGUAUUUUAACUUGCAUUGUUCAAAAAUUCAGGUAAGCACCAUACCUCUGAUGCGAUUACGUCGAGCUGAAACCUGCAGAAAAGCACUAAUCUCUUAGUGGUCAUGUAGAGGGUUUUUUUCUUGUAAAGAAUUAAGCUUCCUGGGUUUAGUGCUCCUUGACGGAAUGAGACUCGGGCGUCAGAUACUAAGCUGUGUGUUGUAGGUUCAGGUUCAGGUUCGGGGGUAUUUAGAGCAUUAUUGCCAGUCUCGUAUGGGUUGCACAUUUUGGUGCCAAAUAUAUACUGCCUGUGGUUGGGGUGUUUAUGAUAUAAGUUGCGUACUUGUGCAUCACUUUAUUCAGAUAGUAUAAGUCUCAAUCCCAAAGGGGAAUAGUUUUGCGCUUCCUCCUUCGUCCACGGUAGUGCGCCUGUUCUCCGCCAGUUUCCUUUUUGCGUUUCCGCGUGCGGGCAUGGCCCUGGUGUCAGUGGCUGCGGAUGCAUGUUGAUCGGGCUGUCAGUGACUGCGGUCUCCUCUAGGCGGUGGUGGUCUGGCAUCGUGAGUUCUUGGAUCGUUCUUGUCGUGCGACGCGUUGUCGCCCAGGGUUCUUCUCGGCGCUUAGGUGUCCUGGCGUUCUUCCUGCGCGUCACGCUGGCGCGUCGGCAGUGAUCUGGGUUCUUCUCGGCACUUAGGUGUCCUGGCUACGCGUCAAUCUGCUGUGUGCUGGCUCCUGCGUGGCCCUGGCUAUAUAAACAGCUUGAGCUAUCGGGUUUCGGCAUCUCGAUUUCGAUUGUUGUAUCGAUUGGCCGCCGUUCGCCGUGGGCUGUUUUUCUUUGCCUGUUGGUGCUUCGUCUUCUGUUGUUCCUGGAUUGCGCCGCUGCGCCCUGACCUGGCUUUCUUUUUUGUCGCUGGCGGCUGCCCCUGCUUUGGUCGAUCGGAAAGGUAUGGCCGGUGUAGUUUCUUAUGUUGUUUAUGUGGCGGAUCAUUUGCUGGUAUAUCUGUGAUUGGACUGUAGUGCGUGCCCCCUGUGUGCUUUGCAGGUGGAGAAUUUGAAGGCGCUUCUUGAGGUGGAGGUAAGCAGGGCCUGCAGUUUCCUUUUUUUUUAGAUAAAGGCCUGCAGUUUCCUUGAGAGUUCUAUUCCAUGCUUUGCCUUGAUUGAUUAGACCUCAAUUGUUAGUUUUGUCUGUGUGUUGCUAGACUUGAGUGCCAUGCUGCUGCUUCACUUCAAUGGCAGGAGAUGAGCAAAGCUUAGAAUCUCAGCGCAAUAUGAGUCCAUGGUGCUGAUCUUGUAGUGAUGGUUUCCUCCGAUAUAUAAUAUAGAUCCGCUUGUUGUCCUCGCGUACAAGCAUAUGAUUUUGCAUGAUUUUUGCAAUGAACAAACUAGACAUUGUAGCACAAGAAUCUGAGAGUGAACAAGUACAUAAUAGAUGAGCACAGCGCUGCUAGGAGACGUUGAAUGGUUCUGGAUCGAUGCAGGCUCUUGACUGGGAUGUAUAGAUGCAGAUAUUCCGUGCUUGCAGUGUGGUACGAUGCCUCUACAAAGGUUGGGAUUCUGAUUGGCUUUUCUUUCUAUCUGGUAAGGUUUGGAUCCUUCAAUGAUUCAGCUCAUUCUCGAUAUUGAUCUUUGCUAUCAGAGUAGAGCAAUAUUAUCCAAAACUUUAUUUUGUAAGUGAAUUUCAGUGCUCAGGUGACACAGUUACUAGAGUUUGCGCAUCCAUCGUUGUUCAUCUUUGAUAGAAAUUAAGCUAUAACUAUAUGCACCAGGUCAUAUUCAGCCACCUUAAUUUAUAUGUUCUAAUACAGCAGCAGGCAUCACAGUACUAUCUGCUAGCUACGUAGUUGGUUCUCAAAUCUCAAUUGAUUCAACAUCUAAAUAUUACACUGUAUUUUGAUUUGCAUUCGGGGUUAUUAUUUCCAAUUGCUUGGGAUAACCCGACACCUCUUUUGGUAUUUCCACACACCAUGUGGAAUGCAACGUGAUGUUUCUUUAUUCUAAAGGAAACAAGAAUUCCGCAAACACAAUAGUAAGUCUAUAUUUUGGUGAAAGAAAUUAUGGCUUAUGUUGAUCUUUCACAACUAUGUUCUGCGUUCCCUGUGCUGAAAGUUUGGGUGCUCCUUAACUACUCCCUCCGAUCCUAAAUUGUUGUCGAAAUAUUACAUGUAUCUAGACACUUUUUAAGAAUAGAUACAUCCACAUUGGGCAAAUUUGAGUCAAGAAUUUAGGAUCAGAGGGAGUAAUAAUCAUGGUAGUGGUGAUUAAUAUAAAGGAACCGAUCUAAAAAGUGCAGCAAGAAAAUGUGAACAAUGCUUUGGAACUAAAAAAGCAGGCAGAUGAUUGAAAAUAGCACUGAAGACGUCGAUUUUAGUUUAAGUGGUUGUGUUCUUACUGGAUGGGUUAUUUGUAAACUGAAUUGGGCAGAAGGAUGUUUUGAUGUCAACAAGAAAUAUUUCAGAUGCAACAUAGAUUAAAAAAAAAUCAACAGACACUUUUCUCUUUGUUCCACUACAAGAUGUAGGCACCAGAAAAGUUGCCUUCUAAAACUUGGAUCAAAGAAGACUCAACGCAGUGAUGAUGGGAAACCUGUUGCAGUUAAAAAAUGUUCCUUAUCCAAGUUUCAGAUUCGGUGAGCUUCAAUGCCAACCUUAUUUUAAAUGUAUAAAUUCAGAGGACAUUGUUGACUUGUUUUUAUUUCCUAGAACUGUUCCCUUCACUCUUUUAAUUGCACCGUGGUUACGAUUCUGAGAUUUGUUUUUGAAAAUAAUUACGUUCUGAGAUCUAGCUGCUGAAAUCAUCUGUUGAGAUUGCAGUGUUGUCAUUAUUUACUUUACUGUUCACGUCGACUUUUAGCAGAGCUUACAUUUCAUAACUCCUUAUUGUGUGACUGCAGUUCUGGGACUAAUUUGCUGGUGCAACUGAGGUCCUGACUCAUGACCAACAAUCCAUCUAGCUCGAGCACUAAUUUGCCGAUGAACCUUGAGUGUUUGGGUGGUCCCAUUUUGAUCUUCUGUUUUACAGUGAUUGAGAGGCUCCUGAUGUGGUAUGCUAUAGGUUAUUUGCUUUAUAUGCACCAUAUGCUCAUAAAAGGUGAAAGCAGCAAACAAAUCUCUGUAAAUUUUCUAUGAUCUCUACUUUAAGGGUAACUAAAUAUAUCGACUGGUUCAUAUUUUAUCUCUAUUUUAAUUAUUAAAAGCACCAAUAAAGAUGCUAUGUUUAGAUUUUUCUGAAUGAAAAUGACCUGGAACUCUACUUCUCCCUCCGUUCCUAAAUACCUGUCGCUGUUUUAGUGCAAACUUGCAAGUUAGACAGCACUGACUCCCUUGAGCGGAUACAAUCACCCUUAACUCCCUUGAGCGGCAAGCUAGACAGCACUAACUCCAGCAAUUACAACAAAUUGGAUGAUUGUUGACAGGUAACAGUGUAGUACUAAUGGCAACCUGCUCAAAUGAAUUCAUGAAUUUAUUAUAGGUAUUUGUUGUAAUUGCAGUUUAGUUGUAUGGUAUUCUAUGGAAGAUGAUGUAGCUGUAGGUAUUCGUUGUAAAUUGCAGUUUAGAUGUAUGGCUCGAGGAGGUCCUGCAGCAGCUGAUUCUGGCCAAUCAGUCUACAAAUGGGCCCUUGCGAGCAAAGUAUAAUGCAAAAAACUCAAGGAAGAGGUAUCAUAUGAUCAAGAGGAAUUUGUAACAGUUGUUGCUUGUGCCGUGGUAUGGUUUAUCAGAAGAGUUCUCAUGCGUGGAAGGUUAUCAAUUUGUCAUUAUCUCUUCUUGUUUUCUCGACAAGUGUUGUCGACAUAGUCGAGCUGCCUUAAUUUGAUUUACUUGUUAUAUACGGAGUUGCUCCUAAAAUGCAACUUUUAUUCAUUUCCCAUGUAUAUAGAACUCACUUUUUCACUUGGAAUCUUUUUUAAGGAUGAGUGUAAUGGGGCAGUUCAAGUGUCAGAUAAAUCUUGGCGAUGUCAGUCUCAGGGCGUGUGAUGCAAACUGGAUCGAUAUGUCUGUUCUACUUGUCUUCUGAUCUUGACAUUGGCAGGCUGAAGGGUCACACGUGUAUAAACCAAAUUAACAUGGUGUCUAUUGCAAUUGCGUGGAAAAUAUCUUCAGUAGUUGCAUUUUGUAUUACGAUAUAGUAGUAUUAUACGAUCAAUGUUCUGAUGCAAUGUUUGACUAAAUAUUCCUGAUCAAUAUUGUCCGACUCCAUAUUUAACCUUUACAACAAUCUAGGAGUACAUAAAUUCCACUCCGAAGACCACAAUUCAGAAUACAGGACGAAGUCCGUAUCCGUUCCGUUUUCGUAAUAGACCUCUUUGUAAUAAUAUCUCGUUCGUUCGUCUUCUUUCUUCCAGGCGUACGGUACGGUCGUCCACUCGUGAGACCAUCGAUUCGCAUCCCUCCCUAAAAUAUCCCUAGCCAAGGCAACCAGCCCUAACCGGCUAACCCUCGCUCGCUCUGCCCUCCCUCUUCGCGGCGGCCGCCGUCCUCGCCGUGUCCACAGAUUCCGGGUGUUCCGGUGGAGGCGCUCCCGGCGCACCAUCUCUAGAUCCGCCCCUGACCAAGCACCAUGUCCGUGGCGGCUGGGGUCAGCGAUGCCGCCAUCGCGGUGCGCGACAAGCUCCGCGGCAAGAUCGGCCAGACCAAGGUGAAGCGCUACUGGCCGGGAAAGGCGCCCGAGUGGGGCGGGGAAGACGCCGAUGACGACAUCGAUAUCCGGACGGCUAGGGUUUCGCUCGACAAGGCGUUCCCCAAGGACGACGACGGGGGCCGCCCCGCCAAGGAUGACCGCAGGCUCCGCCGCCUUGCGGAGGCCCGCGGGGAGAGCAAGGAGGAGCUAAGGGCCGAUCACCGCCGCAUACGGCAGGCUGAGAUCGUGUCGACUGCGGAGGAGGAGAGGGAUAGGCAGGAGGCUGAGUUGGAGGAGGAGGGGGAUGAGGAGGCCCAGGAGGAGAGGAGGAGGAGGAUUAGGGCCAGGCAGCUCUUGAGGCAGCAGGAGGAAGAGCUGCUUCCGCAGGAGGAGGAGCCGGUAGAGGAGGAGCAGGAGGAGGAUGGAGAAGAGUCUGAGUACGAGACUGACUCGGAGGACGAGCAGAUGGGCAUGGCCAUGGUGAAGCCUGUCUUCAUACCAAAGUCGCAGCGGGACACUAUUGCUGAGCGCGAGCGACUGGAGGAGGAGGAGCGGCAGCUUGAGGAGCUAGUCAAGAAGAGGCUGCAGGCUAGGAAGAUAGAGACUAGGCAGAUUGUGGUGGAAGAGAUUAGGAAGGAGGAACAGAUUCACAAGACACUAAAUGAGGAGGCUAGCAUUGAGGAUAUCGAUACGGAUGAUGAGUUGAACGAAGCAGAGGAGUAUGAGUCAUGGAAGAACCGUGAGAUAGCAAGAAUCAAGAGGGAUAGGGAGGAAAGAGAUGCACGGUUGAAGGAGAAGGAGGAGAUCGACAAGGUGAGGAAUAUGACCGAGGAGGAGCGCCGGGAAUGGGAGCGGAAAAACCCAAAACCACUUCGUCAGUCCAAACAGAAGUGGAACUUUAUGCAGAAGUAUUACCACAAGGGUGCCUUCUUCCAGGAAGGCGCUGAUGACGUGAGUCAAUCAGUUGGCAGGGAUGAUAUCUACACCCGUGAUUUCUCUGCACCUACUGGAGAAGAUAAGAUGGACAAGAGCAUCCUGCCCAAGGUCAUGCAAGUCAAGCAUUUCGGACGGAGUGGCAGAACGAAGUGGACACAUCUUGUUAAUGAGGACACUACUGAUUGGAAUGCACCGUAAGUACUCAUUUCUGUUGCAUUAUGGUUUUCUACUUGAAACUAUUCAGUUGGCUUGUUUAAUUUUCUUCCUAUUGCUUUUCAAUAAAAUUGUGCUAUAUAGCUACUAUGGUUGGUAGUUGGUACAAUGCUGGCCUAAAGUCAUACUCCCUCCGUCCAACAAAAGAUGUCUCAAGUUUGUCAAAAUUUGGAUGUUAUCUAGACAUGACUUAGUGUAUAGAUGCAUUCAAAUUUAGUCAAAGUUGAGACAUCCUUUGUUGGACGGAGGAAGUACGAUUUUCAAUAGGAGACUAACGACCCGUUUCUAAUUCAUUUAUUUGACAUACUUGCUGUAGCUUUUUGUAGACAAUGGUAGCUGAUUUCCCCAAUUUCAUCAAAGCCUAUCGGAUGUUAUUUAUCAAUUAAUUAAUUUCUCAUGUUUGCAUGGUUAUGUUUUGAUCUGAUGACAAGGAAAACAUGGCCCUUACUUAUUUCUUGUUGAAUUUCAGAUGGUCUACAAAUGGGCCCUUGCGAGCAAAGUAUAAUGCAAAAAUGGCAGGCAUGAAUGGGCCUAUUGCUAAACCAAAGGGAAGUAAGAAGAUGAAGGAUUGGGAUACAAAACAAGAUGAUUAGGCAUUUCUUUUGCUGGCUGAACUGGUACUGCUCCCCUACUGCGAUAUGAACACUUGCUGAAAAUGGUGUUUAUGCGGAUAUGUUUUGUCUUUUUGUUGUCCGCAUAAGACACACCUUCUGUGCUAUCUUAGUGUAGCUGUGCUGCAAAAGUUCUUCAGCAAAGUAUGUAUGAUACAUGAAGGAUCUUUAGUCUUGUAUUGUGGAUGCUUUGGCUGAGAAAUAUUCUGUACAUAUUUGUUUCUGUACGCCAAAUGUCUUUUAGUUGGUUUUUCCUUUUCCAUUAUUACAUAGUUGUGAUCAUCAGAUUGUCGAAUGUAAUACUAUGUUGAAGUGACUGCCGGAUGCAGUUCUAAUACCAAUGUGUACUUCUCUGCAGUAUGUCUGUUGUACUGUGCUUUUACAUUAUCAGAUCGUGCUAAAUUGUGAUCCUCACAUAUGGACAGUGUGUAGGAACUUUAUGGUCAACCUUUCAUGCCUAUGUUGAUUGUUCUGACACCUGUUAUUGUUUUGAUCUCUGUUUAGGUUCUUCCAGAUGGCAUAAUUUGCUCUUUAUUGUUGACUGAUGUAUGAAUCGUGAUUAUUAGCAAGCAAUGGACAGACCUGUUGGUAUCCACAAUUGUUGUGCCUGAGAAAAGUUCUAGUGUAAUGAAUAAUGAGACCACUCACAGGAGGAUUAUGAGUUAUAAGACCCUUUGCCAGCGGCGUUGUCCUCCAACCCAGUGGAGUUCAACAGCUUCAGGGAAAUCUCAAUCCGAGGAAAGGCUCUGGCCCAUCCCAUCCCAAUAUGGAAAAAGUGACUGCAUAGAAAUGUUGAAAUCCUUGUAUAAUCUCAAUACCAACUUUUCAUUGGUCAUGUUUCCAUCUUUGUACUGACGCAGAAGAGCAGAAGAAACCAUGUAUUUUAGUCAAAUUAGCUUAAAUUUACUUUGCUUUUUGAACUGGAUUCAUCGGGUUGGUCAACUUCUAGUUCUGUUUUCACAAAACACUGCAGCUGAUCUAGAGUUUGCCAUCUGUGGAACAGUAGCGAACCACUCUGUAAUCUGUAUUUAUCACACUAGGAUGAUUCAGCGGAAUCAACUUGGACUUGUGUUCAAGGUUCUGAAUUCGUUUAGCAAGGAACGUCUUCAAAUGAGUCGCUCUGCUGAAGGAGCCCUGACGAAAACAGGGCCAAAGCUUUUGAGUUCCUGCCGGCUGAAUUCUAAGUGCGGAUAAAUGAGGCUGGAGCUCAAAAGCAACUUGUACUGCUACAAAAACAUGUGUCAUGGAUUUCUUAAGAUAGUGUCACAGUAAGUUGGAGAAAUCUUUGUCACCAAAAUCACUGGAUUUCUUUCGAGCAACAUUGCCAUUAAUAUAUUCGAAAGAAUAUAAGGUGUAUACAUAUAUAUAUGUUCAAAAGUAAUAGUCACAAACCAUAGCUCGUAACUACUUUUGCGCUCACGCAACCAAGUAUGUCCGUUGUACUGUGCUUUUACAUUUACAGAACCCAACCAAGUUUGUGCAAAUGUUGUACUUGCUCACAACAAAAGUCGAAUAGAGGUAAUAGCACGCAAAAUGGCACAAGUAGCAGAAGAUACUACGAUCCGGUGUUCCUUCACCAGAUCCUUAAGGCGACGCUCCUCACGGUACUCCAACUGCAGAGUAGAAAGCAAAUUGUCAGUGGCAAGUAACACGCCAUAAGUUAUCAGAGAUAGCUUGAGUACAAAAGUCAGAUUUACUGCAGUCUGAACAUGAAUACUGAAAGUAACAACACAGAACUAACAGAUGAUUAUAAUGGUCAACUAAACAACGGAAAGGCUUUGACAAUAUGUAUGUGGAUAAUGCAUUGUAUCGACUAAUUCAAUUUCACAGCAAUAGUUGUUUACACAAUUUAAUAGCAAUGUCAAACAUUGAUAAUACUGGAUCAUUAUUUACCUCAACUAAAUGACUAAUGGUGCAUUUUACGCUGCAACAAAUUUUUUGUUACAAUCCAUGUGCCUAUUCUUCAUUAUUUACCUCAACUAAAUUGUUUCACUUUUCCAUACUAAAAAAAGGGUGCAAACAACAAGUUUAUUUGCAGGUCUAUCCUAUCACGUUUCAAUUGUUUGGUUACAAUAGCUCAAAAAAGAAUAUAAGUAACAGAAUGGUGAUAUUCAAUCCAUAAACACAAACGGUUUUCCAUGGGCCAAAUGAAUAAACGAGUACUCGCAAGUCAAAACACGCUGACCAAAUUAGCUUGGGAGCAGAAAGGAGCUGUUCUGCCUAUGUCUUUGCUCCAUCGCGGCAAUCAGCCAGUUUGGUGCAGAUGAAUGGUAGUAAUCCGGGUCAUCAGUCCGCAAUUCAUAUUUCACAGUCUCAUCAGUUUUACCGUGAGAUUCCACACUCCAAUUUUGACCUCACAAUGUAGCAUUUUCUCAUCAAUCAAGAUCACUAAGCCAUGAUGUUGAAUCUGGUAUGAGAAAUCAAUCUUCCCAAACGGUACCCAUGCCAGUUUCAGAAGCCAAGCUUCCUAAGAUGACAUUCAGUGACAUCAUAUGAUUGUGUUCCUCAUUCAAUGUAGAGCGACUCAACUCCUGAGUCCUCCCCACUGUCGGCAUCAUCGUCGUCAUCUUCAGCACCAAUUUUCCUUUUUCGGCCACUUGCAUCCCCAAGAAACUUCUCCCUUAAUUCUUCUCCUCCACGACGACCACCGCCAAGCUCGUCCCAUCCACGACCCAUGCUGGUGAACAUCCUGUCCAGAUUCGCCUUCUCUCGGCUCAUCAAGAGCAACUCCUCCAGCUUCCGCCUUGCAGCAGAUAUCUCAUUGGCCUCAACGAGCUCCCCUUUGUAGUACGCCUCCCGGAGAAACACCGUGUGCAGCUUUCCUUGGUUUCCCCUCGUGGAUAUGUAAAAUAUGCCCUGGUACUUGAGCAAGAACUCCUUAAUCUUCUUGGGCACACCAAGGGCGUCGCGGAAGAGUGCAAGACGCUCCAGGGUGGUACGCUUCUCAACAGUGAGAGAGAGCAGCUCAUGGACAGCCGCGACGGCACGCUUCUCCAUGCGGCGUUUCGCCUCGAGCGAGCGCAGGUCGUGGCCAGAGACAUCGGCGUACGGGGACGCGUAGGGGAGGCGCUGCCAUUUCCAGACAGCAAUGCGGAAAUACUUGCCGAUCUUAAAUCCCGGGGGGAACCGGGUGGGGAACGCGAAGCGCGCGUCCUCCUCGCCGGCGCCAGGAGAGCGGUGCUCGCGAUAGUGCCGCUCCCGGGAGCGCUCGACGGCGGCGACGGUGAGGUCGGGUGGGUCGGUGGUGGGGGAGGGGACAAACUCGACGAACUGGUCAGGGGUGAGCCGGAAAAGGGCGGGGUUGGACAGGAUGAUGGAGUCGGCGAAGUCGUCGGGGAGGCCGAAGUCGCGGCGGAGGAGGCGGAUGUGCUCGAGGCGGAGACGGUGGUGCGGGGGCGCGAGGAGAAGCAGCUUGCGGAGGCGGAGGACGGCGGCGGGGCGCGAGGAGGCGAUGGCGUCGGCCUCGAGGCGCAGCGCCGCGGCGGCGCGCGGGGUGAGGCGGGCGUGGAGGAUGCGGUGGACGGGGUGGAGGAAGAGGUGGAAGGCGUGCGGGUGGCGCAGCAUGAAGUGGCCGGCGUCGAGCGGCUUGAGGCGGAGCUGGCGGCGCGAGAGGGCUCCGAGGCGGGAGAAGGGCACGGACACCGCGCCGGCGCCGCUCUCCCCUCCUGGGGAGGAGGAGAAGGCGGUGGGGGAUGCGGCGUAGAGGAGCAAGGCGUUGAGCGCGAGGAAGCGGCGGACGCGCUUCUGGACCUCCAUGAUGCCGUCGAAGGCAUGGUCGCGGACGCGCUGCUGCUUCUGGGGAAGAGAGGUGGAUUUGGAGGAGUAGCUGGCCCCGGCGCCGGCCUCACCCACGGGCGCUGCCGCGCGCGUCGUCGUUGGCGGCGGCGGCCGGAGCGCGGCGAUGCGACGGAGCAUCGGGGCUCGGGGAGGUUUCGGCCGAGGAGAAUACCGUUGGGCUUGUUUGGUGUUUUAUUUGGGCUUCGUUUGUGGAGUAUUGGAUAGUUCAGAUUGGUUGGGUUUGUUGGGCCUUUGGGAUAUUUAUUUUCCCUUCCUAUUUACUCUACGUCUGUUAUUCUCAAAAAAAAAAAUCUACAUUUGUUGAUGAUUCUUAGGGAAAAAAAUUUGCAUACGUUGUUGUCAAUGUAUAGUUGAUAGUGGAGAAAACCAAAUACUAACCGUCUGUUUUGAGAAAGAUUCAAUCUCGGGCGGUUCCCUAGUCAUCGACAAUCUAACAUUGAUAGCUAUUUUUAUCUUUUAAUUUAUGUGCUUUUGGAGGUGGCAUCUUGACGUGAAGAUGUCAUUGUCUAGAAGAUUAGUAUUAUGGCUUUGUCCUUGUCCUCGUGUAGGCCAUGGUCGGCAUCAACCUCUCCGACCCCAAGAGUUGGACAAAUAGAUUCACCGAACUGAUUGUAUUCAUCAUGGGUGAAGAGUAUUUAUAUUCAUACAUGUACGACGGCACGAUUGAGUUACGUACAACAUAAUAGGAAAGCGUGGCCGAGAGGGGCACGCAUACGUGAGUGGAGAUAGCGAUCACCACGCCCAUGACGCGAGGCCGGAGUCUAUACUCGGUCUAGGUGGUUGAGAGGACCGGUCGGGUGCGUGCCUUGCUGAACCGGAGGUGCUUCCAACACCAAGGUCAGCGAUUCGCAGCGCGCUCCGAGUGAUGUUCGAUUCUUGCAUUCCGUUCUGCUCCUGCAAUAAUGCUCUGCUCUGCUCUGCUCUACUCGCCUCCAUCAAGCAAUCGACCCAUGAUUGAUCAAUCGAUGAUCACCAACUUUAAAUUGCUAGCUCGAGUAUCAUUCAUUAUAUAGCUUUGAUAACGGCUCAAGUUCAAGUUUGUACGGUAGCAAGCAUACAUGCGCCUCGAGUCAGUCAAUCCUCUGUCCUUUAUACACCCCUUUUCUUAUAUACACAUGUUGUGGUCUCUGCAUUGUUGUGAACAACACCAAGUUAAGUAUCCAUCCACUGCUUCUUUGGGUUAUGUCCUUCUAUAAACAAUCUUCUUGUCACUUGGUUUUGUUUCGGAAGUUACUUGCAAACCGCAAAUUUGGCCCAACAUGAAUCUUUUCAGAAGUUUUUUUAUGUCAACCUCGUGAAGGCAAAGAGCAGAGGAUAUUCUUUCGUCCAAAGGAAACCAGCUGCUUAUAAUCCAUACAAAGCAAUCGGGUCAAAAAAAAAAUCCAUACAAAGCAAAACAUAAUACUCCAUAAUCAGGUCUAUGCAGGGGCAGAGUAGCUUUCUGUUAAGCCUAGAGCCAUUGCUUCAAAUCACAAAAUUUACAAAGCAAGACCUAAGCUAAAUCUUUAAAUUACCGAGCCCUAGGCUGUGGCCUGAGCUGCCCGGGCCCUGUCUCUGCCCCUCGGUCUAUGGCACCAUCGUAAUAGACACACCAGUAAAGAAGGAUCUUGUCAGUUUUGUUCAAUUGUGUCCUUUUCGUGCCAAACUUUAGUCAAACUUUUCUGAUGGGCAUCGAGACCAUUAUCAGACUCAAGGAGCUCCUCGUUGUAGACAGCGUCCCUUUUGUACACACUAUGAAGCCUGCCGAGAUGUCUUAGGCAUAGGUUUCAAGUUUAGCAUGAUCUUGUAUAGCACGAUCUUGUAUGUGCGGAUCUUCUGGGUUUAUCGCACAGUUUUGUGAAGGCCUGUGGUCAGUUCUUCAUGUCUCUUCAACUUAACCACCACACCAUCGACGUAAAGCUUCCUGGGUAUGUGCAACCCGUGUUCCUCAACUCGAAGGGCGCAUCGUCUUAUAACAAAACAUGCACGCCAACGGGUGUGAUGAAGCUUGUGUGAGUCACGUAUACUUUUCUCUCAAUUGGAUCUUAUGGUACCCAGAGUUGGCUUUUAUUCAAUUUGACAAGCAUUCCUCAAAUUGUUGGUUGAAGUAAUAAUGUUUGAUCGCACACCAUACAUUUUGUAAAUACAUGUUCCUCUUUUCAUCAUCAACACACAAAUCAAAGGCUUUUAGAGAAAAAAAAAACAUGAGCAAUGCAUGGCUAUAUGUAACAGUCAUACUUUUAAUGCAAACUUCAUGACUCAAAGACUAAAAAUAUCCAAAUUAACAUGCAUGUUGUUGUCUCAAAGAGGUUAAGCAAAAUAGCCUAAUUGACAAAUAUUUUAACUAAUGGAAAAGAUAACUAGCUAUCUAUGUCAACAUGGCAUUACAAUGGAAGCCUUAUUUUGAACCUAAUAAAAGUCCCUCUUAAGAUGUGCCAUCAUCAUCUUUCCCACAACAAGAAAAUUGUGUUGGUGCAUGAGUUGAUCCAUCAUUUCCCAUGUGACCUUGCCCUACAUCAGUACCAUCAUAGCCCGAGUAAGUUUCUGCCUCUAGGAAUCUCUUGUAGUAUGGCUGACAUAUGCCCAUUGGUCAUAGCUAAAUGGAUCUUCAACAGUUAACCAACAAUGGCGGGUCCUGGAUGUUAUGCUCAAAGGUUGAGAAAGGGCUGGAAUUGUUUUGAGGUGGCUCCAUUGUGUUGUAAGGACUUGCAGAGUUACGAAGAGGCAACUGCAACAAUGAAGGUGACUCAUGCUCUUGACCAGGAGUUAGUGAUGAUGAAGCCAAUUCAGUGUGCUGCAACAUUUUUUGUGCCUGCAUAGGAAAAGGUUGAGCCAAAGUUUCAUGCGGCACUGGUUGUGGUUGAAUCAAUGAUGGUUGAUGUGGAAGCAUGUGAGACCCCAAUGGAUGCAUCAAUGAAGGAGGAUUCCCAUUGCCCCCCCGUGAUUGAACUCUUGGUGGUACGAGGUUUAAUGACACGCCUGAACACAAGUCAUUUGUUCAUGACCAUCAUGAAGCGGAGGUAGACGAUGCACCAUAUCUUGCUGAACACACAAGAGUCCAUUGAAGAUCUUGUUGAGAUCUUCGAGAUUGAGAUCUUCUUUCUUGGAGAAGAGAUGGUUUGCCACCAUGCCUAGGUUCUCAUCUUGGAUCUCCUUAAUACGCUGGAUGGAGAUUUUUUUUCUCUUUUCCUCCAUGUGAUUUUCUCUGUCCAAAUGAUCCAUCUCGCUCUGCAGCCAUGCAAUCCUGGUAUUCGUCGCCUCAUCAGCAAACGACUUUACUGGUGGACCUCCUAACAGGAAGGCAUCAACAAUAGCGUUAGCUGAUGGGGUUCCGAAUGAGUGCAUUUUCCCAUCGGCUGCCGCCAGGAUGACAGCAGCCCUUGCACCUGUGAUAGCAGAGAGGUCAGCAAGACCCUUGAACAGACCAAAGCGUCGCCUGAAGAAGGUGACAUUGCGCUCUAUGUCAUUCUCAAUGUACACAACACCCGACCACCUUCUCCUCGGCAUAAUCAAAUGGAAAGUGGCGAGUGUCUACUACAAAUUGCUAGCUAGAGGAGUCUAUGAAAGUUACGGAUUUACCACUACCAUUGGCUAACUAAGAGAUCAAUAUGAGACAUGGAUGUGUUUUCACAAAGAAAUAUGAGGUUGAACUCUCCUUAUAUAGAGUGGUGGAAAGGGUUGUAAGUAGAAAGAUCGUUCUAAGGAGCCCAUGGCUUGCACAAGUAUGUUUCCUACGGUACUAACUAUUACCAAUAUUCACUGACAUGUGGGUCCGCUUCUUUGUAUCGGAAUGUCGGGUCCAUUUGUUAGGGAGUCUCGUAGGACAACGUGCUGGAAAUUUUGGUACAAAUUAUACUUUUUAGGGCAGAAAUGGAAGUCUGAGGCCAUCCUUAUCUAUAUGCACCCAAACCAAGUAGCUUUUAAUGUUUGAAUAGACUCAAAUCCUUCAACUCUUUAAUGUUCACUAAAAUACAUAGUCAACUAUAGUCACUCUUAAUUGUUUUCUUAGUAUAUGAUGUGUGAUUUGUUAAUCGAAUACAAUUAUGGGAUGAAUGCAUAACUGGCCAUGGGCAGCUGUUGCGCCCGGUCCGAAAAAACCGGGUCGGGCUGGGUUUGAGCCUCAAUUUGAAGCCCGCUACAGUUUUCGGCAGGUAUCGGCUUUAUUUUGCGGGCCUAAAUAAACCCGGCCCGGUCCGGUAUGGAUUUGAACUGCACAUAGACCACCAAUUUGCCAGGCCCAUCAGCCGAUCCGCCCAGCAUCAAUAGCAUAGCCCAACAGCAGAUGAGCAGAGGGCGAAUCGACAUCGGUACUUGACCUCCUAAAACCCUAAACCAGGCGGCGGCCUCCGUCUCUCCGCUCCGCCCCCAGACCAGAGCCUUUCCUCCUCAGCUCAGCCCACGGCCACCGCACUUGAACCCCUCCGCCUCGCUGGGAAUGGGGCACGCCAACGAAGACCUCCGACCAGACAACAACGACGGCCUCUCUUCCGACAACGAGCCCUGGAGUGAACAAGACGACGACGAGGUUCGCUACUCUCUGCUUCCUCCCUCCUACGAUUUCUAUCCUUACAUCAUGGAUUGCUCAACCUGCAGGGAUCGCUCUCGUUCGAUGACAGCGGCUCCGACGACUCGGACGAGGACGAAGCGGUGGCGGGAGAGAGCGACUCCUCCGAGGAUGAGGUGAUUUAACUGCUCCAACGAGCUCUGGCAGCUUUUGCCUUGUGUUUGGUUGGGGGCUUAACUUGAAAGCUGCAGGUCGGGCCACGCAACACUGUCGGGCAAGUUCCGCUAGAGUGGUACAAGGACGAAGAGCAUAUCGGCUAUGACAUCGAUGGGAGGAAGAUCAAGAAGCGGGACAGGGAGGGGCGGAUCGAGCAAUACCUCAGGAAUGCCGAUGAUGCUAAAAACUGGUACCAACUGACUUUGCGCUCGAUCCACAUUGGACUGGAUUAAAUCAUGGUCCAUAUGCGUAACUGAUAUCGCAUCACCAAUUGAAGAAUUUCUUAUCAACUUAAUCUUGUCAUGCUCCAAAACUAGCUACCUUACGCUCAGUCCUAGCUUCAUCAUUUGUGCAUUGAACCUAUAUCAUGCCAAAAAUCCUGCUGGACCAUCCGGUUGCUCAUCAUGAUAUAGUGCCCCAGAUUGCAUGCUUUUGCAACAUACAAAAAAAAGGCCUAUCAGCAGAUGCAUUUUGCUCCACCAUUGCUUUUCUCCUUGCGUUGUCUGAUGUUAUCUUAGAUUGCUCUGGUGUUUCCUACUAAUUAAAUGUUCCGUCCUUGCUUUCUGUUGUUGCCAAGUAUAGGAGAAAGAUCUAUGACGUGUAUAAUGACGAGGAGGUGCAGAUUACCAAGGAUGAAGCUAAGAUAAUCAGUAGAUUGUUGAAGGGGAAGACUCCACACGCCAAUGUUGAUCCAUAUCCAGUAUGUGUAUCUAUCAUGUAUUGAUUUGAGGUGCACAGUUUGUAAUUACUAUGUUAAAGAUUACCCUGCUGUCCAGCUUAGUGGUUACGUGUGCUGCAAUCACUAUACUUGUGUAUUUGCAUUCAUCACUAGCUCAGUAGCCUAACUCUUAUAAGAGUAUCCAUGUCGGGCCUCACCGAUGUGUGCCUGUAUACGAAUAUUAAUUUACAUUCAGUAGUUAAAUGCCAGAGGUGGUUAUGUUCAUGCAUACUGAUUGAAGUUAUUCUUUUAAAAUUGAUACAUUCCUUUCCUUUUCUCUGCACAUAAUUAUAGUGCAUCUUGCUAGACAUGGACAUCGACCGAGUAAACUUUUCUUUCAGGAUUAUGUUGAUUGGUUUGAAUAUGAUGGUAAAGGUCAUCCACUUUCUAAUGCUCCUGAGCCAAAGAGGCGAUUUGUGCCCUCAAAAUGGGAGCAGAAGAAGGUAUGCUCUCAAUUUUGUUCCUUUUCUGCUAUGUUAGGCCAUUGCAUUACUUAUAUUCUCUUCUUUUCUUCCAAUAUUAAAAUAAUUACAAGGGUAUAUUAUUACUAAAUUCAUUCGAGAUUGAAAGUAUCUUACUUAAUAAACAUAAUUGAUAUAGAAAUUUGUUAAAUUGUGCCUUUGUGAAGCCAUGGAUGUUGGCAGGGCACAGGUUCCUGCUUCAGUAAUUCAUAUAUGCAUGGACUUGAGGUGUUUCUGAUUUUCAUAUUUGUUCUUCAUUGAACCGUUUACUUUCUAGUCUUUCAGAUUUCACUGUACUAAUUUAUCAUAUGCAGUACGGAAGAUAAUUUCCACUAUUUUUCUGUUGCAUAGCUUUUUUUUGUAGCCAUUGAUAAGACUGCAUGCUGUCAGUACUGUUUAAAUAGACUCAAUAGCUAUUGGACUAAUUUCCUAGUUACUCUCUGAAACUGCUUUGGAUUCUGUCGCAUGCUCCUUUCUGUGUCGUAAGAAUCAAAGAGAUCGCGUGCACGGUUCUAGUCAAACAGACUCAAUAGCCAUGGCACUUAAUUUCUGUAUUUUCUUAUUUCUAUGUGAAACUGCUUUAGAAUUUUAUUCAACUAAUAAUUAGUUGGCAUAGCCAUUUAGUCUAUCUUAUAGCUCAUGUGUUUUUCUGGCAGGUUGUUAAACUUGUUAGGGCCAUCCGUAAUGGAUGGAUCAAGUUUGAUAAGCCAAAGGAGGAGCCUAAUUAUUAUCUCUUGUGGGGAGAUGAAACUGAUACAGCAGACAAUAAGCGGGAAGGUUUGAGCUACAUCCCCGCACCUAAACCAAAUUUACCAGGUACCGUGCCAUCAUUUUGCAAAGUUUGUCACGCUUAUAUAAAGAACUUUUAGGGCAAUUGAUUUGACCUGAUGACUUUAUGUUCCAUGGAAAUAAUGUGAUACUGGCUUGCACUCAUGUUACAACAUAGUUGAAGUCUACAUUCAUUAUUUGUAACGCAAUUAAUUUCAUGUAUUCAGGUCACGAAGAGUCGUACAAUCCUUCUGUUGAAUAUAUUCCCACACAAGAGGAGAUAGAUUCAUACCAGCUUAUGUAUGAGGAGGACAGGCCAAAGUUCAUCCCACGACGGUACAUUUCAUUUACUUGUCGUUAUGGUUUUUCUUAUGUAUGGUCUGAUUUGUCUCAAGAUUUUUAAUUUUGUGGUUCCUCUGUUUUGUUUUGUUUUGUUUUUGCUGUGGAUCAUGCCAGAUUUGAAACACUGAGAAGUGUGCCUGCUUAUGAGAAGGCACUUAGGGAGGGAUUUGAUCGGUGCCUAGAUCUUUAUCUAUGCCCUAGAACUCGCAAAAAACGUGUAAGUGGAGUACUUGUGUUCUUUAAAUGAGGAUAUGCAGUUCUUAUUUCGGAGGUUUCAGUUUUACCAAUUUUUGUCAUUCUUCAUGAUGAUCUUUUGCAAUGCAUGAUGAUUAUUGAUUUAUUUGACAAUCCGCAGAUUAACGUUGACCCCGAGUCACUCAAGCCAAAGUUACCUAGUAAAAAAGAUUUGAGGCCAUAUCCAAGGACUUGUUACCUUGAGUUCAAGGGCCAUAAUGGCCCAGUGAAGUCCCUUUCAGUAGAAGCAACAGGGCAGUGGAUAGCAUCAGGUAUAUACUGUCGAUACUGAUUUUUCUGUGUUCAUCCUGAAUAUAUAUGCGGACUACGUUCUGAUGGUUCAAAUGUUAUACUAACUAUUGUUAGCAAAUGUACUAUGAGCUCUGAUGUUUUGUUUUCGGUCCAUAUCAUAUUAGGCCCUUUUUGCACUUUCAAGAUCAUUAACAUUGAUGUAUGCAUGAUACUUAAAAUAGUAAAAAUAAUAGUUAAAAACUCGACUGAAACAAAACACUGCCUUGAUCUCAAGAAUUGUUAAAAAAAAGGUGGUGUUAUAUUUUGAGAAGGAUGACUAACUCGACAAGCUAACGCCUUGAAAAUGCUCCUCUACUUCAGAAAUGUUCUCAUCAUCUUGCGCAUGACAAUGUCUUAAAUUACAGCUCUUCUUUUCUGAAGGUUCAUCUGAUGGAACAAUUCGUGUUUGGGAGGUUGAAACUGGUCGCUGUCUUAAGGUUUUGAACGUUGGUGCUGAUGUCCAUGAUAUUGCAUGGAAUCCUUCACCUGAGAGGCCCAUUCUGGCUGCUAUUGUGUAUGCAUUAGCUAUCCCAAGUAUAUAUUUUCUCUCCGUGAGCUUUACAUGUUCUUACCAUUCAUCUUGUUUAAUGCAGUGGCCAUGAUCUUCUGCUUCUUGAUGCUGAAGUGGGGGAUGAAGAAACUAAAAUGAGGACAAAAGAGCUCCUAUGUGUUGACGAACCGACUCCUGAAGAUGAUGCUGGUAAGCUGAGUUGUGACCCAACAAAUUCUUCUUAUGUCUCACUACCUAUACAGUGUGUUGUUAAAUAGUUUGUUAUAUUGCAGAUGGUAAGAAACCAGCUGUGAGGUGGGUGAAGCAUGAAAAAUUUGAUGGAAUCACGUUGAUUCAUCAUAAGGUAUAAUACUGAGUUACCACCUACGUUCUCUUUUCAAUUUCUUAGCCUUUUUAUUUGCAUGCUUACUUUAUUUUGUUCAGGCUGUGAAAACCGUGGAGUGGCAUUCGAAGGGAGACUAUUUCACCACAGUUGUGCCAACUGAUAUCCUUUAAAGCAUAUCUUGUUCGCUUUGUGUUUUUUCCAAGUCCUGCAUGAGCACAAUAACCAAGAGUUUUAUUAAUGAGUUUUCUCUAGUUCAAUCUCGCAGCCGGUGGUCUAAUCAUUUUCCGUAGUUCUUCCAGCCCCAUCAAUGAUGGCUAUUUUUCUUGUUUCAUGGAGGCUGGGUGCCUUUUCUUUCUUUAUUGGACUGGGCCUUUUCAAUUUGUAUUACGUACAUACGCAUGUACCAGCGUAGCGUCUGCACAAAUACUUCACGUUCAUAAAAAAUACUCUUCCGGUUGUCUACCUUAAUUCCUAUGUACGUGAGUCAAGGGCUGUACUGUUGCAUCAGCUCUCGAAGAAGCGUUCGCAUCAUCCUUUCCGUAAAUUGCCAGGCCUCCCUGUUGCAGCAACAUUCCAUCCAACCCAAAAGAUGUUCUUUGUUGCCACCAAGAAGUUUGUUCAGGUUUAUGAUCUCCAAAAGGCAGAGGUAGUCAAGAAGCUGGAGUCAGGUCUCCGUGAAAUUUCCUCUAUCUCCAUCCAUCCUGGUGGUAAGCAUCAAGUCAGCCGUACACUAAUUUACCAAUUGAUUCUUGAGGCAACCAAUGUAAGUGCAACACUGUUGGUUGGAUUGGAUUACUAAUGACUUCAUAACUCCUUCAUGUAGGUGACAAUGUUAUUGUGGGAAGCAAAGAUGGUAAACUGUGUUGGUUUGAUACCGAUCUAUCUACAAAGCCAUACAAGAUGUUAAAGUAUGGCUCCUCUUAUCUUGAAUCGAAGUCUCCUUUUCCCCCUUAUGUUUUCUGUGUAGUAUGUUAAACAGAUUUCUGUAUACAUGUCGAAGGUUAGUAUCAUAGGCUGAUAGGCAGUUGGUCACUGCUAUUUUCUUUUUAUGAUAAAUGAGUCUGCUCUUGUUCAUAGUAAGAAUGCAGACAAUUUUUGGUUCCCAUAUGACAGUAAUGAAAAGUGGAAAUUUAGAUGCUUCCAAGGCCAUAGUUUUGACUCUCUACUGUUUUCUUUACAACAAAUCUCCUUUUAUGGAUCGCUAAUGCUUUUGUUUGUGAUAAUUAUUUGUUGUUUUAGUGUUGCUUUGUUCGGUUUUUGUUCAACCAACUCAAUGUUUGUUAUAAUCCGUAUCGUGAAGUGUUUCUGUGUACCAAUCACUAAAUACUUCUUGAAUAGCAAUCUACAAUAUGGGCACAUGCUUUGCUGCCUGAUGUUGGCCAUUGCGUACUCCUUUACACUGCAUUCAAAUUCAUUCUGAACUUUUCCUUUUCUAAAGAACCAUUAAGCGGAGAAUUGAUCUCUAUUGAAGCAAAUCAAUUUGUAUGUUUUUCGUGGAUCUAGUGAUAUAUUGCCUCUUCUCAUUUUGAAAUCCUUUGGUAUGCGGUUCUUUUUUGGACAGUACCCUCUAGUUCUGCUGUCCUGGAUGAAUUUAUGCCAUGUGAUUCAUUUUCUUAAUUGCAGGACCCACAAGAAAGAUAUUACCAGUGUUACUUUCCACCGGAGAUACCCUCUUUUUGCCUCAUCGUCCGAGGAUUGUACAGCCUAUGUAUUUCAUGGAAUGGUCUAUUCUGAUCUUAACCAGAACCCACUUAUUGUACCAUUGGAAAUUCUCCGUGGGCAUUUGAGUCUUGACAGAAGAGGUAUAAUAAAUCCUUGCGUCCCUUGGCUUCUGUAAUUUGUCCUUUUUUUUACUGGUACCGGGAAAACAGCAGGAGAGGCUCCUACUGUGCUUGCUAUAUUAAAACAAUAGAGUUACAACAUAUGUUGUUCCUUUUGUAGAUUACAUACAUGCAUUUUUAACCUUCACCAAAGGCCAAAGCAGUUACAUGAUACUGACUGUAAACUCAGUUACAUUAGUAUAUUUUUAGUAGAGGGAUGGGACAGUAACAAGUUUUCUGCAUCGAACGUCACGUUCUGCAGUCCCUCGAUCCAUAUGAUGCCAUUUUGAAUAGAAGCAUAUGUGCGCCAUGUUUUGUGUUCUAUCUGUUUAUUCUGUGAAUUCUACAUUUGUUUAUAAGAACGAAGGUAGAUUCACCCAAUUGGAGCCUCGCAUUCUGCAAGGUGCAAUAUCAAUGUUUUGGCAGGAUAAAAAAAUUAUGCAUAGAAGGAGGUAAUGUCGUUAGGACAAAUUGGUUUUUUCUUGCCGAAAAUAAGUUACUCUCUCUGAUCCUAAAUUCUUGUUAUUGUUUUAGGUCAAAUACCCCUGAUCCUAAAUUCUUGUUGUUGUUUUAGUUCAAAGAAUUUAGGAUCGGAGGGAGUACUUAGUUUUUUUAGGGGUAUUUUGUUUGUGAUAAGUAAAAAAACUAAGUACAAAAUGAUACUCUUGGGAAUCAUCAUCUGACCCAUAGUUUUUUUAUUGUGCGUGCAGGAGUCUUGGAUUGCAAAUUCCACCCAAGACAGCCGUGGUUGUUCACCGCUGGUGCUGACUCGGUGAUCAGGCUUUACUGCGAGUAAACGAUGAUGAUCCUUUCAAGAAAAGGAAGGAUAGUAGUUGUUGAAUUGAGCAGGCGAUUUAAUUUUACUUAUGAUGAUGAAUGCCAGGAAGGAUGUUAUGUCUGGCGCCCGUCCUCAGAGGUCUAAUGUAUUCGCAAUUGCAGUUUUGUUCGAAGUGAUUGUUGUAAUUUUUUUUUUGUAGCUAUUUACAUUUAGUUGUAAGAAACAACAAGCAGCCGAGUGGGGACAAGUGUAUCUGCUGUGCAAAACACUAGUAAGAAUAGAAAAGGAGGUCAGUUUGAGCUGCAAGUAACUUUCGUAGUUUUGUGUUUGUGCGAAAGUUGUGAGUUUGAUGGCGGCGUGCAAGCAGCUCUUGCACAUUCAUUGCCCAUGGAGCUGCGGCGGGAAGCUGCUCUGGGUCGUCAUGAUGUCAAUUAGAAAGUUGUUUAACAAACAACGGUAGUCACUAAUAGAAAAACAAGUUAGUUUUAGCUAUUCCAGAAGCGAACUUUUUCACAUUGUACCAGUCGCACACCUUUCAUUUCCUUAGGCAAACCUUUCUUUCUUUCACAUCUUGACAAAAUACGAGCAGCAUUGUUCGAAUUUUUUUCUGUAUAUAUUUACAACCUGGGCCAAAAAGUAAAUUUUUACUGGACCAAAUUGCCCUCGUCUCCUCGUUCGGUCGCGACUCGCCAGUUCGGACAGGCGACGAGAGGGAAAGGAAGAGGCCGCCGCUAGCGCUCUCCCAGACGUCCCGUCAGCAAAAUGUUCGUUGGCUUAGUUGGCAAUGCAUCCUUUCAAUAAGAUGACACCAUCAUUGACAGCACGCAAAAUAGCACAACUAAUGAAGUUACUACGAUAAUACGGCAACGAUUUACCAUACCAAGUUCGAAACUCUUAGAACACCGUAUCACAUACCUAGCCCCAUCGACGGCAGGCUAGGCACUGUAACCACAAAAAAUAAUCCGACCAUAAAAGACAGUAACCAAGACAAGCAACUCUAAAACAGAAACUUAACGAUAAUAGACUUAGUCGACCUCCUCCAUCUUGCUCUCGCCGGCAUCAUCCUCCAGCGCGGGCAUAUCUGUGUCAUCAGCCUCGGCAGUCUCGUCCUCAUCGAUGCUAAGGCCAAGCUUGAGCAUGCGGUGGAUCCUGGUGCCGAAGGUGUUGGGGUCGUCCAGGCUGAACCCAGAUGUGAGCAGGGAGGUCUCAAACAAGAGCAUCACCAGGUCCUUGACUGACUUGUCGUUCUUGUCAGCAUCAGCCCGCUUGCGCAGCUCCUCCAUGAUGGCAUUCUCCGGGUUGAUCUCCAUGGUCUUCUUGCUGGACAUGUAACCAGCCAUGCUAGAGUCCCUCAGGGCCUGGGCCUUCAUGAUCCUCUCCAUGUUGGCAGUCCAUCCAUACUCACCAGUGACAAGGCAGCACGGCGAGUCAACAACACGGUCAGAGACAAUGACCUUCUCCACCCUGUCGCCGAGCACCUCCUUGAUAACCUUGCAGAGACCCUCAAACUUCUCCUUGAGCUCCUCCUUCUUUUUUUUCUCGUCCUCGGUGUCCUCGAGCUUCAGGCCUUCCUUGGUGGCAGAAACAAGUUUCUUGCCCUCAAACUCCUUGAGCUGGCCAAUGGCAUACUCAUCAAUGGCGUCAACCAUAUAGAUAACCUCAUAGCCCUUCUUCUUCAGCCUCUCCAGGAAGGGGGAGUUCUCCACAGCCUUCUUGCUCUCACCAGUGAUGUAGUAGAUGUCAUUCUGUCCCUCCUUCAUCCUGGUCACAUAGUCCUUGAGGCUGGUCAGCUCAUCACCACUCUUAGUGGAGUGGUACCUCAGCAGCUCAGCAAUCUUGGUCCUGUUGGCAGAGUCUUCAUGGAUACCAAGUUUAAGGUUCUUGGAGAAGGACUCAUAGAACUUGUUGUAGUCCUCCUUGUUCUCAGCAAUCUCAAAGAAGAGCUCGAUGGACUUCUUGACAAGGUUCUUGCGGAUGACCUUGAGGAUCUUGUUCUGCUGAAGGGUCUCACGUGAGAUGUUGAGGGGAAGGUCCUCAGAGUCAACAAUACCCUUGACAAAGGCCAGCCACUCUGGGAUCAGCUCCUCACAGUUGUCCAUGAUGAAGACACGGCGCACAUAGAGCUUGAUGUUGUUGGCCUUCUUCUUGGUGUCAAAGAGGUCAAAGGGGGCCCUCUUGGGGACAAAGAGGACCGCCUUGAACUCAAGCUGCCCCUCCACAGAGAAGUGCUUGACAGCAAGAUGCUCCUCCCAGUCGUUGGUCAGGCUCUUGUAAAAAGCAGCAUAUUCCUCCUUGGUAAUUUCCUCAGGCUUCCUCAUCCAGAUAGGCUUCUGCUUGUUAAUCAAGGACCACUCGUGUGAAACCUCCUUGAUCUUCUUUUUCUUCUUUUCCUUUUCUUCUUCCUUCUCUUCAUCAAUUUCCUCAACCUUGCCCUCCUCAGUGUCCUUUUUCUCUUCCUCAUCUUCAUCAUCAGAAAUUUCCUUCUCUGUUGUCUUCUCAGUCCAGAGAGAGAUCGGGUAGCUGAUGAACUCAGAGUGUUUCUUCACCAGAUCCUUAAGGCGACGCUCCUCAAGGUAUUCCAACUGCAGAGUAGAACCGCAAAUUGUUAGGGAGAAGUAAUCCACAAUAAGUUAUCAGUAACAACUUGAGUAUAAAAGACAGAUUUGCUGCAGUCUGAACAUGAAUACUGACAGUAACAGCACAGUACUAACAGAUUAUUAUAACGGCAAUGUAAAAUCUUUGAUAAUACAAUUCCACAUCAAUAGUUGUUACACACAAUUCCAUAGCAACAACAACAUUGAUAACAUUGCUCAGAUAAUAUUGGCUCAGUUUCAUAGCAACAGCAAACAAUAAAUUAAAUGCUGACACCAAAAUUCUGAUUCAGUUUCAAAGUAACAAGAAAUGAUAAGAACUGACUAAAUUUCAUAGUAAUGCCAAACAAAAAAUUCAAAGCUGGACACUAGCAAGAGUGCUCAAUUUAGUUGCAACAACCAAUCCUAAAUUCUAAAUUAGACUAUAGCAAGUAUCAACAGGGAACUCUUCCUGGCUCUUCAGUUUCUACUGACAGGGAUUUCUUAUACCCAGAUUUCAAUAUCAUCAACAAUAAAUUAACCCUCCAAGUACAACAACGAACGGGGGCCAUGAUCAGCACAGGACAUGAAUAUCACAUUAAAAUCUAGAACCAGCCACAUGAAUUAUGAAGACAACAUGGCCCAGGUAACUAGUGCAACUAAAAAAUGCUUUUGUUACAUGGCACAGGUAGCUAGCGCAUGUAGAUACUAACUUUCUUCUAUAGCACAUGAGGCGAGUAAAAAGUAAAUUAUUAUUUUGUGAGCUAUGUUUUGGUGUACCUGAUCUUCCUUGAGGUAGAGAGUCAUCUUAGUACCCCUUCCGAGGGACUCUCCAGUAUCACGGGUGACAGUGAAGGACCCGCCAGCCUGAGACUCCCACACAUACUGCUCGUCAUCGUUGUGCUUGGUGGUCACGACGACCCUAUCAGCAACAAGGUAAGCAGAGUAGAAGCCAACACCAAACUGGCCAAUCAUGGACACAUCAGCACCAGCAGCCAAUGCCUCCAUGAACUCCUUUGUACCGGACCUUGCAAUUGUACCAAGGUUGUUCACCAGAUCUGACUUGGUCAUGCCAAUACCAGUAUCAAUAAGCGUGAGUGUGUUUGUGGCCUUGUCAGGGAUAAUGUGGAUGAACAGCUCUGGCUGAGCAUCGAGCUUGCUCUUGUCAGUGAGGCUCUCAAAUCUGAUCUUAUCCAAAGCCUGCAGAUCAGAGCAUCCAAUUUAGUGAAAAGUACAUAAACAACAGUAAUCAACAAUGUAAAGCACUAGGACAUUAGCGGAGACUGAUUCUUUUAAGAAAAAAUCCCAUAAACAAUGGUUCUGCAGAAUGUGCACACAUCCUGUUUUCCCAAUUUGUUUAAAUAAAGCUACUUGGAAUUUUGAUGCUGUGGGAGUGCUUAACCUGAUUUUAUGUUCCAAGUAAUUCUAGCAAAAUUCAUAGGUGAGACACAACGACUUCUCAGAAAUUACUAAAAUCUUACAUCAAACACAGAUUCACCAUAAUAAUCAAAGUGAAUUCUUGUAGUCUGAAUAUUUCAGGUUCCAAUGAUCAAAGCAUACUCCCUCCAUUAAAAAACACAAGGCCAUCUUGGAUUGUCACAGGAACCAAUGGUUGCUAGGAUGUUUUUUUCGGUUUAGCCAACAAAUCCUCAGGAAUUUCUCUUGUGACGAGUAAUUAAGUUUCGCAUGCAUACACACCAAUCAGCAAUCAAGAUACUUGUUACAAGGAGUUAUGUACCAGGAAUACAGGAUGACGGGCAACUAAUUUAACUAAAAAAACAAAACGGCUUUGCAUAUUUGACGAAUGAUCUUGCAACAUAAUCCCAGAUUAGCCCUCUAAAUACAGCUAGUUUCACAUCUGACCGACCGCGGAGCUAAAAAAAUUAUUGCUACGUUCACGCACAGAACAGUAUGCAUAUCUCAGAUUCAUCUAUACGGAUCGAAACGUGCUUUCGCAAAACAGCGCCAAAACCGUGUGAGGACCACAUGAAAACACCGAUCUAUUUUUGACGGGACAAGGGGUAGCAGCGGGCAUGGAUCUAUGGCGGGAGAGGAAAAACAAUAAAAGUAAAGGGGCGCAGGGGAGGGAGCUUACAUCGGAGGAGUUGGAGAUGAGCUCGCGGAGGAAGAUCUCCUUGUUGGAGUAGAAGGUGUUGAUGAUGAGCGAGAGCAGCUGGUUGAUCUCGGCCUGGAAGGCGAAAGUCUCGGUCUCCGAAGCCAUGGCGCCGGAACCAGUAGAGUGGGGGCGCACGCGCGAGGGGAGAUGCCGAGAUGAAGACGGCUAGGGUUAGGGUUUUUGAGCUGGGUCAGAGAGGGGAGGGCCGGAGGGCGUGGGGGCGCGCAUUUAUAGUGCGGAGAGGGGGUUCUCGAACGUUCUACCGGGCGGAACGGGGUGGAUCUGGCCCGACGGUCCAGUUGCCCGCCCGUUAAGGUAUGCACGGGACUUCAUCUAUGAACGCUCAUUGGUAGCCGCCGGAUAUCCAGGAAUUCGUGGCGCAAACAAGCAUCAGUAGCCCAAUAAACUGCGUCAACGUCCCAUCAAUUGUACUCUCUCUAUUCCUAAAUACUUGUCGUGGAAGUACCUUGUAACGCAAAUACUCGGAACAAGAAAAGGUAUUCUAACAGACAACACAAUAGAAGCAUUGGUAAAAAAAAACAUAAUAGAAGAAAAUAAAAUGUAGCAGCAGAAUAAUAUCGGCAACAAUAUAAAAUGUCUAGUAUUAUGCCCCGUAUAAGUAUGUCAUUGAUUUAUACUUCUACAAUAUUCAUGGAGCAACAUUGUUGUCCAUGUCCACCAUUCUUGUAUCCAGACUCCAACAUAAUCCAUUGCUAUUUUGAAUCAUGUGAUGGAAUAGGUUGAGUCAAGUUGACUAAUCGUUGGGUCCGAGUCUCUAUGCCUUGUUACGGCCCAUAUGAUAAUGAUGAGUUAGGCUAGCUAGUUUAGAGCAUGUCCAAGGGUCUAAGCAGAUAGACCCAUGUUAAUGCUUCCAUCUUGCACGCUACGGAGUACAUUACAAAAACAAUCAAAUUCUUCUUCUUGCAAGCUAAAUUGGACGUGUCCUCGAUGAUGGCGGCAUGAACAUGCACAAUCCAAAUAAAACAACCAAGUAGAAUGUGGUUCGGGUGACACAUGGUGUACCGACAAGGAAUGCUAGCCCUCAUGCAGUGGUUUGACAAGCUUGCAAGUACAAAUGACAAUUUGAGUGAAUUGAUUAGGCCGAGCAGCCCACAUCACCAUUCCUCGUAAAGACAUGACCGACAUUGAAGCAUCCUUGAGCAACAAUAUCAACGUCGUCACGAAUUGGUCAUCCUGAUCACAAAGGAACGAUGAGGUCGGAGCUCCGAAUAUUGCCGAGAAUUGCGAGCCACCGUCGGAAGACACAAGCCAAUUUCCGUGCACAUUCAUCCAACCAAACACCUAUCCUAACGAACUCCUAACCGUCAAACCAAACAAAAAGCUUUCAAAUCCCGUUCACAUAACCAAACGCUCAAAAGUUUUUUUUUUGACAGCCCAAACGCUCAAAAGAUCAUCACACUUCCGACCCGUAAAAUUAUGGACGACCUAACCGAUCCCUCUCUGCUCUUCAACUAAACGCACCAGUUACACAACCUGAAGGAGAAGGCGCCUUUUCGUGGGGACGGUGGCGUAAGCCAGGUCUUCUUCUUCUCAGCCCGUCAGCAGUGACGCGAGCGACCGGAUUUAACCGCCGACAGCAUCCUCGUCGUCGUCGUGUUCCCGAACGUUCCACUCGCCUCCAUAUAACCCACCCACGAGAGCGGCGAGGCGGCCCGUAAAUUUCCCCACUUCCAUAAGCAACCUCCCUCCCUCCGCCGGCCGAUCAAUCUGCGGUGCCCUCCUUGGCUCGGCGACAGGCGUCUAUCUAGGUACGUGCGGUCGCUCAGUCGCCUCUACCCGCAAGCUUGAUCUGUUCAAUUGUUAUUUCAUUUGGUUAGAUCGUUGUCUGUUUGCGGCGAUUUUAGCCCGGAUGCUCGCGGUUCGGCGGGGAAUUAAUUUGGGGGGCGAAUUGGGGCAGUGUCUUAGGCGAUAAGUAUCUCAGGUUCUCAACUAGGAACGCAUCCUGAUUGAUGAGUGCAUGCGUUUCAAUGGUGUUACAGCCAUACCCAUAAGUAUUCAGCUGUAACCUGUGAGUCCAGUUGCUGUAGAAUAUAUAUUGGAUUAAAACAAACACAUGGAGGUAUUGAGGAAGCAAUACUUUUUUUUUUGCGCUGAUUGAGGAAGCAAUACUAAAAUACUAAUGAUGAAACUGUGAAAGUUCCGCCCCCUUUUGAUUAGGUUGUAUGAUUGAUGAAGCCUCCACUGGUUUGCUUCUGAUUCAAUCCCAGAAAUUGGAAGUUGUAUUACUUUGAUACUCUGGUAGCACCGUUGAUUAAGAGUUGAACUUUUCAGUUUGAGUUCAGGGUUGACCUGCUGGUAUUUAUUAUAUGUAUUAAGCUUACUCCCAUUGCUAGUUUUGUAGCUUUCCUUCUAGUUCUCACUGGUAAUUUGGUUGAUGACACUAUGAUAUUCUGGUAGGACAUAAUAGUAGAAAUGCAGGAUCACCAUAUUCUGUAGACAAAUACGUAAACCUGACAGCGUAAGGUUGUUUGAUGUCAGGAACAAAAUGGAUGGGAACAGAGUAGCUCGAAUGUCAGUCACUUGGAGAAGCAGGCAACUUGAUGUUGACGCGGAUCCAAACUGUACCGUGAAAGAAUUCGGCCAGCUGCUCCAAGAUUUGACUAACGUAAAACCAGAGACGUUGAAGCUCAUAGUUCCACAAUCUACAACUAAAGGCUCCAAGCUGAUCAUGCCAUUUUCGGAUUCCCAUUCAGGCUUAACGCUGAAAGAAGCUGCUGUUAGUGAGGUAAGAUGCACAAGCAUUGCACAUACUAAUCAAGAAUUCAAAAUGUUGUUAGGUUAGUUCAUAAUGCAAUGGUGAAUAACAUCAUUGGCAUGCACCUCUUCCGUUUUCUUGCAACAGGGUAAGCCUAUUAGAAUGAUGGGUGUCUUUGACGAUGAAAUUGAGGAAGUUUCAGACAAUGGCAAAAGACCUGAUAUGCGGAUAAUUGGUUUUGAUGAGGAAGAACAACGGCUGAGGCAACGAUCAUCAGGCAGGCCCAAGUUUUCACUCAAACUUCCACAGGGGCAAUACAUCUUCUGUGAUUUUCGGACACUUCACUUACCUGGGAUCGAGGUCAGUCAAACCCUGCUCUCAUAAGUUUUUUUUAGUUUAUAAGAAACAGACCCUUUGAUAUCAGUCAUUUCUUUCUGACCUUGUAUAUGUCAAGGCAUCAUAAAUCUUGCGUCUGCACAUGUUCCGUUGUACCUUUAUGCUACUGGUUUUCCUGCUUGAAUCAAGUGUACACACUUUCCAUUGGGGCAUUUGGGCAGUGUGUGUCAUAGAUACCAGAUGAUACCCCACGUGUUUCUGCUGGAGUUUGCUUAGACUAGAGUGUGCUUUGUAGCAUGGGUGGAUGCAAUGUAGCAUCAGGGAUAACUACGUCCAAGCAAGCUAAUAAGUCAUGGUAAAGUCCAUUUUUCUGAUUCGACCGGUAUAUAUUUAAGAUUAGAGAUGAAUGAUAUCUUGUAGCUCUGAGAUCUGUAAAGACAAGAACAAAAGAUUUGGAACUCAACAUAUCUUAGUAGCCUAGAUGACUACUUAGAAUUGAACGACAUGGUGAAUAUAGCUAAAAUUGCUUGCCAAGGAUUUCUUUUGAGCAAAUAUCAUUACUUCACUUUCGUGAAAAUCAAAGGACAAUGAUAAGAAAUCAGUGAUAGCUUAGUGUAAUUGACCUCAGUGAUAGCUUGUGUAUCAUGGAUCAUCUGACAUGAAAUCACUUGCACAGCAAAAGAAAAACAGCAGAAAAAGGAAAUAUUGGUCAUUUGGCAGAAUAGUUCAUCAAUAUAUUCAAAAUGAAAUUGUGUCAGCUGGCAACAACUUGGAAAUUUUGCAUUAAGUAUGUGUGACAUUGUCAUACCACACCGCUCCAUGUCUCUCUGUUUCAGUAUAUACAAAAUCAAAGGAAGAUUAGAAAAUGGAGAACUUUUUAUAUGUCUAGCGAAUCCAAUUAGGGAAAAUUUUAAAGAUGGAUAUUGAUAAACGUAAGAACCUGUGAAAAGCACCUAUUGCAAGACAACAUAGUCCAAUAUUUGAGAAAGUAUGAAAAUAUGUGAAGCUGCAAAAGUCUUAAAAUUGCACCUAGAGAUGUAAUUAAGCAUAAUGUUAAUUUGGAAGCAAAAUAAAAUGAUUGAAGUGCUACGGCAUAAUUGCGUAGUUCUCACACCGAUCAGCUAAUUUUCACCUCUGUCUCAACUUUUGCAACUACUAACAGAUCCUUGCAGUUUGGAUUACUGAGCGAAUACUUUGUGUGCCAGUUCACCUAUGUCCGUAUUUCCAACUUGUAGUGAAUGAUCCACCUGCUAGAAAGAUGUGCGGAUGGGAUUAAUAGGCAAUGCAUCAAUAUGAAAAGAUAGGUACCAGAGCUGGUAGAAUAAACAUGUGAACACUAUCUCCGCCCUUCAAUUGGUGGUAAAAUAGUCAAUAUGUGAGGCAAUAGAACGUUGGAUAUGCCACUCCACUUGCCGAAACAAACCAAAAACUUAUUCAGGCUGGUCAACCGGCAGCAGUUUUUUGUACCCUAAUAGUUUCGAGCAAAGUACCUACAAAUUGAGCGAUAACCGUUUGAUUCAUGCCGAACACUUUGUGGACCUGUGAGGACAGGGCUAGCAGAUGCAUGAGGGGAGGAAACAAUGGGAUAAAAUGGUAGCUCAGGGUGAUUAUUUGGCUGCAAUAAACCUGAUCUGCAUCUGCCUGACAUGGCGGAUUUUGAGACAGACGAUAACAGGGCAAUGGGGCUGGGGGACUCCACUGAUUUGCCUUCACACCGGCUGCUACCCGGCUACCCGCGCUGCAUCUCAUCCAGCCAUGAGCCCUUGUUGUGUGACCAGGAGGAAUGCAAGAGCAGCCCCUGAGUAGAACGAAGAUGAGAGUGAAUUGGUUGGUGCUGGAGACUCCUCAUUGAAGUUCUCUUGUGCUUGCCUCGUUGGAUAUGAUGCUCUCAGCACUUUCCAGAAUUUUACUGAUAAAACAGAGGAGGAAGAGAAAGGAACAAAUAGAGAAAUUUUUUAUAGAGUAACAGAUAGAAAGUUAAGGGUGAGGCAAGUGCUGCUUGGAAGAAGGCGAACAUUAGUUGCUUGAAUGGGCCUAAGCUGCUCGGCCAUUUUUCUUUUUUCAAGCUGCAAAGUGCGAAGGACCAGCCAUGCAUGAUUAGUGACAUCAGAUGUAAUUAUUGCUGCUGAUGUGGCUCGUCAAGGGAGCAGGAAAAUUACUUAGUGGGAGGCAACUAUUUAGUAAUAGAGGAUUGGCUUCCAUAAUAUGAAAGAAAUAGAUUUUUUAUUUUGCACAAAUAGCUGUUCGCAAGUGUAAGGAAGACCCAAAAGUUAAACAAUAUCGUGUGCUAAUUUCUCCAGUCGAAAAUAACAACCGUGAAACCUUUUGCAUUUCAUGACAAUAAUCUGCUAUGGCGAUGAAAAUCAUAAAAUAUGAUUGGUUCCUAGAUCAUAUCAGGUGUUACCUGUGAUACACUAGCUUCUUUCCUACCCCUUCCUGUUAGAUAAAUGGAUGCUUGUACUAGCAAAUUUCUUUCUGGUUUGUGGUAUCCAUGGAUAAGACAAUCAUGGCAGCUUAAAUUGUGUUGUGCUUAUUUACCUUUUCUUGGGUACCAGCUGAAUCCACCACCUUCAGAAGCUCUGAAAAGAAUGCACAUGCUUGCAUGUGAUCCUGGCAUAAUUGCGAUCAUGAACAAGGUAGUCUUUCAUUGCGUUUUCAUAUUUACAGAGUUUUUUUUUCUCAAACACAUACUUACACAGUUAUUUUUUUCAGCAUAGAUGGCGAGUGGGAAUCAUGACUGAAAUGGCACCAGUAGGCUAUGUAGGUGUUAGUCCAAAGUGCAUUUUAGGUUUCAAUAAGGUGAAAAGCUGUUUUCCCUGCAGUGCGUGUAUAGAUAUUUACGAUACAGCAAUUUCUGAUUUCUGAGAAUAUACCUUUGUGUUGCAUUAUUCAUAUAGAACAUGGGAGAGGAGAUAUCCCUUCGUCUAAGAACUGAUGACUUGAAAGGAUUUAGAAAAUAUGAAAGUAUCAAGAAGACUCUACUUCAUGAACUUGUAAGGUUUUUUGGUUCUUAUGCAGUAAAUCGGUUUUGCUAUAAUUAUGGGGUUUAAUAUUUUUGUACUUGUAUUUUCUUAUUUCAGGCACAUAUGGUGCACUCUGAGCAUGAUGCCAACUUUUUUGCUCUUAAUAAGCAGGUUAUUUUUCUAGAUACCCCUGAUGUCUUUGGUUGUCAUCUCUUUACUUAGAUUUUAAUCCGAUCCUGAAGCUGUAAUUAUUAUUUAUUCAGUUGAAUGAGGAAGCUGCUUCCUUGGAUUGGACCAAGUCAAGUGGUCAUGUGCUGAGUGGUCGCAAAAUCUUCGACUCCUAUGAAGAUGAGUUUGUUCUGGAACCGGAUGCUGAUGUUGUUGGUCAUAAGCUUGGGGGAGGAUCAAGUUCGUCAGCAAGUGCUGGUGUGUUGUCGGGGGCUGCUGCUUAUCAGCGUCUCUUGAAUGCAGCUUCAACUGAUUUAGGGAGUUCCCAUAAUAGAGUUGUUACAGCCACAAAGAGAGGUAAUAUGCAAGGCACACAAGUUGAACCUGACCCAGAUGAUGAUGACCAAGAUUUAGUUCAGGAAAUUGUGAAGGUCGAGCCUGACCCAGAUGACAAUGAUGCCAUGCAUGUAGAUAUAGCAAUUGUGACAUCAGGGCCAUCAGGUAAUAUGCAAGGCACACAAGUUGAACCUGACCCAGAUGACAAUGGCAAAGAUUUAGUUAACGGAAUUGUGAAGGUGGAGCCUGACCCAGAUGACAAUGAUGCCAUGCAUGUGGAUGUAGCAAUUGUGACAUCAGGGACAUCAGGUUAUUCCGAGCCUGAUCCUGAUGAUGCUGGCGAGAAAAACUCUUUAAGUAGCCUAGAACCUGAUCCUGAUGAUUCCCCUGUUGUUGGCAUUCUUAACAAGGAGAUGAAGAUUGAUGUGAAGCAUUGCAAAGAACCUGAUCCUGAUGAUGGUGCUGGUGAAUUUGUCCUGGAUUCGGGAAACAAGAUGGAAGUGGAGAGGGAGCCGAGAGGUAACACGUCAGUUUUGAAGUCUGAACCUGAUCCUGAUGAUUCCUCAAAUGCUAUUCUGAACAAGAAGGUGAGCAUUGGCGACAAGCACAUGAGAGAACCUGAUCCUGAUGCUAGUACCUGUGGAGCUGUUAUGAAAUCUGGAAAUAACAUCGAAGUGGAGAUUAGACCGAGUAACUCCUUAAUUUUGAAGUCUGAACCAGAUCCUGAUGAUCAUGCUGUCGAUUUAAGCAGCAAUGAGCUGCAAAGGAUCGAAGAGCCAGUUACCGCUCUCUUUUCUCGUCUCCAAAAGGCUAUUGAAAUGCUUCGGUUGCAAGCAACACCUCCAGAGGCAGCUACAGUACUUCAGACACUCUUUAAGAUUAUCAAGAAUGUGAUAGAAAACCCAAAUGACAUUCGAUAUCGGAGAUUGCGUAAGGUAUGAUUGGUUUUUUUUAUGCCAUUCUAUGCCCUUGAUCUACUAAAACAGAUUCUUACUAAUGCUCAUCUUUUUUGAACUUGUAGUCCAAUCCGCAUUUCCAAAGGAGUGUGGCGAAUUAUAAAGGUACAUCUCUUACCUCUGCAAACUAACUACCCCUUUAGUAAUGAUAAUCUGCUGUACACUGACUGUCACUUUCCUUACCCCUCAACCUCAGCUGCGAUGGAGGUCCUUGAGUUGAUUGGCUUCUGCGAGGAUGUCGUCUCGGAUGAGAUUGGUCGUGCAGAGGCUUACUUGGUACUGAAAAGGAACGAUCCUGGAUUGCUGUGGCUUGUAAAAUCCUCUCUCGAAGUAUCCAUGGCUUGAUAACUUCCAUCUAUAGUUCCAUCUGUAUACCCUGUUGAUUGUAUACCUGUAUAUCAUGGUUUUUCAUUCCCUAUAGUAACUGGUUUCAGUGUGAGUUUCCUGAAUGGAAAUUUGCUCAAAUUGUAUAAUGAGAAUGAGAGCAUCAAACAGUGUGUGUUGUUUGUCAGCUUCCCUUUUGUUCGUCAAAUUUGUGAUGGCAGAUAGAAUGUGAAGGCAAUCCCCAAAGAGGCAAUUCGUAGGGUAUUUUGUCAUCCUACGUUUUGCAGAACGGGCAUUGGAUGUUCACGGCCUCGGUGGUCCCGAUGACUCCAAUUUCGGCAAUUAAUAUGAGACGGUGGGAGUAUUAUUUUUGCAGCAAUCUUCGUAUAUUGAUUUGCGUUCAGAAUUCUGAACUUUUUUUUGAGAGAGAGAGGUGUUCAGAAUUUGAAAUUCGUUUGGUUUCCAGUGUCAACCAGGGACGACCGCAUCGGACGUUGUUUUCCCUACCAAUCCAAACCCUCUCUCGGCCGUUCGAUGCCUAUCGAACGGUCAAACGUAUCAGAAGCUUCAAAAUUCCGAACAAAAUACUCCCCUCCGCGGCGAAACCGGUGAUAGAAAUGGAAUGGCUCCGCCUCACCUGCUGCCGCUCCUCCUCGGCCGUCUCCUCGUCUCCGGCGACCUCCGCAGCAGCCCCGCGCACCUCCGCCGCCUCGUGCCCCUCCUCCCCUCCCACCCCCACCUCGCCGCCGCACUCUCCAGCCUCUACUUCCCGCUCUUCCCCUCAUCAUGCACUUUCCUCCACAACCUUCUCAUCCGCGCCUCCGCGACCUCCCCUUCCCCUCGCCUCGCCUUCGCGGCAUUCUCCUCCAUCCUCCGCUCCGGCGACACCCCGGAUCGGUUCACCUUCCCUUCCCUCCUCAAGUCGGCCUCCAGGCUCGCCUCAUUCCCGCGCACGGGCGCGCAGGUGCACGCGCAGGCCGUCCGGCGCGGGCUCUUGGUCGACGUCUUUGUGGUCAACACGCUCCUUGCCAUGUACGCCGCGUUCCGGGACACUCGGUCGAUGCGGGAGGUGUUCGAUUCGUGCGCGGGGGUCGCCGACCUGGUUACCUGGAACACGAUGCUCGGUGGCUACGUGAAGUGUGGGGAGAUAGGGGAGGCCAGGAGGGUGUUCGAGCAAAUGCCCCAGAGGAAUGGGGUGUCCUGGAGCGCGAUGGUGGGGGCAUACGCGGGUGCAGGGGAGCUGGAUGUGGCGAGGGAGAUGUUUGAUGAGAUGCCGGCCAUUGGGAGGAACGUUGUGAGUUGGAACUCGAUGAUAACGGGAUUUGCGCGGCAUGGGCUGCUGCCGCUGGCCAGGAAGAUGUUCGAUGAGAUGCCGGUCAGGAAUCUGGUAUCAUGGAACACGAUGGUCCGGGGGUAUGCAGUGAACGGUGAAAUGAAUGAUGCGAGGGAGCUGUUUGAUAGGAUGCCGGAGAAGGAUGUCGUUUCUUGGACAUGCAUGAUAUCCGGGUACGCGCAGGCUAGAUGCUACACGGAAACCCUUGAGCUGUUCAGGGCAAUGCAGAGCGAGAGCAAUGUCCUUCCUAAUGAGGUGACCAUGGUGAGUGUGCUGUCUGCGUGCGCACAUUUAACAGCUCUGGAAGAAGGGAGGUGGGCUCACGCCUUCAUUGACAAGCACAAGAUGGUGCUCGACAGUGAGUUCAAUCUUGGCGCUGCUCUCAUAGACAUGUACUCAAAAUGUGGGAGAACCGACUUGGCCGUCAAAAUUUUCCACUCCUUGGACCAGAAGAAUGUCUCUGCCUGGAAUGCACUCAUCACUGGGUUGGCAGUAAAUGGUGAUGUUCGGAGUUCCAUUGAUGUGUUUGAACAGAUGAGAAGGUCAGGAGAAAAACCGAAUGGCAUAACAUUCGUUGGUGUGCUGACCGCUUGUGCCCACGGUGGGCUGGUGGAUGAGGGCCGGCGGUGCUUUCAGAGCAUGGCAUCUACUUGUGGAGUGCAGCCAGAAGCGAAGCACUAUGGCUGCAUGGUUGACAUGUUAGGCCGGGCAGGGCUUCUUGAAGAGGCAGAGGAGCUGAUCCGGAGCAUGCCGAUGGUCCCGGAUGUAAUGAUUUUGGGCGCACUACUAGGCGCCUGUCGGAUGCACAAAAGAGUUGAUGUGGCCGCACGAGUUCAGAAUGAAAUACUUGGCCUCAGUACACAGCAAUCUGGUUGCCAUGUUUUGAUAUCUGACAUUUACGCUGCUGCUGGCAAAUGGGCUGAUGCUCUAUAUGCGAGGGGUGUUCUGCAGAAGUUUGGCAUCAGUAAGUUGCGCGGAUCAUCCAGAUCGAUGCAAUAGGUUUUGAGUUUCUUUACAGAAGCGUAGGCAAUGUCAUACUAGAUUACAUUCUUUAGCAAAAAUGUUGUGCUUUGUGGUUUAUGAAUACAAGUUAUUGAGAAUGGGAGUAGAUCAGUUAAAAAUUAUGUUGAAAAGAGUGCUCAACUACUCGUUGUCCUUCUGGACUGAAUUGGAAAUCAAAACGUGUAUUUCUCCUCAUGAGAUAAUCAAUUCUCUGAUCUACACUUGCUUAGAGUUGUCGAAAUUCACUGAUAGAGCUUUUGUUGACUUGCUUAUGUUGUCCUGGGCAAUUAGUGCACGAUUUCAUAAAACUGUCAACUUGGCUGUGUUUUUCUUCACAAUUUGUCCACGAAUUUCAUAAAACUUACAAUGGCAAAUUUUGAUUCUUCGGAACGCAUAUAAUAAUGUAUUAGUUUUUCAAAUUUCUGGGUGCAGACAAAUGAUCUGCUUAGGCUGUGGCUCAAAGGAAACAGUACUGCUGAAAAGACCUGUCAUGUAUUAAGAUGGUAUUACAGACUUGCAGCAAGUUGGAGAGAUCUUAAGCUAUCUGUAGAGAGAGUUUAUCGCCCAUCACAACUCCAGCAAUACUGGAGCAAAUGGAGCGGGAUGGUUCGGACUUCGGAAUCGGGGGAAGGCAUCAGACCGGAAUUGAGGAGCAAUUCCAGGACUUAAUUCUCAUAUCAUCCAAACAACCGAAUUUAAGGAAGGGAAUGCCAAUUCCGAAUUCUGCGCUGGAAUAUCUACUCCUGAUCUUGGCAAUACACUUCAUGGCGACAGGCCUGCACAAGCACAACAGAACUAAAGAAACAGGUACGCAUCUGGAACAUUUUUAAGCCGAAGGCGCUAAAAGGGAUUUAGGGCCAACAUGACAUCUGAAACGUUUUAAGUCGAAGGCACUAAAAAGGAUUUAGGGCCAACAUGACAAGCUGACUCUCAGGAUUGAGAGGCUGAAGAGCACAACAGAACUAGAGAAACAGGUACGCAUCUGGAAUGCUUUAAGUCUAAGACGCUAAAAAGGAUUUAAGGCCAACAUGACAAGCUGACUCUCAGGAUUGAAGCUGAAGAAAACUUUCACAGUUUUGAGGAAUUCGCACAUUUGGUUAGAAAAUCACUGAUUAUUUUCUAAAUGGGCCUCUGUACUAUUAGUAAGGGGCUUUGGAACAUUAGCUACAGAUACAUGAGGAAAAAUGCAAGGUAAAUAUAUAUUCAAAAGAAAUUGUAGCAAGAACCCGUACCUUCGUCCACGUAAAAGUAGCGUUUCUCACCAUUUUUGAGAGGUUUCAGAAAUUCCAAAGCUGUAUCUUGUGUAAACGUUGUACACAAGUCAAAUAGAAGUAACAGCAGGUAAAAUUGCACGAUUAACCGAAAGAUACUACAAUAAUAAUAUAAUAAUAUGGCAACGACAGGCAGUUCUAGUCACAUAGUAGGACACAGUAACCCAAUACAGGCUCGCUCUAAACAUAAACUUUGAUUAAAAAAAAACUAGUCGACCUCUUCCAUCUUGCUCUCCCCGGCAUCGUCCUCCAGUGCUGGCAUGUCAGUGUCGUCGGCCUCGGCGGUCUCGUCUUCGUCAAUGCUCAGGCCAAGCUUGAGCAUGCGGUGGAUCCUGGUGCCGAAGGUGUUGGGGUCGUCCAGGCUGAAGCCAGAGGUGAGCAGGGAGGUCUCGAAUAGCAGCAUCACCAAGUCCUUGACAGACUUGUCAUUCUUGUCAGCAUCCGCCCGCUUGCGCAGCUCCUCCAUGAUGGCGUUCUCCGGGUUGAUCUCCAUUGUCUUCUUGCUUGACAUGUAGCCUCCCAUGCUCGAGUCCCUCAGAGCCUGGGCCUUCAUGAUCCGCUCCAUGUUGGCAGUCCAGCCAUACUCACCAGUGACAAGACAGCACGGCGAGUCAACGACGCGGUCAGAGACAAUGACCUUCUCCACCCUGUCACCGAGCACAUCCUUGAUCACCUUGCAGAGGCCCUCAAAUUUCUCCUUGAGCUCCUCUUUCUUCUUCUUUUCAUCCUCACUGUCCUCAAGCUUCAGGCCUUCCUUAGUGGCAGACACAAGCUUCUUGCCCUCAAACUCCUUGAGCUGGCCAAUGGCAUACUCAUCAAUUGCAUCAACCAUAUAUAUUACCUCGUAGCCCUUCUUCUUCAGCCUCUCCAGGAAGGGAGAGUUCUCCACAGCCUUCUUGCUCUCGCCAGUGAUGUAGUAGAUGUCAUUCUGGCCCUCCUUCAUCCUGGUCACAUAGUCCUUGAGGCUGGUCAGCUCAUCACCGCUCUUCGUGGAGUGGUACCUCAGGAGCUCAGCAAUCUUGGUCCUGUUGGCAGAGUCCUCAUGGAUGCCAAGCUUCAGGUUCUUGGAGAAGGACUCAUAGAACUUGUUGUAGUCCUCCUUGUUCUCGGCGAUCUCAAAGAAAAGCUCAAUGGACUUCUUAACAAGGUUCUUCCGGAUGACCUUGAGGAUCUUGUUCUGCUGGAGUGUCUCUCUGGAGAUGUUGAGGGGAAGGUCCUCGGAGUCAACAAUUCCCUUGACAAAGCCCAGCCACUCUGGGAUCAGCUCCUCACAGUUGUCCAUGAUGAAGACACGGCGCACAUAGAGCUUGAUGUUGUUGGCCUUCUUCCUGGUGUCGAAGAGGUCAAAGGGGGCCCUCUUGGGGACAAAAAGGACAGCCUUGAACUCAAGCUGCCCCUCUACAGAGAAGUGCUUGACAGCCAGAUGCUCUUCCCAGUCAUUUGUCAAGCUUUUAUAGAAAGCAGCAUACUCCUCCUUGGUGAUCUCCUCAGGCUUCCUCAUCCAGAUAGGUUUCUGCUUGUUGAUCAAGGACCAUUCAUGAGAAACCUCCUUGAUCGUCUUCUUUUUCUUCUCUUUCUCUUCCUUCUCUUCAUCAAUUUCCUCAACCUUUCCCUCCUCUGUGUCCUUCUUUUCUUCCUCGUCUUCAUCAUCAGAGAUCUCCUUCUCGGUGGUCUUCUCAGUCCACAGAGAGAUAGGGUAGCUGAUGAACUCAGAGUGUUUCUUCACCAGAUCCUUAAGGCGGCGCUCCUCGAGGUACUCCAACUGCAGAGUAGGAUGGCAAAUUUCAGCAAUAAUUUGAGCAUAGCGGAAAGAAUUGCUGCAGUCUGAACAUAUUAAAAGUAACUACGCAAUGGUGCAAACAGUCAGAAUUGCAUUACUAACAUAUCAUUAUAGUGAACAUUUAUAGACCUUGACAUGUGUGGAUAAGUUAAGAACAGACCGUAUGACCAAAUUCAUUUGUUUGGAUUACUUUACUGAUUCAACUUCAAGCAAUAGCACACACAAUAUCAAAACAAUAGCAAACAAUAGUGCUGGCUCAAUACCAUAGCAGCAUCAAACAUAAAUCCAAUUCAUUCAAUUCAAUGUUGCAACAACUAUACUGAUCUAGUUUCAUAGCAACAACCCACAGUAAUACUGACACGAUUUGGAGGAGUGCAAAACAAUAAAUCCAAUGCUUAACACUAGCAAGUGUACCUCAAUUUCAUUGCAACAGACAACAAUAAAUUCAUUAAUAGACCAUAGCAAUUAUCAACAACUCUUAUUCACUUGCAUACCCAAAUUCCAACUUCAGUUAACACUCCCAGUUCAACAAUAAAUGAUCACCAAUAACAAAACCAGCACCUUUCAUUCAUUUUAAUAGCAACAGAGCAUGAACAGCACACAACAAGAAUGUGUCAUGAAAAGAUCAAACCAGCCACACAAACUAUCAAGACUAACAUACCAAACUAAGCUGCAAACAGAACGUAGCACAGGCAGCCAGUGCAUGUAAAUAAUAUUAUUCUUCUAAAAUAGCGCACCAGGCAAGUGCAUGUAUAUUAUCAUUUGGAGGGCUAUGUUUUGUUGUACCUGAUCUUCCUUGAGAUAGAGAGUCAUCUUCGUACCCCUUCCGAGGGACUCUCCAGUAUCACGGGUAACAGUGAAGGACCCACCAGCCUGAGACUCCCAAACAUACUGCUCAUCAUCGUUGUGCUUGGUGGUCACGACGACUCUAUCAGCAACAAGGUAAGCAGAGUAGAAGCCAACACCAAACUGACCAAUCAUGGACACAUCAGCACCAGCAGCCAAUGCCUCCAUGAACUCCUUGGUCCCGGACCUUGCAAUCGUACCAAGGUUGUUCACCAGAUCUGACUUGGUCAUACCAAUACCACUAUCAAUAAGCGUGAGCGUGUUUGUGGCCUUGUCAGGGACAAUGUGGAUGAACAGCUCUGGCUGAGCAUCAAGCUUGCUCUUGUCAGUCAGGCUCUCGAACCUGAUCUUAUCCAAUGCCUGCAGAACAGAGCAUCCAAUUUAGUGAAAAUUUCACAAACGGCAUCCAAUCAACAAUGUAAAACAACUAGGAUAUUAACCGGAGACUGAUGCUUUACAAAAACUAAGAAAACAAUGCUUGUUUAGAAUGAGCAUACAGCCUAUUUUCGCAAUUUUGCUCAAACUAGGCUACUUGGGAUUCCAAUGUUGUGGGAGUAGUGAAUUUAACUGAACAAAAUCAAGAGUAAUUCUAUCUACAUGCAAAUCUACCUUAGAGAUUUGAAGGUGGGAGACCAAUGAUUCUAAGAAAUUAAUAAAUCUUAAUAAUCAGCACAAACGCAAUCUAGUCGUCUUAAUAUUUAAGCUUAUAUGAUUGAAGGAUUUAAAGCAUAGCACAUACGCUCGAUUGAGCUUUCAACAGAGAGUAAUUGUUUUGAACGCUAGUUUAAUGGGCAAAUCAGCUCACUAACCACGGGAGUUUCAUAUUUGACAUACCACGGAGUCCAGAGAUCAAAAUAAUUUAAUGAUACGCCUUAUGCACAGAACGGUACACAUAUCGCAGAUUCACAGUAUGAUUGAAAAUCACACCGAUCUAUUUUUUAUGCAUCAUAACGUCCACAGAUCUAGAGCGGCAAGGGCAAACAAAAACAAAGGUACAGGGGCCGCGGGGUAGGGAGCUUACAUCGGAGGAGUUGGAGAUGAGCUCGCGGAGGAAGAUCUCCUUGUUGGAGUAGAAGGUGUUGAUGAUGAGCGAGAGCAACUGGUUGAUCUCCGCCUGGAAGGCAAAGGUCUCCGUCUCCGAGGCCAUGGCGCCGGAACCCGAGGGGAAGAAGACGGCGGCUAGGGUUUUUGAGCGGGUACCAGGGUUGCUGUAAGGCUAGGUCAGAGAGGGGAUGCGUGGGGGAGCGGAUUUAUAGUGAGGGGAGGGGUUCUGGAACGUUCUAUGCCACGCGAUGCAAUGGGGAGACGACGCGCGAGGUCAGGGUCAAGUUGACUAGUCGUUGGGCCCGAGUUCCUGUGGCCCACAUGUCAGUUAGAUAGUCUAAGUUGCUCUCCAGAAGCUUCUACGUUUUGUCUAUGAAUGAGUCAACGAUGAAAUGGGAAUGAAUUCAUUUCUUAUGCACAAUUUUCACAAUUUAGCAAACCAACGUGAUUUAAAUCUCUCUCAUGUAACAUACUACGAGACAAUUCAUUGAGAAUGUUGUUUAAGUUCAAAAUUGCGCUAAAUCAAUGCCAAUAAUUUAGGAUCGGAGGGAGUACUACCGUUGUUCAAACUAUAAGAUUUUAUAAUUUUGUCUUAAAUCAAACUUCUUCAAAUUUAUAUAAAACUACCGAUGUCUACAACUCUAAGUUAAUGUUAUUAAAUUCCCUAUAAAUCUUUAUAUACUUAUUUGAUAUUUUAGAUAUUGGUGUAUUUUUAUAGCGUUGGUCAAAUUUUAACGAGCGAAUUCAAAUUUUGCCCCAUGUUUGGUAAUUGUCAAAUGUUUACCCCGUUAUUUAAUUUUGUGCUAUAUUUUUAUCCUCUAUUUGUAAAUAUGAGUCCGUUUUUACCCAUCUAACCAAUUUGCCUGGUUUUUGACAUGUUGUACCACCUGUUGCUGUUGGGGUGACAUGGCUAGUCAAUGCCUAACAUGUUGAAAGCCUACUUUGGUAUGGCACUUUCUCCCUCUCCUUAACCGCCCCGGUUACCAACACCAACUCAUUUUCUCCAUGUUUUUUUUCUUAUAGUUAGGUCAUAGUUUUUGAGAAUUUCAAAUCUUCUACUCCCUCCGUACAACAAAAGAUGUCUCAAGUUUAUCAAAAUUUGGAUGUAUCUAGACAUGACUUAGGGAGCGUUUGGUUUCUUCGCUCAGUUGGCCCGUUGCUGAGCUAGCUCACCUAUCAUGGCUGGGCAUUGCUAGUUUUCCUGUGUCUUGCCAUUUGGUUGUUUGCUUUUGAGUUGACCAGAUUGUGGUUUCCGUGAGGAUCAGGCAGUUUUUCUUCUUGGGACCGCUUCUUGUCGUCGGAGGCGAGCCGAUCUGGCUCUCCCUUGCGGGCAAGGAAUUUCUGGCCCGUUUGAGCUAGCUUGCCUCCAAAAGUCAGGAUAAAUUGACAGAUCCAAACGUUGGGCCUUGCUGGGCUAGGCUAAUUGAGCUUUUGCCUGGGAACCAAACGAACCCUUAGUGUAUAGAUGCAUUCAAAUUUAGUCAAAGUUGAGACAUCUUUUGUUGGACGGAGGAAGUAUGAGUUUUUUUUGUCAAAUGUAAAAAAAUCAAAAUGUUGUUUCUCAAAAAGUUCAGAAAUUGUUGUAAAAUUUAAUGGAAAAAACUUUUUUUUGUGACCUAGCUAAAAUACAAGUCCAUUGCUUUAGGUUUUAGCACAUUUAGAGCACUGCAAUUCAUUAUCAUGUCCAUGGUACAAAACGCUUUUUUAUUUUAAUACAUUGAGGAUAGAACAGGCUCGUGUUGAAUACACGAUCAUUUACAUUUGUAACUUAAAAAAAAAUCUUUGAACUAUUGUAUAAUCUUUGAUGUUCAUCUCUCGAGCACAUGCUCCCGUUAGCUUUUGUGCCUCUCUGUCAUAUCUUGUUCUGUUUUUUUGUUCAUGUUCGAAGAUUUGAAGCAUCCUCCAAUUUAGAAAAAAAAAACGUGCAAAGAAGUUUCUGGAAGAAGGGGAGGCUCAGAGGACGCGGAGCAUCUCGUCAGCGAAAACUCCCAACGACCCGGAUGCGUACUCCAGAUGCGUUCAAUUCAAUCCAGUGGUCCAUUUCCAAGCUCCAACCAGGCCCAUGGAAACAAGACACGGGCAACUACAGCUGGUAAGGGUAAACGAAAACCAGCAAGAAAUUUCGACUUCGAGCGGUACUUAUCUCUGAACGUGCAUGCAGCAGACGGAGAUACAGUCAAACAAAAGAGGAAAAGGGCAAAAGAAUGAUACCUUGCUUCGCAGGGUAGUAGAAUCCGGGACCAGAUUGGUUGUACAUCCAACUCCAACUGUAAAGACUAGAAGAAGACACAAUUACAAGAGCUUCUUUGCAGAGAACUCUUUGAUAAGGGAGGUAUCGUUCCGUUUCAAAAAAAAAAAAAGACAAGGGAGGUAUCGUUUGUGGGACUCCCUUGAAAUAAAGCUUUCAGCAACAACAACAACAACAAAAAAAACUCCCUUGAAAUAAAGCUUUCAACAAAAGAAGAACUCUUCAGUCAAUCUCAGGAGUUUACAGGUCUCCAGGCCUAACAACUCAUUAGAUCAUGCUUUGCAUUCAGAGGGAGUCGGACCAGAAGGGAAUACUCAAGCUUAGGUAAGACUGAGGUACAAUGAGUGUCAGAUAAAAAGAAAGACUGAGGUACGAUGGACUGGAGACUCACAGGAUCGCGAUCUACAUCAUCGCUCAGAGCGAAUCGCUCUGGCCAUUACUAGGACCACUGGACCAACGAUCCUUUUUUGAGUUGUACAAAGUGGAGCAAGGCAGUGUAUGUCUGUCCAAAGUGGCGACACAGAAGGGUGUUGUAAGGAACAUUACAAGACUGUGAUUCCAAUGCAAAGAUGGAUUUUUGGUUGAAUACUGUAGUGAAAACUUAUAUGAUCCAAAGAAACUACGGAAAUUCGUGCGUGUCAGAAACGUUUGAUGCGCCUGCAUCCAGGAAUACCGGCACACCUUCUCUGGAUUUCUCUUGAGUUUUGGUUUGAUUUUGCUUGCGCUCGAAAUAGUUGGCGUGGCUGAUGAGCGGCAUGCACGAGUCGAGAGCACAGCAUUCUGGUUGCCCUGUUGGUGAAGCGAGGUGUGUGUUCUGCACAAGUGCGGCAUCAGUACCAGGAAAUUCCCGGAAAAACACUACUACACGAUGCCAUCGAGCUGCCUUCUGUUUUUCCAGCCGCAGUGUUCUUGACUCGAACAGAUUGCAGCUUCCUUCCUUCCAGAACGAUCUUAAUUCAUGUAAAAGUGGAUUGUUUCGAAUGGAGGCGUCCAAGUCGUCGGCUUGGUCGUCGAUUUUCGUUCUGCAGAUACUUCCUCUUGUUUCGAUCAGACAGAAACUCAACUUGGCGGAUCAUCGAGAACAACACCAAUCACGUGUAUGCACUGCUGUUCAAUCAGUACUCCGUACAAGAUUUGUUCGUUAACGCAACACGCUGGCGGAUCGAUGCCUGCCGACACCUAUCAAAUCACGCGUGCACUGCAGUGUUAUUCAAGCACAUGAUUUGUUUGUUAGGUGUGCACGUCAAAUUGAAGGCCCCCCAUGCAUGCAUCCUGGAUCACACGCGCAAUAGUACUACACGAUUGCCUUUCCCCCCUUUGUCUUAUAGCAAAAUCCCACAGAUGCAUAACGUGUUCAUUCCUCUUCCAUUAAUUUUCAGAAGAUUUUUCCUUGCCAGGGCCGGCCAUGAGAUAUCUACAUACUGUAUAUAGGUUCCGUCCAGGCUGCAGAGAAGCAAAGUCAUCAGAGAGGUACUGGAUCACCGGACCAAGCUAAUAAUAGUUGCUUAGCCAUGGUCACGAAGAUUUUUCUUGGUAUUUCCCUUUUCGUGAUAUCCAUCCAACUGGUCGCCGGCGACGACGACGGCAGGCUGAGCAAGGUCGUGCGGCAGGUGCCGGCGAUGUACGUGUUCGGGGAUUCGACGCUGGACGUCGGCAACAACAACUACUUGCCGGGUAACGAUGUCCCCAGGGCCAACAUGCCACCGUACGGCGUGGAUUUCAGAGGCUCCAAGCCCACCGGACGGUUCAGCAAUGGCUACAACAUCGCCGACUCUAUCGGUGCGUACAUAUAUAUACAUGUGUAUAACUGUACAUAUGUAUCCUGUAUUUAUAUGCGCACGUACGCAUGAGGCGUGAGAGACUUAUAUAUUACAGCAUACUGUACAUAUUUUUGCAGCGAGGACGCUGGGACUGAAGGAGAGCCCUCCGGCUUAUCUGUCGCUCGCGCCACGAAGCAGCAUCCGUCUGGUCCUCGCCGCGCUCAGCGAAGGCGUCAGCUACGCGUCGGCUGGAUCCGGCAUACUGGACUCCACUGUAAUCAAGCGAGCUUAAUUGCUUCUCAGCCUAUAAGCACUGUUGUCAAUGUUAAUCACGAUGGUUGAUGCAUCUAUGUCACCAUGUGCAGAACGCUGGGAACAACAUCCCGCUGUCGAAGCAGGUGAGCCACUUGGCUUCCACGAAGCGCAAGAUGGAGGCCACGGUGGGCGCCCGCGCCGUGCGCCGCCUGCUGUCCGGCUCCUUCUUCCUCCUCGGCACCGGCAGCAACGACGUAUCCGUCUUCGCCGCGACCCAGCCGGCGGCCGGUGACGUGGCCGCGUUCUACGCCAGCCUCGUCUCCAACUACUCGGCCGCCAUUACCGUAAGCAUCCAUCCAUCCACGCAGACUCGUACAAUACCAGAUGCAUUCUUAGACUAUUUACGUAUAUACAUACAGGAUUUAUACGAGAUGGGGGCGAGGAAGUUCGCGGUGAUAAACGUGGGCCUGGUGGGCUGCGUGCCAAUGGCGCGGGCGCUGAGCCCAACGGGCUCGUGCAUCGGCGGGCUGAACGACCUCGCCUCGGGCUUCGACGCCGCGCUGGGCCGGCUCCUCGCGAGCCUGGCCGCCGGGCUGCCGGGCCUGUCGUACUCCCUCGCCGACUACCACGGCCUGUCGACGGAGACCUUCGCGAACCCGCAGGCGUCCGGGUACGUGAGCGUCGACAGCGCCUGCUGCGGGAGCGGAAGGCUGGGGGCGGAGAGCGACUGCCUGCCGAAUUCCACGCUGUGCGGCGACCAUGAUAGGUUUGUGUUCUGGGACCGCGGCCACCCUUCCCAGCGGGCCGGCCAGCUCAGUGCCGAAGCUUUCUAUGACGGCCCGGCCCAGUUCACGGCUCCUGUCAGCUUCAGGCAGCUGGCUGACAUGGAUGCUAGCUAUUAGUAGAGGAUUAUUAUUGGUUUUGCAUGUAGUUAUGCUGAGCUACCUUCGAAUAAAAUAUGGUACUUCCCCCCUCUCAUAAUUCUGGUCGAAAUAUUACAUGUAUUUAGUUAUUUUUUAAAAUAAAUAUAUUUAUUUUUGGAUAAAUUUGAGACCGGAAUUAUGAAACGGAGGGAGUACCAAGGAUUGGAUCUUCGAUCUUCCAUGCACUCCCGUCGUAAGAACUUGAGUGAGGAUCCAUCAUGCAUUCUGGCUAAGGAUGUAAUUAAUUAUGAUUUCAAAUUUUCAACAAAUGCAACAACAAGAAUGGUCAUGGACUAUAAAUUAGAGACCAUUUGAAAUCCAUUUUACGCUCAGUUGCCACAAAGGGAUGAUAAAGUAGACCGUAAUCGUGUAGACCAAAUAACCGACCGAGUAAUAUAAUAAGUUCAAACCGACCGAGUACUUAUUUAUUUUUGAAGUUAAACUGUAAGGGUUGCGCGAUUGCAGUCCGACAGUAUAUAGAUAUAUAUAAUUCUACAAAAUGAGACACCAAAGUACGACCUUCGAAGAUCGAACUCUGGUGGGCUGUCAGCAUACCUGGCUAGCUGACCACCUAAACUAUGCUUGGUUCUCGACCUAGUACUUAUUGGAUUACUCGGUGGGUUAAGUGAACUUAUUGGAUUACUCGGUCGGUCAUGUGGUCUACUCGACUACAGCCUAAUUUAAAACUUCCCGCACACCUUGUUUAUGAACCUUGUGCUAGCUGUGGCAUGGCAGUAACUGCAGCUCUGCACGGACCGGAAUCAACUGAAGCUGCAGUUGGUGUAUUGGUCGGACUCGGAGUCAAAUUGAUCCCCGCGUGAUGCAUGGCGCCCGGGGUACAAAUAUGCCGUUGCCAUGCCUGCCCUCGAUCGAAAUCAAAACCGAAAUCGAAGGCUCUCGAACCGGCCCCCGGCCGGCGCUUCGACGUCACCGUUCGGCGGCGAGGCCAUGCCCAUACCCCAACGGCUGGCUGUCGUCGUCAAAACGCCGCCUCCACGGCCGGAACGGCAGCAGCGAGCACCGUGGUCCGACCGCGGCCCUGCCGGCCGACGUCCUCUCGCUGAUCCUGGCGCGCGCGUCGUCGGGCGCCGCUGACGUGGCGGACACGCACGCCGCGCUCAUCUGCCGCCGCCCUCUCGAUACCACACCCGCCUUGCCCUCGGUUUCUUCCACCAGCAACACGAACGCGUCCGCGCCGUCUUCCCCAGCCGCCGGACGACGACCGCGCAGCCCCGCUUUGUGCCCACAGCGUCCGCCUCGCGCCUCCUCCUGGGCCCGGGCUCUCAUCAUCUCGAUCCAGGUCCAGGCCCACCAGGCCUGUUCGACUACGCCCGCCCGGUCGCGUCCCGGAACGGGCGCGUCGUGCUGGCGCUGCGGCGACGGGCUGACGCUCAGCGUGUUGAACCCCAUGACCGGGGACGUGUCCGUGCUCCCCGCGCUCUCGGGCGACGACUGCCCGGGGCAGUGCUACGUGUGCGCCCUGCUCACGAGCGACGACCUCGCCGAUCGAACCACCGGCGCCCGCGGGCUUCUUCUUCCGGGUGCUCCUCGUCUACAACGGCCGGCGCCGCAGCGGCUUCACGGCGCUGCUGGCCUUCUCGUCGGACACCGGCAUGUGGGGCCCGGAAGGCCGGAAGCCGGGGCCCAAGAUGAAUGCCGCCAGGCUGCGCCGGGUAGGCCCCGCGCGCCGUGGCCGUCCGCGGAGUCGUCCAGUAGCGCCACCAUGGACGUGAGCUUCGUGCCCUACAGCACCUCCAGCCUGUACUAUUUCCCGGACUACCGCGUGCUGGGCGUGUCACCGGAUGGGAGCCUCAGCUUCGUCUACGCGACUCUCAAUGGACUCAGCAUCUUUGUCGAGACCCUAGAGCCGCAGGCGGGUCAGUGGGAGACGCGCGAAUGGAUCAAACUGCCCCAGGUCCAGGUGAGCCAUGCGACGACCGCGGUUAAGCUGCGGUGGUUCAACGAGAAGAGCGGCACCGUGCUCUUCACCUUGAGACAGCAAGACGGAGACGACGCCACCAGCGGCGCCUUCCUGUUGAAUAUCGCCACGAGGUCGCUGGAGAAGCUUGCCGGCGGCGUCGAAUGCCAUGGGUGGAGGAACGUUUGCGGAUAUGAGAUGGACCGUGUGGCGCUCAUUGCGUCCACUGCCCGCUUCUGAUCUUCGUACGACACGUACGUACUUUUGGUUCUAGCCAUCGAGAAGAAAACAAGACAUGGAUGUUCAGCAAUUAGUGCUGUUUAACAUAGCUAUAAAGAAUAUGUCAAAUUAUUUUAUUUUGAUAGAAUCUAUCCGAUAAUUACAUAUAAGCUCAUUGACAUAAACUUGAGAGGAGCUGAUCCCAAACGUCACCUCUCGGACCCCAAAAUGUCGCUUGAGAAAACAGCUUAGUUUACAACAACCAUCCACGAAUUCGGAAGCACAAAGGUAGUUUUUUUGAGAGUUCUCCCAAAGGAGGCCCGAGGGGCAAUACACUUGCCGGAGCAAAAUAACCUUCUAGGUAGAAGCUAAGGGAUGCAGCAUAGGUCAUGAUGUAACCACCGAACUGGGGAACACGAUCAACAGAAGGAGGACUGUCAUGGGCAGCCAGAACGCCACAAGACAGCACCAGAGUGCAGUGAGGAUCAAACCAGAUAGCUCAAACAAAACAUGAAAACUACUGGCAAGAGAAACCACAAGCAUCAUCAUUAAGAAGACGCACCAAUGUCAUCUCAUGACAAAAGAUGACGCUGGCUCAUUAAGCAUGAAGAGAUUGCACAAAGUCUUCACCGGAGGGUGGGUUGUCCGAGAGAAGGAAAAGUAGUAAUAUGGUGGUGACAUGCUCUCGAAGAGUGCCACUAGUGUAAAAAUGUCUCCCCAAAGGGGGGGUGAGUUACCCAAUUGAGGAGUGUAAAAGGAGGGCAUAUACGACGACAUAUGAUGACAACAAGGGCAAUCCUGACAGAAGUUUCGAGAUUUGGAGAAGCUAAAUGGAGUUGGAUGAAAUGGGGUGGCGGAUGGAUAUCAGAUCGACCAAAGUUAGCACAACGCACUCUAUCACGGCAUCUCCGGCAGGAGGAAGCCGUCUCCAUGGCAGCCAUCUGCGAAACCAUGGAUCUUGGAAGCACAGCAAUCAAGUUGGUAUAGAGACCUCCAAGUAUAAGCCACGACACCAGGCGUUAAACUAUUGGUGCCGCCACCACAGCUGCCACCUGCAAACCAUGGUUACCGAGGGCAUGGCAGUGCCACAGGCAACGGAGGGAGGGACGAGGAGCAGCAUCACUCUAAUCAAGGUGAACAUCCGGAAAAAUUUGCAAUCUGAGGUGGCAGCGGGUUGGUGGAGUGGGGAGCAAUGAAUGAAGGGGGCGAUACCAGCACUGAAGAUGGCCGAUGAGGAGGCGAAAAUCGGAGUUGGAGGAGCCGUGGAGGGCAGCUUCGGAUCCUGGGACGCGGGCGGAGGCGACGGGCCAGGACUAGGCCGAGCGGCCCGCGGGAGGCGAGACCUGGGCCGGUGUGGAGCCCCAGACGGCGAUGUCAGCGGGCGCUCGGCCGAGCAGACGCCUGAUCUUGCCGUCAGACAAGCCAUCUCGGGAGGGGAGGAGGUGGGUACCGUCGACAGCGAGGUGGGCAGGAGCGGCAGGAGGGAGCAGCGAGUCAGCAGUCCGCCGGAUCUGGCCCGCGCCCGCCGGAUCUACCUUUAUCACGGCGACGACGAGCAUAGGCUACGAGGGAGCUAGGCUAGUCGGAGGCGCGCGGACGUGGCCUUGGCUGAGGACGAUGGCGAGACGACGAUGAGGGGCGGUGCGAACGUGAACCUGCGGCGCAACGCUCUGGAUCAGGAAAGCACCACACAGAGCAGGCCCUUGCACGGGAGAUGGGGUCGAUGGCGAGGCGAGGGGUGGUGAUGGGCGGCGCAGAUGAGGACCCGCGGCGCAGCAUUCCGGAUCUGGACGGGCACGCUGCUCGCCGAAUCCGGCCACCGCAGGCAGGGGGACGAGGCCCGGAAAGCACCUAGGGCCGCAGCCUCGCAGAGCAGGGCGCUCGCAUGGGACAAGCGGCAGCAGCAGCCCCGCCGCCACCAUCCUCGUCCGCUGCGCGAUUUCCGGCGACCAACUCUGAUGGCGACGAGGGGAAGCAGGUGGAGGGAGGCGGCGCUCGGAGGGAAACCUAGUCGCCCCCGAGUCGCUCUCGGGAGGACGACGCGAGGGACGCGUUUUUCCACAAAGGUAUUUAUAUGAGUUGCAUCUGACUAACUGCUUGACAUUAAUAGUUUAUCACAACACAAAUACAUACAAACAGCAAGAACCUUCUUAAAGACUUUCCAGAUCGGAUGAAAUGCGGAUCACUUACUAAUCAAAUACACAGCUGAACUAUCAUGAUGUACUAUAUGCCAAAUAAUCCUAUGCGAUUUGGAAUGAAGAAGAUUGCCGUGAUGAUCAACAAUAUUAACAACAUGAGGUUCAAUACACGAGUAAUUUACAAAAAUCACUGCACAGUAGCUACCAUCAGUCAGUGGCGGAGCCAGGAUUUUGUCAAGACCAGGACAGUUGCUCCCAAUCGCUAGAAUUAGCAAGUAAGACCCAGACCAAAUCGUGAAAUCAUCAAAAUUACCAAAGGAAAAAGCUUCUACGCCCUGGGCCGCGGUCUCCGCCCCUGCCGUCAGGAGCAUUUCUUGAAAACGGGAAACUUGCUUUAAGACAUGAACAAUAAAUUUAAGCACAAAUAAAAAGCAUGAAGACACAAUUAUCGAAUUGUGAUGUAAAGCUUUGUUUUCUUUUUCUAUAAACCAUUUUAUAUUGAUUUGAAGACAGGUUGUGUUCACAGGAAAUCACAAUGCCGGCACCUUGAUUGGAUGAAAACUUUGUUUCUUUUCUUCUAUAGACCAUUUUAUAUUGAUCCGAGGACAGUGUAAAGCUUUGUUUUCUUUUCUAUAAACCAUUUUAUAUUUAUUUGAGGACUGUGUAAAAGGACUCGAUACAGAAACAUCGGACCCGAGGUUUAGGCAUGGAGGUAACAUUGAACAUAGUACAUACAUUAGUAUUUUAACAGGGUUGUACAACAUCAAUUGGCUUAAAACGAACAGGGCGUAUAGGAGCUUGGCCGCUUGGAAUGGUGGACUCCGGAUAAAGUGGGUUCAGUUGCAGUAUUGAACAGGUUUCAGAGAAUACAACGAAGUUCAUGAAAAGGUUGAAGUGCUUCGGGAGCAAUUCCGCAACAAAAUUGGUCAAAUUAAGGUAGUAACAGCAGGUGAUGCGACUUCUCACUUCACUUCUCAGUUCAAUAAAGCUCCCUUUAUCGGAAAAAAAAACAAAAAUUAACAGAAAGAUACUAAGAUAUCUAUACCAAUAUAUUAAAUUGGAGUAUGUGGUGAUGGUACGAGUGUCGCGGUGCAUCACUUCACCAAAAUUACGAAUCUGCCAUCGCUGUCCCACGUGUCUUUUAAUCCCGGCUCCCGCAGUCCUCAAGCGCAGAAAAAACACGUACCACAAAAAAAAAUACAAACUAACAGAGCCCUCAUCGCGCCUCCUCCUCCUCUCCUACGAAUCUCACCCCCACCCCCUGCCCGAUCCGGAUCUCGCCGCCGCUCUUGGUUGCCUCCACCGGCUCGUGCGUGUCGGCGGCGUUCGUGUGCGGAAGGCGGCUCCGUCACGUGCUCCAACCGCCGCCUCCACCGGCUCUUGCGCGCCGGUGGCUCCCCGCGGGACUUGGACGGCGAUGAGACGAGCCUGAGGCCGGGAUGGCGGUCGCUUCGCACAAGGCAGCAAGGACUGCGUCGGCGCGAGCCAUCGGUGGCCCUCUGCACGGGCAGUGGCACGCGGCAACUAGUGGCCGGACGCGAUGUGUGGCGGCGCGCGGGCGCGGCGAACGGGCGGACAAGGCUGCGAGAGGGCGCAGGCGGACGGCGCACAGGCGGCAAGUGGGAGCAAACGGCGCAUGGGAGUGGACGGGCAGCGGGAAUCUACGGGUGGAGGCGGGGCGCACAAGCGGACGGCCGUGCAUGGCGACGUGAUGUUCGGUGGCAGGAUGAAUCGGGACGGGGAGAGGAGGAGUUUGCACUCAGUGUGAAUGGAGAGGAUAGUCAGAGAGAGCGAGAAAUUGAGAGAAGAUAUUUGAGAAAUAAAAUACGGAGUAGAAGUAAUAGUAGAGCACAAGGAGAAAUGUAGAAGACAUGUGGAAAAAAAAAAGAAACUAGUGUAUAGCCCACGAAAAUAAAUAUAUCAUAAGCGAUAUAUACAUAUGUACUCAAUUUUCCGUUGUUCCGGACCAACGUACGGUUCUUUUGCUAGUACUACGUAUACAGGAGAUGAUUACCAUACGCAGUUCGAAACUCAUAGACCCCCACCACCAUAUGACACCCUUAACCCCAUCUACUUUCUGCACAUGACAUCUAUGAACUGACCCCAUCUACUUUCUGCACAUAAAAACAAGUGAAGGGGAAACCUGGUAGAAUCAGGCGCUGACCCUUUAUAAUAGCGCCAUUCAAUAAGAUAAACUGAGCUUUGGUUGGAGAAUAAAAUCUGCACAUGACAUCUAUGAACUGUAAGAUAUAAUCAGAAAAUGCUCUCUAACAUAAAACAAAGCAAUAUUGGUUUACAGUAAAACUAUAUCUCUUGACUGAGGAUUCACACUUGACUUCCACAUAUUGUGGGAAAUAGGAAUGAGCCCAGCAAAACAUUCCCGAAACUAAGUCACCUUUAGAUGCCUAUGAUAUAAGUUAUAACACUAAAAAAUGUAUAAGGAAAUAAGGAACCACUCAGAUUUCAGCCUUGAAAGUAAUUACCAUCAUUCAGGCAAGCAAGAAGGCGUCAACAAAAAUAAUACCUGAGCAAUAACCCAGGCAAAGAUCAGAAGCUUUUCCUGUAAAAGAUAUUUACUGUUUCCCACUAUUUGGGCGGUAAGGUGUAUUACGGAGUAGCACCUUUGGCUUCCUUCUUAAAGUCAAGGCAAGCACAACGAAGAUUGCAACCUGACAAAAGCAAUGUUCAGUCACAAACUGACAGUCAAACAUCAACACCAACAAGAAACUGACGUCAUGCAUUAUUGUAAUUACAUGCUCAAUAAUCAAGAGUUAGAGACUUUUAAUGGUCAAAAUACAAGAGUAAAAUCUAUUUUGAACCUUGUCUUUGUAGAGGUUGGCUAAAUCAAACCCUGAACGUGCAAAUCCCCGAAGUUGCCACCCUCACCUCCCUAAUCCCGGUCUAAAAUUGCUUUAAAUGCGUUUAGAAGCCGGGAUCGCUGACGUGGCAGAGCCAAACCCGGGAAUCUUGACUUCUGUUGAGCUCAGUUUCCUCUCAAGUUGUGUCCAUUCAUCUCAAUUUGGUUGCGACUCGUAGCAAAUUCUCCUCUUCUCUGUCUCAUGGUUGUUAACUGUUCAUUCUGAACAACACGGUUGUUGUGGAUAUAUGGAGUGGCAUGAUGGCCCGAUGAUGCCGUUUCUUCGGCAAUUGCUACUCGAUCUAUGCAAUACAAUACAGUAUGGGCUUGUGAUGUUCAAGUUAAUGUGGAGCCAAUUGAAGCACAAAGAGCAAGAAAUGUGGCUGUUGCUGCACUAAGACAGGAGCUUGUUGAGAAGAAUGCAGAGAUUGAAGCUAUUAGGGCUAGAAAUGAGACAGGGGACAGGAAGAUGUAUGAACUUGUUGUGUAUGCAGUCCUGUUUUUUCUUGCUGGUUUAGUGGCAGGAAUUCAGCAUUGAGUUGUAUUGGUGUAUGGAAUUUCUGGAAGAAUGGCAGGAAUUAAUCAGUCAUCUGUAUGUGCCUUUGCUGUGAAAGAACGGCAGAUUCCAUGUGAAUUUUGACAGCACAUACUUGUGUAUUUCCUAUGUAUUUUUACAACACUUUUCUGUAUAUUUUGACAGCAGAAACUGAACUGAAUAAUGCAAAGAAAAGAUCACAGUUUUCUGAACAUUAUGACAGCACAUGUUGACAGGAAGAAAAAACAGACCCGAUCAAUCCAGCGUUCAAUCAUUCCAAAGAGACCACAUGUUGACCGGAAGCACAAACUGGGACUGAAAAUAAGCUGCUGGCGCCACUUUAUGGACCCCUGUUUGGAAAACCCGUUUUAGCAUCUUUAGACCGGGAUUUGGAAGUUUAGGGUGCCAACUUUAGGGAUUUGCAAGUCAGGAUUCCAUCUACAUUUCUACAAAGACAAGGUUUAAAAUAGAAUUUACUCGAUUACCAAUCUAUAUUUUAUCAUAUCCAAGAUCUCUAUGCAAUGCAGAAUGUCAGCAAAUAAAAUAUACAAUUUGCAGAACCUACCUAUUAAAUGAAUGAUGGUUGUUCGAGAACCAGGUCUUUCUACCUGAAUCAGCACUUCAUUGCAACCAAAAUGGUGCUAGAAUCGGUUGACAAGGGUCCAGUAUUGAAACAUAACAUUUGCGAUUAAAAUAUAGUUUGUGUUUUCCUUCAUGAACCUACGAUACAUAUGAUGAACAGGUGAUAGGUAAAGUCAUCAUGGAUUGAAUGCUACCUGGGCUUUGGAGUUCGUUGGACAACCUUCUCCGAAUUUUCCGGUCCCACUGCUUAACCUGACAACUCAGAAAUGAUUUUAUCCAUACACCACAAAACGAAUUCCCCCAGGGCAUUGGGAAAUCUCUGAUUGAUCCAAUCACUCGCCAUCUUGCAAACUGGCUCAGGAAUAUAGCACAAUGGUAUCUGCUCAAUACAUCAUACAACAACCAAUUAGGCGCAUCGCAAAAACAAUUCAAGUAUAAAGCAAGGUAAUUCUCAUUCUUAAAUAUCCUGAUGUAAGGUAAAUGUCAAUCACAAUGGUGAUGCAGAAACACAUGCAAUCUCUGCUAGUCAUUGAAGCAUGCAGGUGAAAGAGCAAUAACUAAAGAUGAGCUUGCAGAUUAUUCAACAAGUGAAGAUGAUCAAGCAUUCAAGCCCAAGAUCAAAAGGCGAGUGAAGGUGAAGCUGGAGGAGGAGGCGAUGGUGGUUUUGAAGUGGAUGAUGGCCUUGGUUUAAGCGACUGAUAAUAUAAUAGUAUGGUGCUGCAGACUGACAUAUAGGUGUUGGGCUGGUGUGCCUUCUUUUGGACAUACAAAUCUAGGCUGCCUCAGAUGAUCAUAAAAUAACUUCAUUUUUCAUAUAGCCAUACACAACUCUGCAUUUGUUACUUAAAGACGACGAACUGAAAAGAUUGUAUGACAGCACGUCCUACACAGUACUUUUCUAAGACAAGUAAGCUUCCUCAAAGUAGCGUUGAAACAAGUCGUUCCGCAAAUAAAAACAACUCAUUAUGCAAAUAAAAGAUUCUGCACAACGAAUACAAAUGAGGUGAACGGGUAGGCCCAUACCUGGAAUUCAAGGCUUACAUUCAACAAUAGUGGACACAAGAGCCUGUUUACCAAUAAGAUGAACAAUUUAUUUUUCGGUAGCAUCAUCACCAACUAAUAUGAUUUGCUCAGCACCAAAGCCAUGCAGGUUACCAUGUUUACAUUUGUUUUCUCCAAAAAUAUUCACAGUUGCAUUUUUGUCAUUACCCGUUUCCAGGACUCCAGCAGCACAGGAAGUUCUCCAUAUACCGGACCAGUCUCUGGAUUAGCUUGUCAACACACUUGAUGGGAAAAAGCACAAGAGGUAAAUGAUACUUUGGGCCAUACAAAGAAUUCCACAAUGCAUGCGAAAAUUUUGGAACAUAUCGGAGAGAUGGCGUAGCUUGUUUUCCAUGUUUAUUUCCUUGCAUGCAUGCUUAAAGUGAUCGAAUAUCUUCAAAUCCCCCUUGCUAUAGUAUGCUCAGUGUCACCGGCAAAAUGGAAGCCCUCCUCAAAAUUUCUACGGACAUACUUAACAAGUGCUAUUUGUGUCAUGGUCAGAUCCUGUACCUCAUCUACGUAAACAAAAUCCACCAUAUCGCCAUUGUGUAGCCCUCAGAAACUAGACUUCCAUGAAGACAAUUCACAAAAUAUUGUCUGCAUGAUAUGCUGGUUACAAAUAAUGCCCGAAAAGAGAUUCUUUGGUUAUUGGGGUUAGACUAUCCUCAAUUGCUCCUAGGUGAUGCACACAAAAUAUUCGACAUACUCUAUCCAAAAGACCCAAACUGGACAUUUUAGUAGCAAAAUGCAUAAAUACCGAUUAACAUGACCAUCCAUACUCACCAAAGAAGACAUCUAAGGUUUCUUUCCCUGGAUACUAAAUAGAAUGCAUAGACAUUGUUCAGUUUCUUUUCAUAAUUAUUAUUAUACAAACUAAUGCAAGUCUUUAUACUCUACUGACCCGUAAAAUAUGUGAUAUAUAUAAUUAUUUCAUUUUCUUUUCUCUAGAAAUCUCUGAUCAGAAGAGAUUAAGUUAAGCCAAUGCUGAUCAAAGUACAGCAUGCAAGAAAAAAAAAACUACAGCAGGUGAAAUGGCAAAGUUAACAGGAUGAUACUAAGAUAUACUACAUAUAUAUAGGAGACGAUUACCAUACGCAGUUCGAAACUCAAGACCGCCACCAUAGUGACAAUAUGAUAUCCUUAUCCCCAUCUACUUCCUGUAGGCUAGCACAGUAACACAAAAAACCGAACCGACCACAGAACACAGCAAAUCCAAGGCAAGCUUCCUAACACUUGAUGAAAAAAAAAAUGAAUGCAGACACCUAGUCGACCUCCUCCAUCUUGCUCUCGCCAGCGUCAUCCUCCAGUGCUGGCAUGUCGGUGUCAUCAGCAUCGGCGGCCUCAUCCUCAUCGAUGCUCAGGCCAAGCUUGAGCAUACGGUGGAUCCUGGUGCCGAAGGUGUUGGGGUCGUCCAGGCUGAAGCCAGAGGUGAGCAGGGAGGUCUCGAACAGCAGCAUCACCAAGUCCUUGACAGACUUGUCAUUCUUGUCAUCAUCCGCCCGCUUGCGCAGCUCCUCCAUGAUGGCGUUCUCCGGGUUGAUCUCCAUUGUCUUCUUGCUUGACAUGUAGCCUCCCAUGCUCGAGUCCCUCAGAGCCUGGGCCUUCAUGAUCCGCUCCAUGUUGGCAGUCCAGCCAUACUCACCAGUGACAAGACAGCACGGCGAGUCAACGACGCGGUCAGAGACAAUGACCUUCUCCACCCUGUCACCGAGCACAUCCUUGAUCACCUUGCAGAGGCCCUCAAACUUCUCCUUGAGCUCCUCCUUCCUCUUCUUCUCAUCCUCACUGUCCUCAAGCUUCAGGCCUUCCUUGGUGGCAGACACAAGCUUCUUUCCCUCGAACUCCUUGAGCUGGCCAAUGGCGUACUCAUCAAUGGCAUCAACCAUGAACAGGACUUCAUAGCCCUUCUUCUUUAGCCUCUCCAAGAAGGGAGAAUUCUCCACAGCCUUCUUGCUCUCGCCGGUGAUGUAGUAGAUGUCGUUCUGGCCCUCCUUCAUCCUGGUCACGUAGUCCUUGAGGCUGGUCAGCUCAUCACCACUCUUGGUGGAGUGGUACCUCAGGAGCUCAGAAAGCUUGGUCCUGUUGGUGGAGUCCUCAUGGACGCCAAGCUUGAGGUUCUUGGAGAAUGCCUCAUAGAACUUGUUGUAGUCCUCCUUGUUCUCAGCAAUCUCAAAGAACAGCUCAAUGGACUUCUUAACAAGGUUCUUCCGGAUGACCUUGAGGAUCUUGUUCUGCUGGAGCGUCUCUCUAGAGAUGUUGAGGGGAAGGUCCUCAGAGUCAACAAUUCCCUUGACAAAGCUCAGCCACUCAGGAAUCAGCUCCUCACAGUUGUCCAUGAUGAAGACACGGCGCACAUAGAGCUUGAUGUUGUUGGCCUUCUUCCUGGUGUCAAAGAGGUCGAAGGGGGCCCUCUUGGGGACAAAGAGAACAGCCUUGAACUCAAGCUGCCCUUCCACAGAGAAGUGCUUGACAGCUAGAUGCUCCUCCCAGUCGUUUGUCAAGCUCUUGUAGAAUGCAGCGUACUCCUCCUUAGUGAUCUCUUCAGGCUUCCUCAUCCAGAUAGGCUUCUGCUUGUUGAUCAGGGACCACUCAUGAGAAACCUCCUUGAUCUUCUUCUUCUUCUUUUCUUUUUCCUCCUUUUCUUCAUCAAUUUCCUCAACCUUGCCCUCCUCACUAUCCUUUUUCUCUUCCUCAUCCUCAUCAUCGGAAAUUUCCUUCUCAGUUGUCUUCUCAGUCCACAGAGAGAUAGGGUAGCUGAUAAACUCAGAGUGUUUCUUCACCAGAUCCUUAAGGCGCCGCUCCUCGAGGUACUCCAACUGCACAGUAGAAGCAAAUUGUUAGGGACAAUUAACACGCCACAAGUUAUCAGUAACAAUAUGAGUAAAGAAGAAUCUGCUGCAGUCUGACCUAUGUGCAGUGAUACUUAAGUUGAGAAAAAACUUGCUCGAUGAAUUAUUUUGAUUAAUUUUACUGAUUCUACAUAGUAAUAGUGAAGCCAACUUGAAAGCAACAACAUUCUCCAAAAAAAAAACUUCACAGCAACAACAAAGCAACAGGAAAUAAUUCCGUUUCAAACUAGGGAUGCAAACGGGACCCUGCAAAGGCCCACUACUAGUUCAAUCGUCAAAUCUCCUAUUCGAAAUUUGAAUGGGAAAUGAAAUUCAAGAAUUGAACGAAACAGGAUCACAUUUGCAUCGCAAUUCAAUACAACAACAAACAAUAAUGCUGAUUAAUUUCAUUCCAAAGGCCAAACAAUAAAUUAACUUAGCAAGUAUAUUCCAUUUCAUUGCAAACAGAUGGCCAUAAAUUCAAAACAUAGACCAUAGCAGGUACCAACAGGGGACUGAACCAACAGGAAAUUCUUAAACCCAAAUUCAACAUUCAACUUCCAUUAAAGCUCACAUUCCAACAGUGAAUUGAGCAUAUGAAGAAGCAGGAAAUUCUUGUACCCAAAUUUGAACAUCCAACUUCAAUUAACCCUCACAUUUUCAGCAUUGAAUUGAGUAUCACUAACAAAGCCAGGGACCAUUUGGUCAUUACAACAACAGUAAUACAACAAGGGAGGGAAAUGAGCAGCACACGAUAAGGAUAUCUCAUGAGAAGUUCUAAUUAGCCACACAAACAAUCAGCACUAUCCAAAUCAAACUAAGCUGCAAACAGGACAUGGCUCAGGUAAAUUGUGCAAGCACUUUAGCUAUUGGCCAGGUAGCUAGUGCAAGCAAAUAUUUAUUUUCUCCUAACAUUACCCAGGUAGCAGGUACAGGUAGUAAAUUAUUAUUCGGUGAGCUAUAUUUUGUUUUACCUGAUCAUCCUUGAGGUAGAGGGUGAUCUUGGUACCCCUUCCAAGGGGCUCUCCAUCAUCACGGGUGACUGUGAAGGACCCACCCGCCUGAGACUCCCACACAUACUGCUCAUCGUCGUUGUGCUUGGUAGUCACAACGACCCUCUCCGCAACAAGGUAAGCAGAGUAGAAGCCAACACCAAACUGACCAAUCAUGGACACAUCAGCACCAGCAGCCAGUGCCUCCAUGAACUCCUUCGUCCCAGACCUUGCAAUUGUACCAAGGUUGUUCACCAAAUCUGACUUUGUCAUACCGAUACCACUGUCGAUGAGCGUGAGUGUGUUCGUGGCCUUGUCAGGGACAAUGUGGAUGAAUAGCUCUGGC
rnacentral:lncRNA from 1 species